rnacentral:lncRNA from 1 species
UUUUCAAAAGUUUACACUAAAUAUGGAAUUGACUCUGAGAUAGUAGCUUCCUUUUGUGAAUCUUUUGCUACUCGUGUUGAUCUCCCUAAGUUGAAGUGGCUUAAAUAUCACCCGCCUAUUAAAGAAGAAAUUAAAUAACUAGUAAAACCUAAAGAAGAAACUAUCAUUUACAAUGUUUAUCCAGUUGUUCCCACGGCUUAUAUUGAAAAACCACCUUCCCCUGUUAGGAUGAAGGAACAUGCUAAAGUCUCAACUGUGGUUAACAAAAGUUAUAUUAGAACACCCAAACCAGCUGAACAAAUUAGAGUUGAACCUAGUGUUGAUAUGGUUAAAGAUCUCUUGGUCGAUAAUAUCGAUGGGCAUAUUAUUUACUUCUGUGAUGAAGCUUCUAGAAUUGCCAAACCCGAUAAAAAAGAUAAACAUAGACCAGUUGUUGGCAUGCUUGUUGUCUCAGUCAAGAUAGGAGAUCACUGUUAUCAUGGUUUAUGUGACAUAGGUGCUAGUGUGAGUGCUAUUACUUUUUCCUUAUAUGAAGAAAUUAAGAAUGAAAUAGCACCUGCAGAAAUAGAAGACAUAGAUGUUACUAUUAAACUUGCCAAUAGAGAUACUAUAUCACCAAUUGGGAUCCUUAGAGAUGUUGAAGUCUUGUGCGGGAAAAUAAAAUACCCUACUGAUUUUCUUGUUCUUGGUUCCCCACAAGAUGACUUUUGUCCCAUUAUCUUUGGUAGACCUUUCUUGAACACCGUCAAUGCUAGAAUAUAUUGUGAGAAACAAACUGUCGGUGUUAGCUUUGGUGAUGAAUCUCAUGCUUUUCCAAGUUUAGUAGAAAAUCUCAUAAGAAAGAUUUACCUAGUAAGGAUGAAAUUAUUGGUCUUGCUUCUAUUGUUUUACCUACUACAGAUCCCUUAGUAUAAUAUUUGUUAGACCAUGAAAAUGAUUUUGAUAUGCGUGAAAGAAAUGAAAUAGAUAGAAUCUUUUUCGAACAACAACCUCUGCAUAAACACAAUCUUCCAAUUGAAACUCUAGGAGGUACUCCUCCACCUAAAGGUGAUCCUGUGUUUGAAUUAAAAUAAUUGCCAGACACUUUGAAAUAUGCUUAUCUUGCUGAGAAAAAUAUAUGUUAUUAUUAGUGCUAACAUUUUAGAACAUGAAGAAGAAAUAUUAUUGAAAGUUCUAAGGAAGCACCAAGCUGCUAUUGGAUAUACUCUUGAUGAUCUUAAGGGCAUUAGUCACACUCUAUGUCAGCACAAGAUUAAUAUGGAACCUGAUGCUAAACCCGUUGUUGAUCACCAACGUCGGUUAAAUCUGAAGAUGGAAGAAGUGGUAAGAACGGAAAUAUUGAAACUUCUGGAAGCAGGUAUAAUCUAUCCUAUAACUGAUAGUAGAUUGUUCAUUGUGUCCCUAAGAAGGGAGGUAUUACUGUUGUUCCUAAUGAUAAUAAUGAGCUUAUUCCACAAAGAAUUGUCAUAGGCUAUAGGAUGGUAAUUGAUUAUAGAAAAUUAAACAAAGCAACUAGGACAGAUCAUUACCCUCUGCCUUUUAUUGAUCAAAUGUUAGAAAGAUUAUCUAAGCACACACAUUUUUGCUUCCUUGAUGGAUAUUCUGGUUUUUCAAAAAAUACAUGUCUCACAACCCGAUCAAGAAAAGACCACUUUUACUUGUCCUUUUGGAACUUAUGCUUAUAGACGUAUGCCUUUUGGUCUAUGCAAUGCACCUGGUACCUUUCAAAUAUGUAUGACUGUAAUAUUCUCCGAUUAUUGUGAAAAGAUUGUUGAGAUUUUCCUGGAUGACAUUUCUGUUUAUGGGAAGUCUUUUGAUGAUUUUUUAAGCAAUCUUGAUCGAGUUUUGCAGAGAUGUGAACUAACAAAUCUUGUCUUGAAUUGGGAGAAGUGCCACUUUAUGGUUAAGAAGGUAUCAUUUUGGGCCAUAAAAUUUCUGAAAGAGGCAUUGAGGUGGACAAAGCCAAGGUUGAUGCAAUUGAGAAAAUGCCAUGUCCUAAAGAUAUCAAAGUUAUUCAUAGUUUCCUUGGUCAUGCUGGUUUAUAUAGGAGGUUUAUCAAAGACUUUUCUAAAAUUUCUAGGCCUCUUACAAAUCUUUUGCAAAAGGAUAUUCCUUUUGUGUUUGAUGAUGAUUGUUUGGAAGCCUUCAAAAUACUAAACAAAGCCUUAAUUACGGCACCUAUUGUUCAACCACCUGGUUGGAACUUGCCUUUUGAGAUUAUGUGUGAUGCUAGUGAUUAUGUUGUUGGUGCUGUUCUAGGACAAAGAGUUGAUAAGAAAUCAAAUGUUAUCCAUUAUGCUAGUAAAACUCUGGACAGUGCUCAACGAAAUUAUGCUACUACAGAAAAAGAAUUCUUAGUAGUGGUGUUUGCUUGUGAUAAAUUGAGAUCUUACAUCGUUGAUUCUAAAGUGAUAGUUCACACCGAUCAUGCUGCUAUAAAAUAUCUUAUGAAAAGAAAGAUGCUAAACCUAUACUCAUUAGGUGGGUUCUUCUGCUACAAGAAUUUGAUUUGCAUAUGACUGAUAGGAAAGGAGCAGAGAACCUCGUAGCAGAUGACUUGUCUAGGCUUGAAAAUAUUCUUGAUGACCCACAACCUAUUUAUGAUAGCUUUCUUGAUGAACAGUUAGUUGCAAUAAAUGUUUCUAAUAGUACACCUUGGUAUGCUGACUAUGCUAAUCAUAUUGUUUGCUAAAUACAUACCACCUAGCUUUACAUACCAACAAAAGAAAAAAAUUCUUCUAUGAUUUAAGACAUUACUUUUGGGAUGACCCACAUCUUUAUAAAGUAGGAGAUGGUAUUAUUAGACGUUGUGUACCUGAGCAUAAACAGGAACAAAUCCUACGGAAAUGUCACAUCGAGGCUUAUGGAGGACAUCACGCGGGAGACAAAACCGCUCAUAAGGUAUUUCAAUCAGAUUUUAUUGGCCUACUCUCUUCAAGGAUGCUCGUAAGUUCAUCUUGUCUUGUGAUGAAUGUCAAAGAAUAGGUAAUAUCGGUAAGCGUCAAGAAAUGCCUAUGAAUUAUUCACUUGCUGUUGAACCAUUUGACGUUUGGGGACUUGAUUUCAUGGGACCUUUUCCUUCCUCUGAUGGGUAUACUCAUAUUUUGGUUGUUGUUGAUUUGUUACUAAGCGGGUACAAGCUAUUCCAACCAGUAGUACUGAUCACAACACCUCUAUUAAAAUGCUUAAGGAAGUUAUUUUCCCAAGGUUCCAGGUCCCUAGAUAUUUCAUGAUUGAUGAUGGUUCACACUUUAUUCAUGGUGAUUUCCGUAAAAUGCUUGCUAAGUAUGAUGUUAACCAUAGAGUUGCAUCACCUUAUCAUCCUCACUCUAGUGGCCAAGUUGAACUUAGCAAUAGAGAAAUAAAAAUAAUAUUACAAAAGACUGUCAAUAGGUCCCAAAAAUUGGUCUAAGAAACUAGCUGAUGCACUUUGGGCUUAUAGAACAUCAUAUAAAAAUCCUAUGGGUAUGUCUCCUUAUAAAAUGGUUUGUGGAAAAGCUUGUCAUUUGCCUCUUGAGUUAGAACAUAAAGCACAUUGGGAAAUUAAAGAACUCAAUUAUGAUUUUAAAAUUGCUGGUGAAAAGAGGCUAUUUGAUAUUAGCUCAUUAGAUGAAUGGAGAACCCAAGCUUAUGAAAAUGCAAAGUUAUUCAAAAAAAGGGUUAAAAGAUGGCAUGACAAAAGAAUCCAAAAGCGUGAGUUCAAAGUUGGAGAAUAUGUUAUUUUGUAGAACUCUCGUUUCAGAUUCUUUGCAGGAAAACUCCUCUCCACAUGGGAAGGACCCUAUGUUAUCGGGGAGGUUUAUCGAUCCGGAGCUAUCAAUAUAAAUACUGCCGAAGGUACUAACACGAAGGUUGUUAAUGGGAAACGAAUAAAACAUUAUAUCUCAGGUAUGCCCAUUAAUGUUAAAAGCAAUAUUAUGCAAACUAUGACACCGAAAGAACACAUAAAAGAAACUUUCUGGAACACUCCAGGAUCGUGAAAAAAGGGAGGUACGUGAUACGGUAAGUAAACGGACUCCGAAAAAUCCGCAAAAAUAUUUUUUGUCAGUUUUGGAAUAUUUAAAAAAUUAGGAAAAUAAGAAACUUCCAGGAAAGUGAUCCUGGUGGGCACGAUACACCAAGGCGCGCCUGGCUUGCGAAGCGCGCCGGUGGGUUGUGCCCACCUCUGGUACUUUCCGGACUCCGUUUUCUUCCGUUCUACUUGUUCCCCAAGAUAAAAAAUCUUUAUAUACACCCCCCCCCGAACCUGUUGACCUCUGUAUCGCGGAGAAAUCUCUUGUUUUCUUUUCUUGCUAUUUUCUGUCAGAUCCAAUCCACCAUGGCCGCUUCAAGCUCCUCCAAGGACAAGUUCUUCAACAACGUCAUCAACCCAUAUCUGCGGGAAGUGAUGCAGCACCCUCAAGCUAUCCAGAUGCGCGAUAGGGUGCUGCACAUCCGCGAUGUGCAAGGACCCAUGGGGACUGGAUCAAUGGAGGCCAGGCUUGAAGCUAUGGAGCAGGAAGUCUUCCAGUGCAAGGGGAUGGUUGAACAUGGACUCAAUGCCAAUCACCCCAUGAUCGCAGACUACACCCGUGAUCUCAAGGUGGAUGGCAAGUCCAUGAAGGACAUUGUCUUCUCCCUCAACGAGCAAAUCAACUUCCUCCAUAGCCAGAUCCACGACCUUCAAAGGCAAGUCUUUGAAUAUGAGGCAAGGUUUAAAGGUAUGAGUUUGGCUGCCAUUUGCAGGAUCCGAGAGACUCACUCUUCCUUUUAUGAUGGUGAGCAUCUGUCGUGGAAACAUGAGGACAAGAUUGCUUCUACUUCAUCACCACCACCUCCUUCUUCAUCACCAAAAGAAAAUUGAGUAUCGGGUAUGGGCACUCCCCUUGUCUUUCGCAAAGCUUGGGGGAGGUGCCCCGGUACCAUAUCAUAUCCACUAUCUUUUGCCUUUAGUUUUCUUAGUUCAAUCCAUGGUUAUCUUUUGCUUUAGAUGAAUAAGAGUUUAGUUCGAUCCUUUCUUUUUGAGAGUUUGCUUAGUGAUCAGUCUUUGUAAUCGUGUGCGAGAUAUAUAAUAAAGUUUAGUUUGAGUUUUGCUUUCUUUACUUUCUUGUUUCAAUAAAAAGGAAGGAAAUAAAUGAAAAAGAUCAUAUGCUAAUCUUAUGGUAAGUGAUGACAUUACACAAGGAAAAGUAUAAGUAGAAAAUUUUAUUGUAGAUUGACAAACAUAGCAUUGGUCAAUGAUGCAACUCAUGAAAGAAUUAAUAAGGGAAGAGAAGAUUCACAUGCAAAUACACUAUCCUAGAAAUCUUUUGUGAUUGUGAGAACCCAUCAAAAUAUUAUAUGCCAAAUUUGUUGACAUUGGACAAGGAAGACAACGUAAUGAUUUAUGUUUGUUAAUAUUCACAUAGAAGUUAUAUUGUCAUUGAUCCUUCAACAUGUGGUGCUUGCCCCUAUCUUUGCUAGCCAAAAACUCCGCACUAAGUAGAGAUACUACUUGUGCAUUCAAAACCCUUUAAACCCAAAUCUUGUUUGAGAGUACACCAUACCUACCUAUGGAUUGAGUAAGAUCCUUCAAGUAGGUUGUCAUCGGUGAAAAAGGGCAAUAAAAAUUGCUUCUAAAGUGUAAGAUAAUUCAGUGUAAGGGAGAAUUGAGCGUUGUACGAACUUGUGAUGGCGUAGAAUAAAAGCGAUAGACUGCAUAAUAAAGGUUGCCAUCAUACGGGGCAAUAUAACAUGACGUUCUCUUGCACUAAGGGGUUGAGCAUACAAACAAAAAGUGCAUGGCAACCUCUGCUUCCCUCUGCGAAGGGCCUUCUUUUAGUUUCAUGUAUUUAAUUUCAUGAAAGAGUCAAAUUUCUUCUCUCUAUUCCUUUUUAUUUUCUCCUUUGGCAAGCAUCAUGUGGUGAGGAAAGAUCUAGGCACAUAUAUCCAGUUGAAUAUGGGUAGCAUGAGUUAUUAUUAUUGACAUCACCCUUGAGGUGAAUGCGUUGGGAGGCGAAACUAUAAGCCGAUAUCUUUCUAUGUGUCUGGUUGGAAUGUUUUGGUCAUCUGUACGCGGUGAGUGUUAGCAAUCAUAGAAGACUAAAUGAUGUUUGAGUAUGUGGACUUGCCUAAAGGCUCCAAUACGUGACCCUUCCUGAAAAGAUGAUGAAUUGUAGUUGCAAAGUUGACCGAGAACAUAGUUUGUUGGUUUCCAAUAGAGUUUAAGCUUUAUAAUUUGAUGUUGUGAUGAAUUGUCACUUGUUCAUGAGAAGUCUAUGAUAAAAGUUCUAUGAUAAAAGUUUUAUGUUAAAGUUAGUUGCUGUUAUAAUAAGUUACAUGAUGCUGCUAUGUCCUUAUUUUUGUUUUCAUCAACACCUCUCUCUCUCUCUCUCUCUAAGCAUGUGGACAUGUUUUUCGAUUUCGGUUUUCGCUUGAGCACAAGCGAGGUCUAAGCGUGGGGGAGUUGAUACGUCCAUUUUGCAUCAUGUUUACCUACUAUUAUUUAUGUUGUUUUAUUGUAUAAUAAUGCUUUUUGGAGUAAUUCUAAUGCCUUUUCUCUCAUAAGAUGCAAGGUACACACAAAGGGGGAGAAUUCUGGCAGCUGGAAAUCUGGACCUAAAAAAGCUACGACAGGAUACCUAUUCUACACAACUCCAAAUGAGCUUAAACUUUACGAGGAUUUUUUAUGGAAUAUUUGAGGAAUAUUGGAGCAAAUAAGUACCAGAGGGGGCCCGCCAGGUGGGCACAACCCACCUGGGCACGCCAGGGAGCCCAGGUGUGCCCUGGUGGGUUGUGCUCGCCCAGGCCCACCUCCGGUGCCCCUCUUCUGGUAUAUAAGUCAUUGUGACCUAGAAAAAAUAAGGAGAGGACUUUCAGGACAAAGCGCCUCUGUCUCGAGGUGGAACCUGGGUAGGAGCACUUUUACCCUCCGGCGGCGCGAUUCCGCCGGGGGAACUUCCCUCCCGGAGGGGUAAAUCAUCGUCAUCAUCAUCACCAACCACUCUCCCAUCUUGGGGAGGGCUAUCUUCAUCAACAUCUUUAAUAGAACCAAAUGCUCUCAAACCCUAGUUCAUCUCGUGUGUUCAAUCUUUGCACUGGAACUAUAGAUUGGUGCUUGUGGGUGACUAGUAGCGUUGAUUACAUCUUGUAGUUGAUUACUAUAUGGUUUAUUUGGUGGGAGAUUAUAUGUUCAGAUACAUUAUGUUAUUUAAUACCCCUAUUUUCUUGAGCAUGAUUACCAUUUGUGAGUAGUUACUUUUGUUCUUGAAGUCACGGGAGAAGUCUUGUUGCAAGUAAUCAUGUGAACUUGAUAUGUGUUCGAUAUUUUGAUGAUAUGUAUGUUGUGAUUCCCUUAGUGGUGUCAUGUGAACAUCGACUACAUGACACUUCACCAUAUUUGAGCCUAAGGGAAUGCAUUGUGGAGUUGUCAUUAGAUGAUGGGUUGCGAGAGUGACAGAAGCUUAAACCCUAGUUUAUGCGCUAUUCCGUAAGGGACCAAUUGGAUCCAAGAGUUUAAUGCUAUAGUUAGAAUUUAUUCUUAAUACUUUUCUCGUAGUUGCGGAUGCUUGCGAGAGGGUUAAUCAAAAGUAGGAGGUUUGUUCAAGUAAGAACAGCACUGAAGCACCGGUCUACCCACAUACCAAAUUAUCAAAGUAGCGAACACGAAUUAAGCCAACAUGAUAAAAGUGACUAGAUGAAAUUCCCGUGUACCCUCAAGAACACUUUGCUUAUCAUAAGAGACCGUUUUGGCCUAUCCUUUGCCUCAAAAGGAUUGGGCUACCUUGUUGCACUUUUGUUACUACUAUCGUUACUUGCUUGCUACAAAUUAUCUUGCUAUCAAACUACUCUGCUACUAACAAUUUUAGCACUUGCAGACAUUACCUUGCUGAAAACCACUUGCCAUUUCCUUCUGCUCCUCGUUGGGUUCGACACUCUUACUUAUUGAAAAGGCUACAAUUGACCCCAUAAACUUGUGGGUCAUCAGAUACGAGUCCAUGGAAGGUCCUUUGCCAAAUGUAUUAUAGAUAUAGCCAACUUUGACUGUUUCGACAUCACCAAAAGCAUUAUUCACCAUCAAGAAUGCGUUACUGCAGUAAAGAUACACAAAUGGGAUCAAAAAAUAAAGUAAAAAUAAAACACACAAAAAGGAUGAAGGACAUACACAUAAAACUUACUCGUUGUAUUUGGUUACAAAAUCUUGGCUGAGAACGAGAUCCUUUAUUAUCCUCGCCUCAUCAAUAUAUUUGAAGCUCGGAGGCCUCAAUUUCUCUAUAGAGCCUCUCAACUUAAAAGCCCUCUCACCUACCCUCUUGUUCGAAAUAUUUGAGCCUCAUCAACGGGAGGACGAUUGAUUGUUGCAUGUCCUAGUGACGCGUGGCACUGGCGUAACAAAAUCAUCAUCCACAUGAACUAUCUCAUGCGGAGAGCCAGGUCGAUCAACAAUUCCAGCACCAGGUCCAGAUGCCACGUCUAUAUUCGAUCCAUCUCCACACAAAGAACCAGAAUUCCCUGGAGAGAUUCAAUGGAAAAAUCCUCCAUAACUACCUCUUAACCCUGGGACUCUAAAGUGAUGUACAGCCUCCAUGAAGACCACCAUCAAAAGUUGAUAACGAGGAGAAAAAACAUGGGAACACUCAGCCCAAAACCAGAACCAAAAACAUUAAAUGCAGCUCAAUAAUAUAAAAAAUGCAGUUCACUAAAGGACAGAAUGCAACUAUCUUAUAUAGAACAAUGAAGCGCACUUGUCUAGAACAAUGCAGCCCACUUGCCCUGAAUAAUGCAGCUCAAUUGUCUACAACAAUGCAGCUCAAUUACACAACAAUACGUAGCCCCUCCACUGUCAAACACGUAUUCACUACCACACUAAUAAAAUAAAACCUUAAGAAGCGGAAGCAAGUAGUAGACAAAAAAUAAGGGAAAUAAAGCAGUUCACUAACACAACCUUUAUCAGCAAAAAUUAAAAAUGACGAUUACUCAAGGGAACACUUUGUCGAUGUGAGAUAGCUAUAGAGCAUGGCCUUUCUAAUGCAGCCAAUGUGCUACACCCCAAACUGAGCAACUCGAACACCAUCCCAAGUCUGCAAGAAUUGAAACAUAUAGAAUCCACAAUCAUUCUUGCAAAAAAAGAACAAAAAACAUUAGUUUCACAUAAAAAUAUAAAAUAACAAUUGAGGAGUAUGCUGGAGAGGGGCUACAAGGAACAUACCCAUUUGGCUGAAUUGGGACAACCACUUGUUUCAAUGCAAAUCCAUCAAGUGUAGGACGAUUUAGCGGCUCAGCAGAACUUGAGCUACCUUCUUUCCAUGCACGCUUGAUAUUUUUAACCAUCCACCUUAAAAUCCUGUUCGCUUCAGAGCUGCCAAGUUUAUUGAGCGAGUCAAGGAAUUCAAACCGCCUUUCCUUCACAUUCAAGGCAACUACACAAUAAUGACCAACAUCAUCCCUUGUCUCUGGCGGAUCAAAUGUUGCAAACAGGACCUGUUGGAAGUAAAAAAUAAAUAAAAGUAUUACAAGAACAAGAAAGGGAACACUAUAAAACCAACACACAAACAUGGUUUUGGACACAUAAAAACAUUACUCACCAUAUCUUUCUUAUCGACACGCUCAUCAGCUUUUGAAGAGAACAUCAAUUUCACACUCCUGCCUACACUACCACCUUUCCAAAUACUUUCCUGCCAAAAAAAACCAAACAAGAAACAGUGUUCAAGCAAACAAGUCAUCACAGGAAAUCAAAAAAGAGAAUCAAAAAAGAAACAAAAUUUAUGCAUGCUUACACAAAUAUGGUACAGGACAAUCAUCGUUGGAGAUCCAUUAAACUUAUCUACCAGCAAAGAAACCCCAAGAUCUACAAGUCAUGUAGAGCAUCCCUUUAUCCCAAAGAGAUUGACCAACUUCGCCAAUGGAAAUAUCGGCCAACUCAGUUUUGAAAGCCAUCAUGUCCCUAAUUUUUUUUUGAAAAACUGAAACAUAAGAUACUACAAAAAUAACAAGAACGAGAAAGGGGAAAGACCGUGAUUAGAAAAUACAUAUUAAAAAAUAAUUUAUAAAAAUUCAUACUUCUUCUUUUUUGUCCCUCCGAGCCCUCGUAACAGCAGUGUACAACUCAUUGUAUCUUCUGAGAAGAGUUGGAUCAAUGCUCGACGGUGUCACAACAGGAAGUUCGUCCUCUGUAAUAAAAAAUAAGGGAACAAAUAAAAGAUGAAGUUCACUUAUCUAAAAAAAUGAGGUUCAGUUGUAAUAUAAGGAAAUGUGCUAGCUAGCAACUAUUUUGAAAAUUACCAACAAAAGAAGAAGUUUCACUUAUCAUUAAACAUCUAAUGCAGCUACCAUAGUAACUAAAAAAUGAAUGAGAAAAACUUCAACUUCACUGUUCGAAACAAAACACUUGCCUUCAGUGUCAGAGUUUGUUCUUCAGAGCUAACCAAAACAUUUUCUUGGCUAGGUUGCGAUGAAACCACCACAGCCUCACUCGACUGCCCUACUAUAGCAACACCAGCAUUGUCUGGAUUUUCAAUAGUCUGGUCAACCGCAACGUCCUCAGAUAGUUUAGAUACAUGAGGCUCUACUCUGAAUACAUCAGGAACAUCAUUGGACGCCAGAAAAAUAGGAGAAACAGCAACACUACCAGCAGGAAUGACAUUCUCUAGCGGCUUUUAAAUGCCAACAUCAAAAUCUUCAUGAUGACUAGGGGCAACAGCAUGGUGGGAUUCCUGAGCUACAGAAGGUUCUGCAUUGUCAACGACAACCGAUACAGAAGCAUUCGCACUGCCAACCGAUUGACGAACUUCUACGUUUUCAUCUCCAGGCUGUAAAAAGUUAAAGAAAGCCACAAUAACACAAAUGAGCAAGGGGAGAAUUAAUGAUACAUAUCCAACAUAUCUAUAAUUUUUGAUAGUUCCAUGCUAUUAUAUUAUCAGUUUUUGAUGUUUAGUAGGCAUUUACAUGCUAUUGUAUAUUAUUUUUGGGACUAACCUAUUAACCGAGAGCCCAGUGCAUGUUUUUGUUUUUUUUCUAUUUUAGAUUUUCGCAGAAAAGGAAUACCAAAUGGAGUCCAAACAGAAUGAAACUUUCAUGAUGAUCUUUCUUGGACUAGAAGGAAAUCAGAAGACUUGGAUAUGAAGUCGGAGACGCAAUGGGGCGGCCACGAGGCAGGAGGUGAAGGAAAUAUGCCCUAGAGGCAAUAAUAAAGUUAUUAUUUAUUUCCUUAUAUCAUGGUAAAUGUUUAUUAUUCAUGCUAGAAUUGUAUUAACCGGAAACAUAAUACAUGUGUGAAUACAUAGACAAACAGAGUGUCACUAGUAUGCCUCUACUUGACUAGCUUGUUGAUCAAAGAUGGUUAUGUUUCCUAACCAUAGACAUGUGUUGUCAUUUGAUUAACGGGAUCACAUCAUUAGGAGAAUGAUGUGAUUGACAUGACCCAUUCCGUUAGCUUAGCACACGAUCAUUUAGUAUAUUGCUAUUGCUUUCUUCAUGACUUAUACAUGUUCCUGUAACUAUGAGAUUAUGCAACUCCCAUUUACCGGAGGAACACUUUGGGUGCUACCAAAUGUCACAACGUAACUGGGUGAUUAUAAAGGGGUACUAUAGGUGUCUCCAAAGGUACAUGUUGGGUUGGCGUAUUUCAAGAUUAGGUUUUGUCACUCCGAUUGUCGGAGAGGUAUCUCUGGGCCCUCUCGGUAAUGCACAUCACUAUAAGGCUUGCAAGCAAUGUAGCUAAUGAGUUAGUUAUGGAAUGAUGCAUUACGUAAUGAGUAAAGAGACUUGCCGGUAACGAGAUUGAACUAGGUAUUGGAUACCGACGAUCGAAUCUCGGGCAAGUAACAUACCGAUGACAAAGGGAACAACGUAUGUUGUUAUGCGGUUUGACCGAUAAAGAUCUUCAUAGAAUAUGUAGGAACCAAUAUGGGCAUCCAGGUUCCGCUAUUGGUUAUUGACCGAGAAUAGUUCUAGGUCAUGUCUACAUAGUUCUCGAACCCGUAGGGUCCGCACGCUUAAUGUUACGAUGAUAGUUUUAUUAUGAGUUUAUAAGUUUUGAUGUACCAAAGUUUGUUCGGAGUCCCGGAUGUGAUCUCGGACGUGACGAGGAGUCUCGAAAUGGUCGAGACAUAAAGAUCGAUAUAUUGCAAGCCUAUAUUUGGACAUCGGAAUCGUUCCGGGUGAAAUCGGCAUUUUACCGGAGUACCGGGAGGUUACCGGAACCCCCCGGAGGGUUAUUGGGCCUACAUGGGCCUCGAGGGAGAAGAGGGAAGGAGGCAGGAGGUGGCCGCGUGCCCCUCCCCUUCCUAGUCCGAAUAGGACAAGGGAAGGGGUGCGACGCCCCCCCUUUCCUUCCCCUCUUCCUCCUCUUUCCCCUUCCUCCUUCUCCAACUAGGAAAGAAAGGGAGUCCUACUCCCGGUGGGAGUAGGACUCCCCCCUGGCGCGCCCCUCCUUGGCCGGCCGCCCCCUCCCCUUGGCUCCUUUAUAUACGGGGGCGGGGGGCACCCCAUAGACACACAAGUUGAUCUACAGAUCAUUCCUUAGCCGUGUGCGGUGCCCCCCUCCACCAUAUUCCACCUCGGUCAUAUCGUCGCGGAGUUUAGGCGAAGCCCUGUGCCGGUAGAACAUCAUCAUCGUCACCACGCCAUCGUGCUGACGGAACUCAUCUCGGGAGCUUUGCUGGAUCGGAGCCCGGAGAUCGUCAUCGAGCUGAACGUGUGCAGAACUCGGAGGUGCCGUACGUUCGGCGCUUGGAUCGGUCGGAUCGUGAAGACGUACGACUACAUCAACCGCGUUGUGCUAACGCUUCCGCUUACGGUCUAUGAGGGUACAUGGACAACACUCUCCCCUCUCGUUGCUAUACCAUCACCAUGAUCUUGCGUGUGCGUAGGAAAUUUUUUGAAAUUACUACGUUCCCCAACAGUGGCAUCCGAGCCAGGUUUUAUGCGUUGAUGUUAUAUGCACGAGUAGAACACAAGUGAGUUGUGGGCGAUACAAGUCAUACUGCUUACCAGCAUGUCAUACUUUGGUUCAGCGGUAUUGUUGGAUGAAGCGGCCCGGACCGACAUUACGCGUACGCUUACGCGAGACUGGUUUUACCACCGUGCUUUGCACACAGGUGACUAGCGGGUGUCUGUUUCUCCAACUUUAGUUGAACCGAGUGUAGCUACGCCCGGUCCUUGCAAAGGUUAAAACAGCACUAACUUGACGAACUAUCGUUGUGGUUUUGAUGCGUAGGUAAGAACGGUUCUUGCUCAGCCCGUAGCAGCCACGUAAAAUUUGCAACAACAAAGUAGAGGACGUCUAACUUGUUUUUGCAGGGCAUGUUGUGAUGUGAUAUGGUCAAGACGUGAUGAGAUAUAAGUUGUUGUAUGAGAUGAUCAUGUUUUGUUGAAGUUAUCGGAAACUGGCAGAAGCCCUAUGGUUGUCUCUUUGUUUCAUAAAGAUGCAAGUGCCAAAUAUUUGCUUUACAUUAUCGCUGUGCGAUAGCAAUAGUUGCAAGAGCAAUAGUUGGCGAGACGACCAUGUGAGGACACAUUGAUAUAGAUCAAGAUGAUGAAGAUCAUUGUGUCGUGCCGGUGACGAUAGAGAUCAUGACAGUACUUUGGAGAUGGAGAUCAAAGGCGCAAGAUGAUCAUGGCCAUAUCAUGUCACAUAUUUUGAUUGCAUAUGAUGUUUAUCUGUUAUACAUCUUAUCUUGCUUUGUUUGAUGGUAGCAUUUUAAGAUGAUCUCUCACUAAUUAUCAAGAAGUGUUCUCCCUGAGUAUGCACCGUUGCGAAAGUUCUUCGUGCUGAGACACCACGUGAUGAUCGGGUGUGAUAGGCUCUACAUUCAAAUACAACGGGUGCAAAACAGUUGCACACGCGGAAUACUCAGGUUAAACUUGACGAGCCUAGCAUAUACAGAUAUGGCCUCGGAACACGGAGACCGAAAGGUCGAACGUGAAUCAUAUAGUAGAUAUGAUCAACAUAGUGAUGUUCACCAUUGAAACUACUCCAUCUCAUGUGAUGAUCGGACAUGGUUUAGUUGAUUUGGAUCACGUGAUCACUUAGAUGACUAGAGAGAUGUCUGUCUAAGUGGGAGUUCUUAAGUAAUAUGAUUAAUUGAACUUUAAUUUAUCAUGAACUUAGUCCUGGUAGUAUUUUGCAAAUUAUGUUAUAGAUCAAUAGCUCGCGUUGUUGCUUUCAUAUGUUUAUUUUGAUAUGUUCCUAGAGAAAAUUGUGUUGAAAUAUGUUAGUAGCAAUGAUGCGGAUUGGAUCCGUGAUCCGAGGUUUAUCCUCAUUACUGCACAGAAGAAUUAUGUCCUUAAUGCACCGCUAGGUGACAGACCUAUUGCAGGAGCAGAAGCAGACGUUAUGAACGUUUGGCUAGCUCAAUAUGAUGACUACUUGAUAGUUUAGUGCACCAUGCUUAACGGCUUAGAAUCGGGACUUCAAAGACGUUUUGAACGUCAUGGACCAUAUGAGAUGUUCCAGGAGUUGAAGUUAAUAUUUUAAGAAAAUACCCGAGUUGAGAGAUAUGAAGUCUCCAACAAGUUCUAUGGCUAAAAGAUGGAGGAGAAUCGCUCAACUAGUGAGCAUGUGCUCAGAUUGUCUGGGUACUUCAAUCGCUUGAAUCAAGUGGGAGUUAAUCUUCCAGAUAAGAUAGUGAUUGUCAGAAUUCUCUAGUCACCAUUACUAAGUUACUAGAACUUCGUGAUGAACUAUAGUAUGCAAGGGAUGACGAAAACGAUUCCCGAGCUCUUCGUGAUGUUGAAAUCGACGAAGGUAGAAAACAAGAAAGAGCAUCAAGUGUUGAUGACUAACAAAGAUCACUAGUUUCAAGAAAAGGGCAAAGGGAAAGAAAGGGAAUCUUCAAGUAGAAUGGCAAACAAGUUGUCACUCCCGUGAAGAAGACCAAAGCUGGACCAAAGCCUGAAACUGAGUGCUUACACUGCAAAAGAAAUGGUCACUGGAAGCGGAAAUGCCCUGAAUAUUUGGUGGAUAAGAAGGAUGGCAAAGUGAACAAGGGUAUAUUUGAUAUACAGGUUAUUGAUGUAUGCCUUACUAGUGUUUAUAGUAGCCCCUGAGUAUUUGAUACUUGUUCAGUUGCUAAGAUUAGUAACUCGAAACAGGAGUUACAGAAUAAACAGAGACUAGUUGAAGGGCGAAGUGACGAUGAGUGUUGGAAAUAGUUCCAAGAUUGAUAUGAUCAUCAUCGCACACUCCCUAUACUUUCGGGAUUAGUGUUAAACCUAAAUAAAUGUUAUUUGGCGUUUGGAUUGAGCAUGAAUAUGAUUUGAUCAUGUUUAUUGCAAUACGGUUAUUCAUUUGAAGUUAAAGAAUAAUUGUUAUUCUGUUUACAUGAAUAAGACCUUCGAUGGUUAUACACCCAAUGAAAAUAGUUUGUUGGAUCUUGAUCGUAGUGAUACACAUAUUCAUAAUAUUGAUGCCAAAAGAUGCUAAGUUAAUAAUGAUAGUGCAACUUAUUUGUGGCACUGCCGUUUGGGUCAUAUCGGUGUAGAGUGCAUGAAGAAACUCCAUAAAGAUGGAUUUUUGGAAUCACUUGGUUAUGAAUCAUUUGAUGCUUGCAAACCGUGCCUUUUUGGGCAAGAUGACAAAAACUCCAUUCUCCGGAACAAUGGAACAAGCUACUGACUUAUUGGAAAUAAUACAUACUGAUGUAUGCGAUCCAAUGAGUGUUGAUGCUCGUGGCAAGUAUCGUUAUUUUCUGACCUUCACAAGAUGAUUUGAGCAGAUAUGGGUAUAUCUACUUGAUGAAACAUAAGUCUGAAAUAGUUGAAAGGUUCAAAGAAUUUUAGAGUGAAGUGGAAAAAUCAUCGUAACAAGAAAAUAAAGUUUCUGCGAUCUGAUCGCGGAGACGAAUAUUUGAGUUACGAGUUUGGUCUUCAAUUAAAACAAUGUGGAAUAGUUUCACAGCUCACGCCACCUGGAACACCGCAACAUUAUGGUGUGUCCGAACGUCGUAACCGCACUUUAUUGGAUAUGGUGCGAUCUAUGAUGUCUCUUAUUAAUUUACCAUUAUUGUUUUGGGGUUAUGCAUUAGAGACAGCUGCAUUCACGAUUAAAAGGGCACCAUCUAAAUCCGUUGAGACGACACUAUAUGAACUGUGGUUUAGCAAGAAACCAAAGUUGGCGUUUCUUAAAGUUUGGGGCUAUGAUGCUUAUGUGAAAGGUUUUUCAACCUGAUAAGCUCAAACCCAAAUUGGAGAAGUGCGUCUUCAUAGAAUACCCAAAGGAAACUGUUGGGUACUCCUUCUAUCACAGAUCCGAAGGCAAAACAUUCGUUGCUAAGAAUGGAUCCUUUCUGGAGAAGGAAUUUCUCUCGAAAGAAGUGAGUGGGAGGAAAGUAGAACUUGAUAAGGUAAUUGUACCUUCUCCUGAAUUGGAAAAUAGUUCAUCACUGAAAUUAGUUCUAGUGAUUCCUACACCAAUUAGUGAGGAAGCUAAUGAUGAUGAUCAUGAAACUUCUGAUCAAGUUACUACAGAACCUCGUAGGUCUUCCAGAGUACAGUCCGCACCAGAGUGGUACGGUAAUCCUGUUCUGAAAGUCAUGUUACUUGACCAUGAUAAACCUACGAACUAUGAGGAAGCGAUGAUGAGCCCAGAUUCCGCAAAAUGGCUGGAGGCCAUGAAAUCUGAGAUAGGAUCCAUGUAUGAGAACAAAGUGUGGACUUUGGUGGACUUGCCCGAUGAUCGGCAAACCAUAGAAAAAAAAUGGAUCUUCAAGAGGAAGACGGACGUUGAUAGUAGUGUUACUAUCUACAAAGCUCGACUUGUCGCAAAAAGGUUUUCGACAAGUUCAAGAUGUUGACUACAAUGAUAUUUUCUCAACUGUAGCGAUGCUUAAGUCUGUCCGAAUCAUGUUAGCAAUUGCCACAUUUUUUGAAAUCUGGCAAAAGGAUGUCAAAACUGCAUUUCUUAAUGGAUUUAUUAAAGAAGAGUUGUAUAUGAUGCAACCAGAAGGUUUUGUCAAUCCUAAAGGUGCUAACAAAGUGUGCAAGCUCCAGCGAUCCAUUUAUGGACUGGUGCAAGCCUCUCGGAGUUGGAAUAUAUGCUUUGAUGAGUUGAUCGAAGCAUUUGGUUUUAUACAGACUAUUGGAGAAGCCUGUAUUUACAAGAAAGUGAGUGGGAGCACUACAGCAUUUCUGAUAAGUAUAUGUGAAUGACAUAUUGUUGAUCGGAAAUAAUGUAGAAUUAUUCUGCAAAGCAUAAAGGAGUGUUUGAAAGGAGUUCUUUAAAAGAAAGACCUCAGUAAAGCUACUUACAUAUUGAGCAUCAAGAUCUAUAGAGAUAGAUCAAGACGCUUGAUAAGUUUUUCAAUAAAUACAUACCUUGACAAAAUUUUGAAAUAGUUCAAAAUAGAACAGUCAAAGAAAGAGUUCUUGCCUGUGUUGCAAAGGUAUGAAAUUGAGUAAGACUCAAAUCCCGACCACAGCAGAAAAUAGAAAGAGAAUGAAAGUCAUUCCCUAUGCAUCAGUCAUAGGUUCUAUAAAAGUAUGCCAUGCUAUGGACCAGACCUAUUGUAUACUCUGCCUUGGUUUGGCAAGGGAGUACAAUAGUGAUCUAGAAGUAGAUCACUAGGCAUUGGUCAAAAUUGUCCUUAGUGGAAUAAGGAUAUCUUUCUCAAUUAUGGAGGUGACAAAAGGUUCGUCGUAAAGGGUUACAUCGAUACAAGUUUUGGCACUGAUCCAGAUGACUCAAAGUCGCAAUCCGGAUACAUAUUGAAAGUGGGAGCAAUUAGCUAGAGUAGCUCCGUGCAGAGCAUUGUAGACAUAGAAUAUUUGCAAAAUACUUACGGCUCUGUAUGUGACAGACCCGUUGACUAAACUUCUCUCACAAGCAAAACAUGAUCAUACCUUAGUACUCUUUGGGUGUUAAUCACAUAGCAAUGUGAACUAGAUUGUUGACUCUAGUAAACCCUUUGGGUGUUGGUCACAUGACGAUGUGAACUAUGGGCUAUGGGUGUUAAUCAUAUACAGAUAUGAAUAUUGGUGUUAAAUCACAUGAUGAUGUGAACUAGAUUAUUGACUCUAGUGCAAGUGGGGGACUGAAGGAAAUAUGCCCUAGAGGCAAUAAUAAAGUUAUUAUUUAUUUCCUUAUAUCAUGAUAAAUGUUUAUUAUUCAUGCUAUAAUUGUAUUAACCGGAAACAUAAUACAUGUGUGAAUACAUAGACAAACAAAGUGUCACUAGUAUGCCUCUACUUGACUAGCUUGUUGAUCAAAGAUGGUUAUGUUUCCUAACCAUAGACAUGUGUUGUCAUUUGAUUAACAGGAUCACAUCAUUAGGAGAAUGAUGUGAUUGACAUGACCCAUUCCGUUAGCUUAGCACACGAUCGUUUAGUAUAUUGCUAUUGCUUUCUUCAUGACUUAUACAUGUUCCUGUAACUAUGAGAUUAUGCAACUCCCGUUUACCGGAGGAACACUUUGGGUGCUACCAAACGUCACAAUGUAACUGGGUGAUUAUAAAGGAGUACUACAGGUGUCUCCAAAGGUACAUGUUGGGUUGGCGUAUUUCGAGAUUAGGUUUUGUCACUCCGAUUGUCGGAGAGGUAUCUCUGGGCCCUCUCGGUAAUGCACAUCACUAUAAGCCUUGCAAGCAAUGUAGCUAAUGAGUUAGUUACGGAAUGAUGCAUUACGUAACGAUUAAAGAGACUUGCCGGUAACGAGAUUGAACUAGGUAUUGGAUACCGACGAUCGAAUCUCGGGCAAGUAACAUACCGAUGACAAAGGGAACAACGUAUGUUGUUAUGCGGUUUGACUGAUAAAGAUCUUCGUAGAAUAUGUAGGAACCAAUAUGGGCAUCCAUGUUCCGCUAUUGGUUAUUGACCGAGAAUAGUUCUAGGUCAUGUCUACAUAGUUCUCGAACCCGUAGGGUCCGCACGCUUAACGUUACGAUGAUAGUUUUAUUAUGAGUUUAUAAGUUUUGAUGUACAGAAGUUUGUUCGGAGUCCCGGAUGUGAUCACGGACGUGACGAGGAGUCUCGAAAUGGUCGAGACAUAAAGAUUGAUAUAUUGGAAGCCUAUAUUUGGACAUCGGAAUCGUUCCGGGUGAAAUCGGCAUUUUACCGGAGUACCGGGAGGUUACCGGAACCCCCCGGAGGGUUAUUUGGGCCUACAUGGGCCUCGAGGGAGAAGAGGGAAGGAGGCAGGAGGUGGCCGCGCGCCCCUCCCCUUCCUAGUCCGAAUAGGACAAGGGAAGGGGGCUUUCCUUUCUCUCUUCCUCCUCUUUCCCCCUUCCUCCUUCUCCAACUAGGAAAGAAAGGGAGUCCUACUCCCGGUGGGAGUAGGACUCCCCCCUGGCGCGCCCCUCCUUGGCCGGCCGCCCCCUCCCCUUGGUUCCUUUAUAUACGGGGGCGGGGGGCACCCCAUAGACAGACAAGUUGAUCUACAGAUCGUUCCUUAGCCGUGUGCGGUGCCCCCCUCCACCAUAUUCCACCUCGGUCAUAUCGUCGUGGAGUUUAGGCGAAGCCCUGCGCCGGUAGAACAUCAUCAUCGUCAUCAUGCCGUCGUGCUGACGGAACUCAUCUCCGGAGCUUUGCUGGAUCAGAGCCCGGAGAUCGUCAUCGAGUUGAACGUGUGCAGAACUCGGAGGUGCCGUACGUUCGGCGCUUGGAUCGGUCGGAUCGUGAAGACGUACGACUACAUCAACUGCGUUGUGCUAACGCUUCCGCUUACGGUCCACGAGGGUACGUGGACAACACUCUCCCCUCUCGUUGCUAUACCAUCACCAUGAUCUUGCGUGUGCGUAGGAAUUUUUUUGAAAUUACUACGUUCCCCAACAGGAGGGCGCGCCCCCCUACCUCGUGGGCCCCUCGUAGCUCCCCUGACCUAGCUUCUUCGUACUCUUAUACCCUAAAAACAUCCAGGGGAGCCCUGAAACCACUUUUCCACCACCGCAACCUUCUGUACCCGUGAGAUCCCAUCUAGGGGCCUUUUCCAGCGUCCUGCCGGAGGGGGAUUCAAUCACAGAGGGCUUCUACAUCAACACCAUUACCUCUCCGAUGAAGUGUGAGUAGUUUACCACAGACCUACGGGUCCAUAGCUAGUAGCUAGAUGGCUUCUUCUCUCUCUUUCAUUCUCAAUACCAUGUUCUCCUUGAUGUUUUUGGAAAUCUAUUCGAUGUAAUAUUCUUUUGCGGCGUGUUUGCCGAGAUCCGAUGAAUUGUCGAUUUAUGAUCAGAUUAUCUAUGAAUAUUAUUUGGUUCUUCUUUGAAUUUUUCUAUGCAUGAUUUGAUAUCUUUGCCAGUCUCUUCGAAUUAUUGGUUUAGUUUGGCCUACUAGAUUGAUCUUUCUUGCAAUGGGAGAAGUGCUUAGCUUUGGGUUCAACCUUGCGGUCUCCUUUCCAAGUGACAGUAGGGGCAGCAAGGCACGUAUUGUAUUGUUGCCAUCGAAGAUAAAAGAUGGGGUUUCCAUCAUAUUGCUUGUGUUAAUUCCUCUACAUCAUGUCAUCUUACUUAAUGCACUCUAUUCUUUAUGAACUUGAUACUCUAGAUGCAGGCAGGAGUCAGUCGAUGUGUGGAGUAAUAGUAGUAGAUGCAGAAUAUUCGGUCUACUUGACACGGACGUGAUGCCUUGUUCAUGAUCAUUGCCUUAGAUAUCGUUAUAACUAUGCGCUUUUCUAUCAAUUGCUCGGCAGUAAUUUGUUCACCCACCGUUAUAUUUGCUAUCUUGAGAGAAGCCACUAGUGAAACUUAUGGCCCCCGGGUCUCUUUUCCAUUAUAUAAGUUCUUGUUUACAUCUUACUAGUUUCCGAUCUACUAUUUUGCAAUCUUUUACUUCCCAUUCUAUAAACCAAAAAUACCAAAAAUAUUUACUUUACCGUUUAUCUAUCUCUAUUAGAUCUCACUUUUGCAAGUGACCGUGAAGGGAUUGACAACCCCUUUAUCGCGUUGGGUGCAAGUUGUUGGUUGUUUGUGCAGGUAUUCGGUGACUUGUGUGUCUCCUACUAGAUUGAUACCUUGGUUCUCAAAUUGAGGGAAAUACUUACGCUACUUUGCUGCAUCACCCUUUCCUCUUCAAGGGAAAACUAACGCAAGCUCAAGAGGUAGCAAGAAGGAUUUUUGGCGCCGUUGCCUGGGAGAUCUACGUCAAGUCAAGCCAUACCAAGUACCCAUCAUAAACUCUUCUCCCUUGCAUUACAUUAUUCGCCAUUCGCCUCUCGUUUUCCUCUCCCCCACUUCUAAAUUGAUUUUCAAAAACCUUUGUGUUGACGUAUAAUGUGUUGCCUAGUCUCUUCCAUCAGAUCGGUCUUUUGGUUGCAUUGGCUAGAUCAUGCACUUCUACAUGGUAUCGGAGCCAAGCGGUCUUGAGUUCAAGACCCGGCUAUGCAAUUAAAUUGCAGCCCACUUUCAGUCCACGUUUAGGCCUGAGGGAGCCACACGUGAGGGGGAGUGUUGACGUAUAAUGUGCUGCCUAGUCUCUUCCAUUAGAUCGGUCUUUUGGUUGCAUUGGCUAUAUCAUGCACUUCUACACUUUGCCUUUUCUUCGCCCCUUUUCCGUUCAUCUCUUUUUGCUUGCUUCUUGUGUGCUUGUGUGCUAGAUCACUUGAUUCACCUUCAUGGCUAGUCCUCCUAUCAUUGUCAGUACUCCCGAUAAUGAAGUCCUCAAUUUUAAACAAAGGUAGAGAGAAAAUCUAAAGGAUGCUUCGUAUAGAAUUUGCAAUGCUCAAAGAUCUACUAGAAAGCAAUCUACUUCCAUUCUUCUCUGCAAUUUUUAUGUGGGCGUUACUCCUUGGAAUAGAUAUGUUCUUGGCACCAUUAAUAGAGGGAAUCUCUUGGGAAGCCAUACUUUUAAUUCUUAUAAUGCCAUGAUAGAUUUGUUAGGCCCACCACCUCUUUUGGUCAAUUGAACUAUUUUAACCUUGGAACAUAUGAUGCAAAGACUUGAUAUUAUUGAGAAUAAAAUUGCUACUGUAGAGUUGAUAGCAAAUUUGGAUAAAAAAUUUUAUAAUCAAAUAACUCAAUAUGGAUCUAUGGUAGGAGUUACUCUAAAGAGUCUUAGAGAAAAGGAACCCAUAGUUAAUGAAAAGAUAGAUCAAGAUUCUACUAGAAUUGAUAAAUUCGAAGAUAUUAUUACCAACUUGGGUUCCGCUUUUUCUUCUGUUAAAAAUACCUCAAAUCUUCCUCCUGCCAAAGUUCGCAAGUUUAUUUACAUUCCUUAGAAUAAGGGUGAAUCUUCUAGUAAGGAAAAUGAAGAUCUCAAAUCAAUAAGUGUUAACCCUAAUCUUUUCGAUAUUAUUAAGGAACCUUUUGCCAUGAAUGAAUUUCUCGAUUUAUUGCCUAGGAGAUUAAUCCUUGAUAAAACCAAAGAGUCUCCUAAGGAUUAUAUGUGUUCAAUUGAAGAAUUGCAUAUCAAAGAUGGCAAUACCUAGAUCUAUUCGUGUUUUUAUGCCUAGCUAAGGGCGUUAAACGAUAAUGCUUGUUGGGAGGCAACCCAAUUUUAUUUUUAUUCUUUGUUUUUUGUUCCUGUUUAGUAAUAAAUAAUUCAUCUAUCCUCUGGUUAGAUGUGUUUUUAUGUUUUAAUUAGUGUUUGUGCCAAGUGGAACCUUUAGGAUAGCUUACGGUGAUAGUUGUGUUGAUCCUACUAAAAAUCAAAAACGUGAUUGUGGUAUGAUUCUUUUUUCUAUGGAUUGGUACGCAAAUUUCUCAGGUUUUCCUAAUUUAUAUGUAUUUUUAGAGUUACAGAAGUAUUCGAGAGUUACAAAUUACUACAGACUAUUUUGUUUUCGACAGAUUCUGUUUUUCGCGUGUUGUUUGCUUAUUUUGAUGAAUCUAUGGGUAGUAUAGGGGGUAUGAACCAUGGAUAAGUUGGAAUACAGUAGAUAUUACACCAAUAAAAAUAAAUAAAGAAUUUUAAACAGUACCUUAAAGUGGUGAUUUAUUUUGUUAUACUAACGAAGCUCAUGAGAUUUUCUAUCGAGUUUUGUGUUGUGAAGUUUUCAAGUUUUGGGUAAGGAUUUGAUGGAAUAUGGAAUAAGGAGUGGCAAAAGCCUAAGAUUGGGGAUGCCCAAGGCACCCCAAGGUAAUAUUCAAGGACAACCAAAAUCCUAAGCUUGGAGAUGCCCCGGAAGGCAUCCCCUCUUUCGUCUUCGUCUAUCGGUAACUUUACUUGAGGCUAUAUUUUUAUUCACCACAUGAUAUGUGUUUUGCUUGGAGCGUCUUGUAUGAUUUGAGUCUUUUCUUUUUAGUUUACCACAAUCAUCCUUGUUGUACAUACCUUUUGGGAGAGAUAUGCGUGAAUCGUGAUAUAUUAGAAUACUCUAUGUGCUUCACUUAUAUCUUUUGAGCUAGGCAAUAUUGCUCUAGUGCUUCACUUAUAUCUUUUUAGAGCAUGGCGGUGGCUUUAUUUUAUAGAAAUUUUUGAACUCUCAUGCUUCACUUAUAUUAUUUUGAGAGUCUUUUAGAAAAGCAUGGUAAUUUGCUUGGGUUAUAAAACUAGUCCUAAUAUGAUGAGCAUCCAAGAUGGAUAUAAUAAAAACUUUCAUAUAAAGUGUGUUGAAUACUAUGAGAAGUUUAUUCUUUAUGGUUGUUUUGAGAUAUGAAGAUGGUGAUAUUAGAGUCAUGAUAGUGGAGUAGUUGUGAAUUUGAUAUAUACUUGUGUUAAAGUUUGUGAUUCCCGUAGCAUGCACAUACGAUGAACCGUUAUGUGAUGAAGUUGGAGCAUGAUUUAUUUUUUGUUUGUCUUCCUUAUGAGUGGAGGUCGAUAUCAUGCGAUGGUCAACUCCUACCAACCCUUCCCCUAGGAGCAUGCGUGUAGUGCUUGGUUUCGAUGAUUUGUAUAUGUUUUCAAUAAGUAUGUGAGUUCUUUAUGACUAAUCUUGAGUCCAUCGAUUAUACGCACUCUCACCCUUCCACCAUUGCUAGCCUCUCUUAUGCCGCGCAACUUUCGCCGGUACCAUACAACCACCAUAUACCUUCCUCAAAACAGCCACCAUACCUACCUAUUAUGGCAUUUCCAUAACCAUUCUAAUAUAUAUUUCCAUGCAACUUUCCACCAUUCCGUUUAUUAUGACAUGCUCCAUCAUUGUCAUAUUGCUUUGCAUGAUCAUGUAGUUGACAUCGUAUUUGUGACAAAGCCACCGUUCAUAAUUCUUUCAUACAUGUCACUCUUAAAUCAUUACACAUCCCGGUACGCCGCCGGAGGCAUUCACAUAGUCAUAUUUUGUUCUAAUUAUUGAGUUGUAAGUCUUGAGUUGUAAGUAAAUAAAGUGUGAUGAUCUUCAUUAUUAGAGCAUUGUCCAAUGUGAGGAAAGGAUGAUGGAGACUAUGAUUCCCCCACAAGUCAGGAUGAGACUCCGGCCAAAAAAAGCCAUAAAAAAGACACAAGGCCCAAAAAAUGAGAGGAAAAGAGAGAAGGGACAAUGUUACUAUCCUUUUGUCAGGACCCCGAUCCUAAGUCACACCGAUCUAGCAUGUAACACAUCAUAUCACUUUGCGGCCUCACGCACGGUAUUCCCACGGGUGCCACCUUACCUGGCCCGGGACCGUUUGCGCCUUUUGGCUCACGUAUAUGAUUGUGUCGCUAGCAUCCAUAUGACAAAGAACCCGGGCUGAUAUGGCUAGUCGUGAACCCAAAGUGGCACUAACUUACAGGGACAGGCAUCCAUGACCCAACAUCGAACGUGUCGGUCAUCAGCGAGUGAAUCCAGGCUGUAGCACUGGGCUAGCAGGACUCCGGUGAACCGGGCUGUAGCGGGCUAACAGGACUCCGGUAUUCAUCGCAUGACAUUUCCCCAAAGGGACAGACACAGGAACGAAGAAGGACACAUACCGGCCAGCCUAAGUGUUCCGGAGCAGUAGCAAGCUACCAUGGCUCCGUGGAAACACUAGGAGACAUUUCCCGGUAAGAGAGGCUACCAAGGAUAAACAACUAGGUAGUCAGAUCCCACACAUACCAAGCAUUUCAAUAACAUACACACAAUAUGCUCGAUAUGUGCCAAUACAACAUGGCAUCACAACAUGACUCUACAACUCAAGUAUUUAUUCAAUAGGCUCCGAGGAGCGAGAUAUUACAAACAUGGGUCUCAUGACCCAAUAAUCAGAGCAUACAAGUCAAAGCACAAGCGGAAGCUAUCAUGUCUGAGUACAGACAUCUAUAAAUGAAAAAGGCUGAGAAGCCUGACUAUCUACCAGAUUCUACCGAGGGCACAAGAUCGUAGCUAAGGUAACAAGCUAAACGUCGAAGUCCAAGCGGAACUACUAGUGAGACUGAAGUCUCUCUGCAAAACAUAAAAUAGGCAAACGUGAGUACAAAUGUACCCAGCAAGACUUACAUCAGAUCUAUCUACAUAUGCAUCAUUAUCAACAAAGGGGAUGGUGGGGUUUAACUGCAGCAAGCCAGCUUUGACUCGGUGGCUAUCCUGAACUACGACUGCAAGUAACUCUUUUGAAGUGGCGCACACGAGUCCACAUAUUCACCAACCAAUACACCACUAUGGAUCCGCUCCCGUCUCCCUACGAGAACGCCAUCCAUAGCACUCACGCUUAUCUUGCGUAUUUUAGAGUAUCCACUUUCACUUGUCUAUGAACUGUACAAGGGGUCCACGUUUCCAUAUCCGAGGAAUCCGGCUAUUCGAAUAGAUAAUGAUAACCCUGCAGGGGUGUACUUCUUCACACACGCUCUCGCCACUUACCGCCCUGUACACGUCAUGUACCUCGGCGACCUUCAAGCGGAAGCCGGGCGAGGGAGUCGGCCACGACCUGACUAAUCGAACAAGUCUCUCGUCCAGGUUUAUCGCCUAUUCGGGUUCCAUCCGCAAGGAGAUCCGGCCGGGGUGUCGCUCACGGCCCCAAACGAUGUGAGCAGGGUUCCCAAGCCCACCAACCGGGUGCCACUUGGUACACCGUGCCACUGUGCCUAGUCUGUCCCAAGCCCACCUGUACCGGGUGCCACUUGGUAGACUACUAACACUACCUACAAACACCAGAAACUAGUUGCAACUCUUGGACAGAGAUCAUGUUGAUUAAUAAGUCGAGAGGGGCACUUAAGCAUUCCAAUGUGUGGUAGUAGCUGGUCAUGGAUCACAAACACAGAACUCAGUUCCUAAGGACGGCUGCAAUGAGACAACCCACCAUGUACUCCUACAUGGCCUCUCACCGCUACCUUUACCAAAUCGUGUUCACACACUUAGCUCACACACAUGGGGACAUGUUCACACGCCUCUGAUUCAUCCCCGAUGAAUCAGACCUGACUCAACUCUAAGCAGUAGCAGGCAUGACGAACAAACAUGAAUGAGUAGGCACAUCAGGGCUCAAACAACUCCUACUCAUGCUAGUGGGUUUCAUCUAUUUACUGUGGCAAUGACAGGUCAUGCAAAGGAUAAAGGGGUUCAGCUACCGCAGCAAGUAACAAAUAUGUCGUUGUUGUCCUAAUGCAGUAAAAGAGAGCAGGAGCGAGAGAGUGGGAUUGUAUCGGAAUGAACAAGGGGGUUUUGCUUGCCUGGCACUUCUGAAGAUAACAUUGAGUCUUCAUCAGUGUCAACGAUCACAUCGUCGGUAUCACAUCUAUCGAGAGGGGACAAAUACCGGCAACACAGAAGGGAACACAAUCAAUGCAAUGCACAAUAUGAUGCAUGAUCAUGACAUGGCAAAAUGAAUGUGUUUUGAGCUAAUGCAACUAGCAACAGAUUAAAUGAAGUUGGUUUGAAUACAAGAUUCAAAUUCAAACUCCAUAUAUGAUUAUUUAAAUGCCUUUUAUUUGUUUUGUCCAAAACAGAGGACAAACAUUGUUCAAACAUGCAUGAAAAUGGUACAGAUGGAUUCCUUGAAUUUUUCUGAUAAUUUUUCAUAUAUAAAUUAUUUAAUUUGGAGUUACGGUUAAUUUUCUAUGAUUUAUUGAAGUUUAGGGCAUUUUCUGAAUAUAAAUAAAUCCAGAAAGCAUUACUGCGUCAUACUGACGUCAUGAUGACGUCAGCAGGUCAACGUGGCACGGUUCGGUCAAACCUGACAGUGGGUCUCGCGUGUCAGUGUGAUUAGCUUAACUUAAAAUUAAUUAAAACUAAUCCUAAUAGUUAACAGGGCUGGGCCCCACCUGUCAUUGACUCAGGAGAGUCAAUCGGGGCCCACCCGUGGUCAAAGUCAAAGUCGGCUGCCGGCGUUUAGCCGCCGGCGAGCCCAACGCGGCGGCGAGAGUGGUUUUAGCCACUCCGGCGACCAAAUGGGCCGCGGAGGGCAUCUAGGAGGAGCUGGGGACGAGCCGAAGCUCUUGGUGGAGUCAGUUGCGCUCGGGGCGGCCGGAAUCGGUGCCGGCGGCGACCUAGGCAGCCGCCGGAGCUCGGGCGAGCUCGGGCUCGACGCUGCGGUGCACUAGAGGGGAAACGGAAGGGCGCUGCAGGCUCCUGGGAGGGCGGCGAACUUGGUAGCAUGCUCGGGCGCCAGCUGGGGUGGCCCUGGCCACGGCGGCGCCAUGGCCGGCGGCGGGGAGUUUCUGGUGAGGUGGAAACAGCGGCUAUGGAGACCGAACAAACACGGGGCUAGGGGGAGAGGAAGAGGAGUUCACCGUGGAGAGGGAGAGGUGGUCAGCGGGCUCGGGGGCGUCCUAUCGGCGGCGAAUUCGGCGACAGCGAUCGGCGGGUUCGAGGAGGGGAAGAACGUCGGGGCGGCGCUUCGGGGCUUCUCCAGUCGCGUGUGAUGGCGGGGAGGGCGAGGGCGGCACGGCGGAGCUCGUGGACUGCUCGAGGGGACGAGGGGGAGGCGAUGGCCGGGGUGGUGUUCGUCGGCAGCGGCGAUAGUGCUCGGGUUUGGGAGAGAGAGGGAGAGAGACGAGCUCGGGGAGAGAGUGAGAUCUUGGGAGAGGAGGGGAAAGCGAGAGGGAGCAUGGCCGUCUCCGUGGCGUCGCGAGGGAGUCGGGGAGGCUGCCACGGCGAAGCAGGAGGUGGCGUCGGGGCUCUCGGGCGCGCGCCACGCCUCGCCUCUGCCUACUGGCAGAGGAAGACGACGAGCGGCGAGGGGGUUUGCGGUGGUGGGCUGGGCCACCAGCUGGGCCAGCGAUGGGGGGGGGCAAAGCUGGGCCGGUUCGUGGUGCCAGGUAAGCUGGGCUUCUCUCUCUCUCUCUCUCUCUCUUUUUUUUAUUUACUGUUUUCUAUUUUUUUCUGCAACUGUGAGGCUUUAUUAAAAAUACUUAGGCAUCUCUAAAAAUCCAGAAAAUAACCAGGGGCUCUGUUUAGAUUAUUUCCAACAGCCCACACUUAUUUUUAGAAUUAUUUGGGUAUUUAAGAUAUUUACUAGCAUUUAGAUGCCCAAAUACAAAUAGAGUAUAAUUUAAUUCAGAGCCCAAUAUGUCCUGCAAAAAUAUAAAUCAUUUUUGGUAGAUGCUUUCACCUCAAACCAGAAAUGUUGAACAUUUUUAGAGGGCAUUUUGGGUUUAAUGAAAAAGAUUUUAUUUUGACCCUAGUUGAAUCCAUUUGGUGCUAGGGUUUAGUCAAUCCCCAUUUCAGGUUUAAAUGAAAUUUAAACAUGAAGCAACACUCUAAUGCAUGCACUAGGCAUUGUCAGAACUAGGGAUGUGACAACUCACCCCCACUAAACAAGAAUCUCGUCUCGAGAUUCAAGUGUAGGGUAAAGUGAGGGGUAAACGCAACUAGUAUAGUCUUCACGAUCCAGGGUGCACUUCAGUUGAACGUUGAUUCAUUCACCAUCAUUGUCUUGAUGUCUUGCUCUGAGAAAUCCUGCCAACAUGACAUGGAGGGAAGAAGGAGACUCUAGAAGGGUCGAUCUUCUCGAAGAUCGAACAACUCACGGAAUGAGACAUAGGACCAUCUCUCGGGUUGAGACACGAGAUACACAUCAAGAGGGGUGGAAAGAAACGGAUGACGAAGGUUCACUAGGUAGACAACAAUUUCACGCUUAAGAAGGUGGUAAUCGAUUGUCAACGUAGCGAGGAGUUGAGUUGCCAUGAAACCACAACGAGACACCUUCGGAACCGUGACUCGUAGAUAUCUCCCCUUAAGUGGCAAAAAGAAUUACCUUUGAUUCAGAGAUCAUUGAAACUCCUUAAACCAGCCUAAGACAAUUCUCGAGCGAUCGUUUGGAGGGGGUCAGUAGAAUGGCAUAUUCAGACUUGGAUGAUGUGGAUUACCUUGUUGAAGACAACGCAAUGGAUGAAUUUGCUUAUCACCGGAAAUGGAAGAGACCCAUGGUAGAAUGGCACAAUGGCGGUGCAAGCUGGGAACAAAAUGCAAAUGCUGGGAAUGAUUCUAGUAACUGGGAAAGAACCCAACACUAGAGAGUUAAUUCACUGUUUGAAUAGGUCAUAGCAUUGCCGAGGGAACUGAGAGCAAACCCAGUUAGUGCCGAUGAUAACACGUAGCGCUUGUGCAUGCUCUCAAGAACUUGAGCAAUUCCAUAUCCAUCAAGGUUUUACCAACAUCCGUGUCAAGGGUCCGGUAACACAACUUACUACCAUGAUGGCUAAAGAUGGAUGAUGCAGACGCAAAGGAAGAUAACACCUUCUCAGACUUCACCCUAGCGAGGCCAAGGAAACAAAAUCUGGAUGAUCGACCGAGAGACAUUUAGCACUCCGCUUCUAAUGUUCUCCUUGACGUGCUAGUGUAACCCAAUCAUAGAUAUGGUUUGCUAACUAGAACAUCAAGUAAAGGUCGGACUUCGGGAUCUCGAAAUCCAUAGGGGCAACUAGGGAGUAAAUCCUACGAAAUCCCUAUGGGGAGGUGGCCAACUUCCUCAAACAAGAUACUACAAUGAUAGGUCUUCCGGCUGGGUGUGUUGGCCACGACAUUCACUUUACCGGUUAUCGAGGGACCAAUAUUAUAGUUCUUGGGAAAUGUUCCAACCAUCAUAUCUGCCUGAGAUUCAGAUCUGGUUGGUGUCAGGAUAUUCCAGACUCAUCGAGUCUAGGAAGAAAAUGAAAGUUUGCAACACAAAUCGACGAGAUGACGUUGCGAGAUUCUUGGGAAAUGAACUAUGAUAGCAAGCUCCAAAACAUGAGCUGGUUCUGCUACACAUGUGUGAACACGCUGCCUCAGACAAACAUGAUCACAUGGUAGUCUUACAAUAAAACACUACCGAGUUCUGGUUGGGAACCAUCAGCGAGGAUAUCGAAGUUCUUUCAUAAGUCCGGAUUAGCUCUUAUGAAGAUACUCCUGCUCCUUGAACAAAUCAGUCAGUGGCUUGGUGUGCUAGGAUAUACAUAUGGAAUGAAGAUGAUCAGUCUAACAGACCAUAGAAUUCUUCGCACGUGCAUGACCGACUUGGGAUGAUUCCAAAGGAGCAAAAACAAACUUUCUCGAAUUCACGACGGCAGUUUACAUCAAAAUGCACGUGAAUCAAAGGAAGUCACUCCUUUCAUCAAACAAGUACUUCAUGAGCUAGCAUGAAGAAAAUGCUUUCAAAAGUUUCCAACACUAACUUAAUGUUCAAAAACAUCAUGGAGGAGAUAAGGAUGUUGUCAAUGGACUCAACAACAACUCAUCGGAAUUUCCAUAUCACUGGACUUCCACCAUUGUGUGAACACGGUGAUAGUAUUGGUCAGACCCAAAAGAUAUAAUGGUGUAUGCUCGAGGGAUCAACCACGAGGAAGACAACAUUACGAGCAUCGUUGGUUCUGACUUGAUUUGACGAUAGCCCACAUUCAAAUCAAAGGAUUGAUAAGACGAUAGGUCCAGCAACUGAUCACAGGGACCAAUCGAUGAAGAUAUCAUCUUUCUUCAACACACACUACACAAGAAUAUCCCUUUGGAACGAACUAAGUCAGGCAAGCUUUUAUCUUCCAACUCUCCAAGUUGUCGUUUAGCUUAACCAACUAGCUCAGGGGUAUCCAACACGGAUUCUUGGAGAAAGGGUGGUUUACAAUAAACCAACUUGAUCACGAGCUCAACAUAGCGGUCAGGUGACAACCUGGUAGUACUUCCGAGAAGAUAUUCGGAAAAUCACGAACCACCGAUAUGUUACUAAGCUCGAGAACAAUCUUGCUUUUGGGGGCAAGACGAUAUGAUCAAAUGAGUGAGGACUUGACAAGAUCCUAACUCAUCAAUUGAAGGGUGCACCAAAAUAAGGACUAGGUAGCACGAUUAGUCUUAGAAGGAUGAUUCCAAUAACCAACACACUAAGAAUGAAAUUAUUGUCCUUUAACUACCAAGCAACGAGGUUGCUGGGAGUAUUGAUUUCGCACAUCACAAUUCAUUUGUCGGUAUUCCGGUUGCAUCAACACGAGGGCCGAGGAAUGACUAAUGAUGGUGAGAAGUAUCACUAUGUCAAAAUUUAUGAGAGUUGGUGCAGUUCUCAUGACAAUUCUGACAUAAAGGGGGUAAUACUCCAAGGUAGAACAGAACCAAAGGCUGGAUUGGCAUUUGAUCUGCGGAAUACAACUGCUUUGACCCAAUCCUAGAUAUGGAUGAGGUACUGAAGUUUGUUUCUCCUAUCAUUCUAUGAUAGAAUGGCUUGACGGACCACAAGAGUAAUAGGCAUUGAUAAACGAACGCACGCAUACUCUUGACUAUCAAUUGAUAGGCGAGGGUCAGAGGACAACUAAAGAGGGACAACUCAAAGGAACAUACGAUUUUCUGAGUUGUGGAUGCAUGGUUUAGCAUGUCGAACGAAGUUCAACAUAAUUCUUCCGGAUAACCCAUGCAGAAAGGUAGAACUGGCAGAGUCACGAUAUAUGAAUGGAGAACUCCUCAAGAAUAAUCCUGUUGUGAUCUUUUGAUCCAACAAACUUCUGUCAAAAUGGUUCGUGGUAUUUGGAAGAACAAUAUACCAUGGACCUCGAGGACUAUCGCAAAGAUUACUAAUAUCCUAAAGGCACUAGCAAUUACUAUCAACAUGAAGUAGGUAGAGUGAAUCUCGGGUUCAGAACCCAGGAGUAGAAUACCUACUACUAAGUAGCAUCACGGGAUGCUUUCGAGAAUAAAGGCCAGAAUCUCACACUGGGAACACAAAACAUUGCUAGAUUACUAGGUGACUCCCUAAACACCUAGGGCCAUAAUAGUAACUCCAACAUAAUGUCAAGGCAACAGAAUACCUCAACUCAACAAUUAGUGUGAUUGAGCUGGCAUAAAGGAGCAUCGAAACCAAAGGGAAAGGAUUUUGCAAGUGCAUCAGACUGUUUAGAAACCUGGAAUAACUCGGACAGCAUAACGGCUGUAAAUGCUUAGAAACGAUUUGAGACAUUCACAAAAAUGGUGGCAUAACCACUCAGAAGCACAAUAUUAAGGUAUCGAGAUCAACAAUUAACAUACGGAAGUAGUAGGAACUGAACGGAGACUUAAAUCCAACAGUCUUAUAAGUCUGCGGAUUAGCAACACGUGAUCCUGAUAGAAAGAAGAGAAAGCCUAGUUCUUAAUCCCCGUAGAGGAGAAGAUGAUGACUCAGAUCAGAAGGCCAUGAGGUAUAAGGAGUAAAAAGAGUCUUACGUUCCAUCCCACAAUCAAUUCCCUUAUAUAACUAAAGAAUUUCUAGACUCAACUUCGACCAGUUUGGCUUGGUAAUCCUACAGGCAGUCAAGCUCUGAUACCAAAACUGUCAGGACCCCGAUCCUAAGUCACACCGAUCUAGCAUGUAACACAUCAUAUCACUUUGCGGCCUCACGCACGGUAUUCCCACGGGUGCCACCUUACCUAGCCCGGGACCGUUUGCGCCUUUUGGCUCACGUAUAUGAUUGUGUCGCUAGCAUCCAUAUGACAAAGAACCCGGGCUGACAUGGCUAGUCGUGAACCCAAAGUGGCACUAACUUACAGGGACAGGCAUCCAUGACCCAACAUCGAACGUGUCGGUCAUCAGCGAGUGAAUCCAGGCUGUAGCACUGGGCUAGCAGGACUCCGGUGAACCGGGCUGUAGCGGGCUAACAGGACUCCGGUAUUCAUCGCAUGACAUUUCCCCGAAGGGACAGACACAGGAACGAAGAAGGACACAUGCUGGCCAGCCUAAGUGUUCCGGAGCAGUAGCAAGCUACCAUGGCUCCGUGGAAACACUAGGAGACAUUUCCCGGUAAGAGAGGCUACCAAGGAUAAACAACUAGGUAGUCAGAUCCCACACAUACCAAGCAUUUCAAUAACAUACACACAAUAUGCUCGAUAUGUGCCAAUACAACAUGGCAUCACAACAUGACUCUACAACUCAAGUAUUUAUUCAAUAGGCUCCGAGGAGCGAGAUAUUACAAACAUGGGUCUCAUGACCCAACAAUCAGAGCAUACAAGUCAAAGCACAAGCGGAAGCUAUCAUGUCUGAGUACAGACAUCUAUAAAUGAAAAAGGCUGAGAAGCCUGACUAUCUACCAGAUUCUGCCGAGGGCACAAGAUCGUAGCUAAGGUAACAAGCUAAACGUCAAAGUCCAAGCGGAACUACUAGUGAGACUGAAGUCUCUCUGCAAAACAUAAAAUAGGCAAACAUGAGUACAAAUGUACCCAGCAAGACUUACAUCAGAUCUAUCUACAUAUGCAUCAUUAUCAACAAAGGGGAUGGUGGGGUUUAACUGCAGCAAGCCAGCUUUGACUCGGUGGCUAUCCUGAACUACGACUUCAAGUAACUCUUUUGAAGUGGCGCACACGAGUCCACAUAUUCACCAACCAAUACACCACUAUGGAUCCGCUCCCGUCUCCCUACGAGAACGCCAUCCAUAGCACUCACGCUUAUCUUGCGUAUUUUAGAGUAUCCACUUUCACUUGUCUAUGAACUGUACAAGGGGUCCACGUUUCCAUAUUCGAGGAAUCCGGCUAUUCGAAUAGAUAAUGAUAACCCUGUAGGGGUGUACUUCUUCACACACGCUCUCGCCACUUACCGCCCUGUACACGUCAUGUACCUCGGCAACCUUCAAGCGGAAGCCGGGCGAGGGAGUCGGCCACGACCUGACUAACCGAACAAGUCUCUCGUCCAGGUUUAUCGCCUAUUCGGGUUCCAUCCGCAAGGAGAUCCGGCCGGGGUGUCGCUCACGGCCCCAAACGAUGUGAGCAGGGUUCCCAAGCCCACCAACCGGGUGCCACUUGGUACACCAUGCCACUGUGCCUAGUCUGUCCCAAGCCCACCUGUACCGGGUGCCACUUGGUAGACUACUAACACUACCUACAAACACCAGAAACUAGUUGCAACUCCUGGACAGAGAUCAUGUUGAUUAAUAAGUCGAGAGGGGUCGAGUUACCGGAACCCAAUGUGUGGUAGUAACUGGUCAUGGAUCACAGACACAGAACUCAGUUCCUGAAGACGGCUGCAAUGAGACAACCCACCAUGUACUCCUACAUGGCCUCUCACCGCUACCUUUACCAAAUCGUGUUCACACACUUAGCUCACACACAGUAGGACAUGUUCACACGCCUCUGAUUCAUCCCCGAUGAAUCAGACCUGACUCAACUCUAAGCAGUAGCAGGCAUGACGAACAAACAUGAAUGAGUAGGCACAUCAGGGCUCAAACAACUCCUACUCAUGCUAGUGGGUUUCAUCUAUUUACUGUGGCAAUGACAGGUCAUGCAAAGGAUAAAGGGGUUCAGCUACCGCAGCAAGUAACAAAUAUGUCGUUGUUGUCCUAAUGCAGUAAAAGAGAGCAGGAGCGAGAGAGUGGGAUUGUAUCGGAAUGAACAAGGGGGUUUUGCUUGCCUGGCACUUCUGAAGAUAACAUUGAGUCUUCAUCAGUGUCAACGAUCACAUCAUCGGUAUCACAUCUAUCGAGAGGGGACAAAUACCGGCAACACAGAAGGGAACACAAUCAAUGCAAUGCACAAUAUGAUGCAUGAUCAUGACAUGGCAAAAUGAAUGUGUUUUGAGCUAAUGCAACUAGCAACAGAUUAAAUGAAGUUGGUUUGAAUACAAGAUUCAAAUUCAAACUCCAUAUAUGAUUAUUUAAAUGCCCUUUAUUUGUUUUGUCCAAAACAGAGGACAAACAUUGUUCAAACAUGCAUGAAAAUGGUACAGAUGGAUUCCUUGAAUUUUUCUGAUAAUUUUUCAUAUAUAAAUUAUUUAAUUUGGAGUUACGGUUAAUUUUCUAUGAUUUAUUGAAGUUUAGGGCAUUUUCUGAAUAUAAAUAAAUCCAGAAAGCAUUACUGCGUCAUACUGACGUCAUGAUGACGUCAGCAGGUCAACGUGGCACGGUUCGGUCAAACCUGACAGUGGGUCCCGCAUGUCAGUGUGAUUAGCUUAACUUAAAAUUAAUUAAAACUAAUCCUAAUAGUUAACAGGGCUGGGCCCCACCUGUCAUUGACUCAGGAGAGUCAAUCGGGGCCCACCCGUGGUCAAAGUCAAAGUCGGCUGCCGGCGUUUAGCCGCCGGCGAGCCCGACGCGGCGGCGAGAGUGGUUUUAGCCACUCCGGCGACCAAAUGGGCCGCAGAGGGCAUCUAGGAGGAGCUGGGGACGAGCCGAAGCUCUUGGUGGAGUCAGUUGCGCUCGGGGCGGCCGGAAUCGGUGCCGGCGGCGACCUAGGCGGCCGCCGGAGCUCGGGCGAGCUCGGGCUCGACGCUGCGGUGCACUAGAGGGGAAACGGAAGGGCGCUGCAGGCUCCUGGGAGGGCGGCGAACUUGGUAGCAUGCUCGGGCGCCAGCUGGGGUGGUCCUGGCCACGGCGACGCCAUGGCCGGCGGCGGGGAGUUUCCGGUGAGGUGGAAACGGCGGCUACGGAGACCAAACAAACACGGGGCUAGGGGGAGAGGAAGAGGAGUUCACCGUGGAGAGGGAGAGGUGGUCAGCGGGCUCGGGGGCGUCCUGUCGGCGGCGAAUUCGGCGACAGCGAUCGGCGGGUUCGAGGAGGGGAAGAACGUCGGGGCGGCGCUUCGGGGCUUCUCCGGUCGCGUGUGACGGCGGGGAGGGCGAGGGCGGCACGGCGGAGCUCGUGGACUGCUCUAGGGGACGAGGGGGAGGCGAUGGCCGGGGUGGUGUUCGUCGGCGGCGGCGAUAGUGCUCGGGUUUGGGAGAGAGAGGGAGAGAGACGAGCUCGGGGAGAGAGUGAGAUCCAGGGAGAGGAGGGGAAAGCGAGAGGGAGCAUGGCCGUCUCCGUGGCAUCGCAAGGGAGUCGGGGAGGCUGCCACGGCGAAGCAAGAGGUGGCGUCGGGGCUCUCGGGCGCGCGCCACGCCUCGCCUCUGCCUACUGGCAGAGGAAGACGACGAGCGGCGAGGGGGUUUGCGGUGGUGGGCUGGGCCACCAGCUGGGCCAGCGAUGGGGGGGGGUGCAAAGCUUGGCCGGUUCGUGGCGCCAGGUAAGCUGGGCUUCUCUCUCUCUCUCUCUCUCUCUCUCUCUCUUUUUAUUUACUGUUUUCUAUUUUUUUCUGCAACUGUGAGGCUUUAUUAAAAAUACUUAGGCAUCUCUAAAAAUCCAGAAAAUAACCAGGGGCUCUGUUUAGAUUAUUUCCAACAGCCCACACUUAUUUUUAGAAUUAUUUGGGCAUUUAAGAUAUUUACUAGCAUUUAGAUGCCCAAAUACAAAUAGAGUAUGAUUUAAUUCAGAGCCCAAUAUGUCCUGCAAAAAUAUAAAUCAUUUUUGGUAGAUGCUUUCACCUCAAACCAGAAAUGUUGAACAUUUUUAGAGGGCAUUUUGGGUUUAAUGAAAAAGAUUUUAUUUUGACCCUAGUUGAAUUCAUUUGGUGCUAGGGUUUAGUCAAUCCCCAUUUUAGGUUUAAAUGAAAUUUAAACAUGAAGCAACACUCUAAUGCAUGCACUAGGCAUUGUCAGAACUAGGGAUGUGACACCUUUUUCCACACUUGUGCUUCAAAGUAGCACCAUGAUCUUCAUGUUAGAGAGUCUCCUAUUUUGUCACUUUCAUAUACUAGUGGGAAUUUUUCAUUAUAGAACUUGGCUUGUAUAUUCCAAUGAUGGGCUUCCUCAAAAUGCCCUAGGUCUUCGUGAGCAAGCGAGUUGGAUGCACACCCAUUUAGUUUCUUUUUUGAGCUUUCAUACACUUAUUGCUCUAGUGCAUCCGUUGCAUGGCAAUCCCUACUCACUCACAUUGAUAUCUAUUGAUGGGCAUCUCCAUAGCUCGAUGAUACGCCUAGUUGAUGUGAGACUAUCUUCCUCUUUUUGUCUUCACCACAACCACCAUUCCAUUCCACCUAUAGUGUUAUGUCCAUGGCUCACGCUCAUGUAUUGCGUGAAAGUUUAAAAAGUUUGAGAAUACUAAAGUAUGAAACAAUUGCUUGGCUGAAACCGGGGCUGUGCAUGAUUUAAAUAUUUUGUGUGAUGAAGACAGAGCAUAGCCAGACUAUAUGGUUUUGUAGGGAUAGCUUUCUUUGGCCAUGUUAUUUUGAGAAGACAUGAUUGCUUUGUUAGUAUGCUUGAAGUAUUAUUGUUUUUAUGUCAAUAUUAAACUUUUGUUUUGAAUUUUUUCGAUCUGAACAUUCAUGCCACAAUAAAGAAAAUUACAUUGAUAAAUAUGUAGGUAGCUUUCCACAUCAAAAAAUUUUGUUUUUAUCAUUUACUUACUCGAGGACGAGCACGAAUUAAGCUUGGGGAUGCUCGAUACGUCUCCAACGUAUCUAUAAUUUUUGAUUGUUCCAUGCUAUUAUAUUAUCUGUUUUGGAUGUUUAAUAGGCAUUUAUAUGCUAUUUUAUAUUGUUUUUGGGACUAACCUAUUAAAGGGAGCCCAGUGCUAGUUUAUGUUUUUUUGCCUAUUUUAGUGUUUCGCAGAAAAGGAAUACCAAACGGAGUCCAAACGGAAAGAAACUUUCGUGAUGAUCUUUUUGGGACCAGAAGGAAACCAGAAUACUUGGAGAUGAAGUCGGAGACGCAACGAGGAGGCCACGAGGCAGGAUGGCGCGCCCCGGGGGGUAGGGUCCCUCCUAGCUCCCCUGACCUAGCUCAUAUGCCUAUAUAUACUCUUAUACCCUAAAAACUUCCAGGGGAGCCACGAAACCACUUUUCCACCGCCGCAACCUUCUGUUCCUGUGAGAUCCCAUAUAUGGGCCUUUUCCAGCAUCUUGCCAGAGGGGGAUUCGAUCACAGAGGGCUUCUACAUCAACACCAUUACCUCUCCGAUGAAGCGUGAGUAGUUUACCACAGACCUACGGGUCCAUAGCAAGUAGCUAGAUGGCUUCUUCUCUCUAUUUGAUUCUCAAUACCAUGUUCUGCUCGAUGUUCUUGGAGAUCUAUUCGAUGUAAUAUUCUUUUGUGGUGUGUUUGCCGAGAUCCGAUGAAUUGUGGAUUUAUGAUUAGAUUAUCUAUGAAUAUUAUUUGGUUCUUCUCUGAAUUCUUAUAUGCAUGAUUUGAUAUCUUUGCAAGUCUCUUCAAAUUAUCGGUUUAGUUUGUCCUACUAGAUUGAUAUUUCUUGCAAUGGCAGAAGUGCUUAGCUUUGGGUUCAAUCUUGUGGUGUCCUUUCCAAGUGACAGUAGGUGCAGCAAGGCACGUAUUAUAUUGUUGCCAUCGAGGAUAAAAAGAUGGGGUUUUCAUCAUAUUUCUUGAGUUAAUUCCUCUACAUCAUGUCAUCUUACUUAAUGCGUUACUCUGUUCUUUAUUAACUUAAUACUCUAGAUGCAGGCAGGAGUCGGUCGAUGUGUGGAGUAAUAGUAGUAAAUGCAGAAUCGUUUCGGUCUACUUGACACGGACUCAAUGCCUAUGUUCAUGAUCAUUGCCUUAGAUAUCAUCAUAACUAUGCUCUUUUCUAUCAAUUGCUCGGCAGUAAUUUGUUCACCCACCAUAAUAUUUGCUAUCUUGAGAGAAGCCACUAGUGAAACCUAUGGCCCCCGGGUCUCUUUUCCAUUAUACAAGUUCUCGUUUACAUCUUACUAGUUUCCGAUCUACUAUUUUGCAAUCUUUUACUUUCCGUUCUUUAAACCAAAAAUACCAAAAAUAUUUACUUUACCGUUUAUCUAUCUCUUUCAGAUCUCACUUUUGCAAGUGACUGUGAAGGGAUUAACAACCCCUAUCGCGUUGGGUGCAAGUUGUCGAUUGUUUGUGCAGGUAUUCAGUGACUUGUGUGUUGUCUCCCACUGGAUUGAUACCUUAGUUCUCAAACUGAGGGAAAUACUUACGCUACUUUGUUGCAUCACCCUUUCCUCUUCAAGGGAAAACCAACGCAAGAUCAAGAGGUAGAAAUUAACACAACAACGCAAUUCACUUAUGUCAAAGACUGCAGCCCACAUAUGUAAGAAACUGUAGUUCACUUAUGUAGAAGAAUGCAAUCCACAUAUGUAAAAGACUGUAGCCCACAUAUGCAAAAAGAACUACAGUUCACUUCUGUCAAAGACUAAAGUUCACACAUGUAAAACUGUGUAGCUCACAUAUGUAAAAGAAAUGCAUAUGAGUGAAUAGAACAGCAUACAUUAAAGCCUAUAACAAUAACAAAAAAUUAGAUUACAACCCUCAAAUGGAAAAAGUAAUUCCACUAAACCUUAUCAGCUACAACAUCCGGAGGGGACGACGCAUCAGCCAAGUCCUCAUCCUUCUCAGAGCCGUCGUAGGAAUCUUUGUGCACAUCAAGCAGCAACUCCAGUCUACAGGCAUAGAACAAACCAAAAUGAAAUAAGAUGGUAACAACCAAAAAAGGAAAAAACCUUCAACUAUGCACAAGCAGUACACAUUUUACAAUCGUGAGGUACACAAAAAAUACAGGUUCAAGAAGAGAAGCACAUGGCAGAAUAGGCAUGGGAGAAGUACUUAUACCUGACCAAUUCCAUCGUCCCUAGAUGCAUGAACACCAAAAGAUUCCACUCCAGCCUGUGAAAAAAACAAAGAUUAGGAGCAGUCCACAUAUAAUACAUGAAGAGAUGUUAAAAGGACAAAAACGGACAACAUAAAUUAUCAGCGUCGACGCCAGCAUCCUGUCGGAUCAUUUCAUCCAAAAUGUGCCCAGCAUCCUUCUCAUACCGAGCGCAUUUUUCUUCCUGUGAACGUUUCAACUAAGCAUACGAAGACCGAAUAUUCGUCACUGCAAUCUUCAAGCUUUGAACCAUGCCACAAUCAAAAUUGUGAGCAGCAACAAUAUCUUCUGCACGGGGGCCAUGGCCAGCUGGGAAAAAACAAGCAACUGUCCUCAACCUAUCACGAGAGGUUGGCAUAUCUUCAGUUAACUUCAAAACCUUUAGAAGAAGCGCAUCAAUCUCCUCAUGUUUUUUGCCGCCAACAAACGUCUGUUCAGAAGAGCUUCUAUUAUCAAACAUCCGAUGAGCCAUGAAACCACAAGUAGGCGGCGGCUCAUCAGCACAAGAAGGAAGCUGGCUACAGAUAGGUUCAUAAAACCUAGCAUGACUGCUAGGCCCUGCAUCAGAGAUGCCACACAGCACUACAGCAAGACGAUUGUACACAAUAUCACCCGACGCCUUGCACUGCAAAAAAUAUAAAAAGGGCAAGAAGUACACAUGUGAAUUCUAGAAAGUUCAAAUUUAUAAUGACUGCAUUUUAAAAAACUAUGAUCUUAAAAACUCUGGUGCACUAACCGGCGGCCUCCCAAAUUUGUAAGUUUCCAAAUAAAUCUUUACCUUGACAAGCAUAUCCUCGUUGUAUAACUUCAUCGGGUCCUUGUUCGUCAGGAAUGAUGCGCGUGGCAUCAACAUGUGCAUAACUAAAAAUUUGUGAAGCUUCAAUCAAUCAAGAUACAUAAUCAGGGGGACAAUGGCACAACCCUCUGCACAAUUCUGCUUGCUGCCUUCUGUUUGCCACUUCACCACAGCUGCCUGCAGCUCAUCAACAACAAGCUGACAAAAGCCCAUCUGCGCCAUAGCCACAUAAUCCAUCUUCUCAACCAUGGCAGCAACCCUGCCCAAACGAACUGCAGGCCCGGGCACAGCAAAUUUUGAUAAAGUGUAUCGGGAAGAAUACCUUGACAACAAGAUCAACCGUCACAUUAUCAUCAUCCUCCACCAACACCAUCAGCUUCUGAACCAAGUCCUUGACACCUAUACUUUGUGAAUGGUCAAAGUCAAGCUCAUCCUUGAGGGCAGACAACGAGUCAUCAUGGCCACUAGUAGCAGGCAUGGGUGCAGUGUGACGUCCCAUAGAAAAAUCAAAAAUGUGAUGAACUACAUCACGAUUGAUUCGAAGAACCCUGCCAUUCCCGAAGUCCAUUGUCAUCAUGGUAGGGUCAGUCACUCCCAUCAGAUAGCACAUAAGAAUGCGGGACACAUUUUUCUUUACUGUCAAUUCAAAGAUAACACCAAAGCCAGCAUCCAGAACAUGAUUACAGUGUGCUUAUUUCAAUAAAGCAGCAUGUUUGCACAUAGUGGGAGCAACAAACGUAUGGUCUUGUUAAAUCGAGCAUCAUCUCCCUCGGCAUCAUCUUCAGUGACCUUGCUCUUACUAGAUUUCCUCCUCUGUGUGAAGGAAAAUGCAGUCCACAUUAGAAGAUUAGACACAAAAGGGACAAAAAAGGCAGAUAGAAUAACAAUGAAAGAAACAAAUGCAGUCCACUUCAACAAACCUUUGUAGCAACAUCUGCCUCCCUACCAGAGUCUGCAUCAGCAUCUUCGUUGCCAUCAUCACGGGGCCGCUUGGGUUGACUCUUAGAUGGACCACAAUCUUUCCGCCUACCAGUCUUAACAUCCCUCACAAAAUAGGGACAAUUGCAUUUUUACCCCUAGUUGGUUCCUACCCACGGGUUUUGCCCUUACUUUUCGAGCUUGCUCAGUUUUGCCCUUAUUUUUUCCAUUGAGGUUCCUCGAAUGCCCUUUGACCGUUUGACCAAAACUUUGAAAAUUCAUAACUAAUUCACAUGAACUCAGAAAAAUGCAAAUAAGAUAUUAAAAUGUUCAGAUAAACAUUACCUUUAUGGGCAUAUCAUUUGCAUUCAAGACAAAAGCAUCAUUUAAACUACCCGAGGUAAUUAGUGUUAUUAACAUUAUUAAAAAUAAAUAGGUAUAAACAAUAUUUUUUUCAUGAAUAAAAAUUACAUGCAAAUGUAGGUGAUGUUUUCUGAACAUCCUGAUACCUUAUUUGCAUUUUCCUGAGUUCGUAUCAACUUGUUAUGAAGUUUCCAAAUAAUGGUCAAAGUCGUUAGAACAUUCAUAACAAGUUGAUACAAACUCUGAAAAAUGCAAAUAAGUUAUCAGGAUGUUCAGAAAACAUCACCUACAUUUGCAUGUAAUUUUUAUUCAUGAAAAAAAUAUUGUUUAUACCUAUUUAUUUUUAAUAAUGUUAAUAACACUAAUUACCUCGGGUAAUUUAAAUGAUGCUUUUGUCUUGAAUGCAAAUGAUAUGCCCAUAAAGGUAAUGUUUAUCUGAACAUUUUGAUAUCUUAUUUGCAUUUUUCUGAGUUCAUAUGAAUUAGUUAUGAAUUUUCAAAGUUUUGGUCAAACAGUCAAAGGGCAUUCGAGGGAUCUCGACAGAAAAAGUAAGGGCAAAACUGAGCAAGCUCGAAAAGUAAGGGCAAAACCCGUGGGUAGGAACCAACUAGGGGUAAAAAUGUAAUUGUCCCCACAAAAUAAGCAAGCAAAAAGUCGUCAUCUUCAGAGUUGGGCCCUUCACUGACAUGUGGUCGCUUAUGCUAAGGAUCCUCUGCACCAACUUCAGCACUUAUCUUACCAAGGUUCUUGUUCAUGCAAGCAACACGAGGACUCUGCCGAGGAGUACCACCUUCCUCAGCAACAAAACUCAGUCUCUUCUUCUACAAAGCAGGCUGCUUCACCCUUGGCACCAUAUAUAGCUCUCAUCAGCUUCUCCUUCUCUGCAUACUCCUUUGAGUCACUUUCAAACCUCAACUUCUUCCUGCGUUGCUUCAAUUCAUAUGCACGAAGCUGUUCCGAGAUCAUCCACUCAUGUGUAACUUCCUCUGUAUCAUCAACAGAUUGUGAUUGUGUUUCCGACAAGAUGGGACGUCUAAGGCUCUGGUCAAAGCUCACACCAACAUCACCCUCUGCAAAAUAAUGGUUAAUCAAUUGAGUAACCUCCUCAAACCCACAUGCCCCAACAUGAAAAACAGACACUGCAUCAAAAUGAAGAUUAACUAUGGUCACUAAGAAGUGCGCAAAAGGAACAAAUGCAGUACACGUAUACAUAUAAAUGUAGUGUUGCAUACAUAAGCUAAAUAAAAAAUAAUGCAGUUCAUAUAUCAAUGUAAUGGAGUACACCCAUAUGCAUACAAAAAUACAAAUAAAACAACAAUGUAGUUCACACAUACAUAUAGUGGAGUUCACAUAUACAUAUAAAUGCAGUGCUACAUAAACUAACUUCACGUUUGUUUCCAAAAAAAUGUCUAACUAGAUACAGCAAGGCAACAACAGUUUUUACAACAUCAAGUAAGCAGCAUACACAAUAAACAAAGCAUUCGCAUAAAAAAUAAUAGUUAUUUAUAAGAACAAUGCAUUUCAAAACUCAUAGGACACAUAUGAAAUUUACAAUAGAAAGAGUGAUACAACCAAUUUGGCAAACUAAAAUAAGAAGAAAAAACAUACCAAAAGGAGGGGCCCACUUAUGGGAGAAGAUUCAAUUGGUGAAUUCACUCCAUGGCCUGCCUCACCACCAUCACCAUUACCACUAGGACAACGAGAACCAUUGGGGUGUCAUUGUGACCAGUGCAAUCACCUACUGGAUCCAAUAAAAACCAGAAACAGAAAUUACAAAACAUCACAUGACAAAUAAUGCCAGCAACGCUGACAAAUACACACAUUAAAUAAAUCUGCAGGAUGAACUAGGCAACUAGAUAAACAACACAGAAAAUAAACAAAGGCCAGGCAACUAGUCCACAUACCUUGAACUCCUCCUACUUUGCUUGGCGAAGACAUGACGUUUUCCUACAGCGCAAGGACGGAGUGACAGAUAUCAGCGACAAAAUCAACGAAAUCUGACAAAACCCUAGAUGCACCUUGCUCUAUCUACAAAGCACACACGAGUAUCAACUUCGAAUCAAGAUCAAAUCGCCUGCUUACGCAAAAAAAUAUAAGCAAAAACACAGCAGUCACUACGAGAAUCACAAAACUAGAUGAGGGGACGAUCAAGACCGAGUGCACGAGAAACAUAUCGCAAAAAAGAGGAUGACUGGUGGUGGUUGGGGUGGGGCGGGUGCGGAGGGGAAAGGGCUGGGGGAGUGGAGUGGAAAGGGGUGGGGAGCAGACGAGGGCGCGGAAUGCAGGAUUAUGGGCCUCUUAAGGAUGGCGGUUCCGCGGGCGGCGAUGGUUGCUGCAGGCGGCGGCGGUUUUGCUCGAAAGAGGGGUUAAGGAGGCACUGCAAGAGAUGGGAGACAUUUCUUUUCGGUCUCUCCCUAUGAGUGGAGCAGUGGGAGCGCCUGGGAGGGCCACGUGUGAGGUCCACGUGGGAAGGGUUAUAUAAACGGGCCGGCCCAAAAUGGCACGCAUAAAUUAGAUGGACCAGUUCGAAACAAAGAAGUUCAUACCAAAUGUAGUUCGCUAUGAUGGAAAGCGAAGUUCGAACGAUUAAACAAAUAAAUGCAUGUAGUUCAUACAGUUAAAGUGGAAAAAGCAACACACGUUUUAAGAUAACACAUCCGAAAAAGAAGCCUACCUUCAAAUAAGUGUCACAAAAAAAUGGGGGGGUCCCGCCAGCCCCCCCCCCCACCUGUGCCAGGGGUUGCAGCAAGUACACGCAAAAUAGGUGCAGUACACGGCUCUCGACAAUGUAGUGCACUUAUUAUACGAAGCAGUGCGGUAGCGUAACCAACGCAGUUUCGGAAAUACGGAUAAUACAUAUAACGGGACAAUGCCCGUUUGGAAAAAACAUGGCGAAAAAUAAAAUAAAACCACGUUAAAAAAACCAGGUUUAGAGACAACCACCCAAUCCGAGCAGUUGCACCGCCACAAACCCACGAUCGUAGGUGCUACCCAACCCACGAUCUGCACAAACCGCAUCGUCGGCGAGAUCAUGCAGUUCAUCCCCUGCGGCCAUCUCCCCCUUAAAUUCAGACCCCUUCCAAGGCUUUCUCAUACACAACAACACAAGUCACCAUUGCCCUGCCACCAAAUCUUUCCAUCACAUCAAUCUCCAUAGAAGAGACCAAGCCCUACUGCCGGCGAUGGGGUUCGUCGACGAGUACACGAAGGUGGAGGCCCAUGGAAACACCAAGUUUCACGUGAUCCACACCAACUACAAGAAGCAGAUGGCAACCUCCAUCGAGUAGUACGAGGGCCACCUCAGGCUCUAGCGCCACAAGAUCAUCAGAAUUGACCUAGAGUACACCAACGAGCCUAUCGAGACGCAGAAACCCGCACUCGUCCAACUCUCCGUAGGCAAGACUCAGCCGAUGCUGCUCUUCCAACUGAGUGUCGCUGAAAGGUGCACCAUCUUUGUCAACUUUCCUCACCGACCCCAGGUACACGUUUGUUGGCUUCUCCAUCGACAGCGACAAAACCAGGCUCGAGCACGUCAAUCUGGAGGUCACCAACUUCGUUGACAUCUAGAAGGAAUGGAGGGUGCCCAAGGCCACCAAGUACUUGGACUCCCUUGCAGACAUCGCCAACAUGCUCGUCGACGACUACUACAACAACAUGAAGAAGAACAUCACCAACGAAGAACACGGGUGCUGGGCCUCCCUACCCCUGUCCAUGAGGCACGUCGAGUAUGCAGCAAAGGACGCAUACGCACCAUACGAGAUAUGGAACCGCAUCACCCUCACCCAGGACGGGCUUCGUCGCGCAAAGCUGGAGAAGGAGGAGCACCCCAAGAAGCGCGCCAGGAGCUGGGGAGACUUCACCUGGUGAAGAAGCAGACGGUGUCGGCCAAGAAAGUAUCUCCAACAUUGCUUGCGUCAUUUUAGAUUUAUCACCAAAUUUGCUUCUGUUGUUUGCUUGUAAAGUUACUUUGCUUGUGAAUGGCUUUUGCUGAACUUAGAUUGCUUUUCAUACAAAAUGGUUUGUAAUGAUGAACUUUGCUUAUGUUAUGAAGUACUUUUUCAAUUCCAAAACUAGAGUUCAAUAUUACAAACAUACUACAGUGCACAUAAAGUAUGUGAUUCGAGCAGUGCACAAACGGAUGAAGAUGCGGUGCACAUAAGUGAUGCAUGUAGUGCAAAAUUUUAGCACAUGCAGUACAGUACUCUGACGAAUGCAGUGCACACAGAUCUAACAAAAGAGUGCACACCGUAUAUUAGAAAAGAAUAUGUAAAAUGAAAAACACAAAGAAAAAUUCGACCAAAGAUGCAGUGCACAAAAAGGGUGCAUGCAGUGCAAAAAAUGCUCCUGCAUAUGUAGUGCAAAAUGUGGGCACAUGCAAUACAGAAGCAUGAUGAAUACAGUGCACAAUGAUCUAACUAAGCAGUGCACGCCCUAUAUUUGAAGAUACGUAAGAAGGAAAAUGUGAAGAAAAAAAAUUGACCACUCAGGUGCACAUGCAGUACAGUACUACGACGAAUGCACUGCAAACAGAUCUACAAAAGCAGUGCACAACUGUAUAUUAGAAAAGAAUAUGUAAAGAGGAAAACGGCAAGAAAAAUUUUACCAAGAUGCAGUGCACAAAAAGGAUGCAUGCAGUCCAAAAAAUGAUUCGGCAUAUGUAGUGCGAAAUGUGGGCACAUGCAGUACAGAAGCAUGAUGAAUGCAGUGCACAAUGAUCUAACUAAGCAGUGCACGCCCUAUAUUUGAAGAUACGUGAGGAAAAUAUGAAAAAAAAUUGACCACCAAGGUGCAACCAGAACCCAGCCAGUCUCAUACUAGGUAACGAGCAUGCUUUGAACACAGGCGAGUCCAUUCUGAGCUACGAUGCAUGGGCCCAGGCACACAAGGGCCCAUAGGUGAGCGGAAUAUAGUGCAUAGAGCGAUGUGUAUAAGCGCCCAAUCAGUAACCAAAGGAGUUUGAUAACUCUGCCUCGCCAGAGCUUAUCAACCAGUCCGGGGCGCUCUCGGCCGGCGAGGUGGGACUAAACAUUAGCGCGCGCACACAGCGCACCACGAACCAACGGUGCUCGCAGGCCGACUUGGGCCGAAUGCGUCUUUGCUCCCCAACACAGGGCCAACACGCGAGAGAUGCCACUAAAUAUUAAAAACAUUCCCACAUACCACAGAAAACCACGGCCCAAAAAAUAACUAGAAAAAUAAAAACAAUAACACAAUCCAGGGACUCUGCAGUUAGUUUACAUACAAUAUGCAGUUCGGUUAGACUCAAGUAAGCAGUGUUGUUGUUUAUCAAAUGCAUUCUCGUAAACUGAAUCAAAAUCCUUCCACCACCUAACACCAACCACUACAUUUAUUACUUCCAUUGCUUAAUUGGCUGCAUAAAAUCUAUCCAUUCGUGCUCCGGACUCACACAACGCCUCCCCACUUCCUCUGCUUCUUCAAAUCGUAGAUCUAGGGUUCCGCCCAUCCCCAACUGUUCUCUGAAAUUCCAGUGAAGGACUGUUCGUGCGGGUGCUUGGCAAGGAUGGCUCGGAUAGCGGACACAUGCGUGUACGCAGAUGGUCUCGAGCUCAUCGAUGACGAAUGGCGCAGCAAGCUCGGGUGCCUGAUGAUACCCAACAGGGGGUUUUGGGCGCCAUUUCUUCAUCACCUCACAUCCGCAGACCUGCAGGAAAAAUGGGUGUGUUUUCCCUCAUAUUUUUUUGACAAAUCUAGGCUGCAAAAUCCACAGAUGAAUGUAUAUUUCCAUCAAUUUGUUCAGUAGUAUCAGCAAUACAAAAGAUUUGUGAUGUUGUUCAGAUUUGUCAGCUAUUAAGACUAGAUAGGUCUAUCUAUAUUUCUUCAGUACCACACUAGGUGUCAACACUACUUAGAUCAGAACCCCAAUACACGAACAAAAAAGAGGUUCCAUAGAUCGGUGUUGCAGUUCUCUUAACAUGCUAAGGAAGUACACUGCAAAUGACCUUGCAGUGCAAACAUGUUAUAGUAUAAUAUAUAUUCUACUAAAACUAGAGGUAAGUCCGUAUAUAAUUUUGUUCAUACAUUGCAACUGCUUUCUUAAAUAGUAUUCAUAUAUAUAUAUGUACAUAUUUAAGUCAACAUAAAUAGAUCAUCCUAAUAUAAAAGAAAAACCUUUGGUGUUUACUUUUAAAAAAUCUUUUUCCAUGCAUGCCAAAAUACAGAAACUAUCAUCCACAAUAAGGUUUCCUGCUCCGAGUUUAGGGAAGGUUACUUUGGAGACACAACACAAGAAUGGGUAUGCAGACAUGCAAGCUGACUACCACAUUGACUCUGAAGACUGCACCAACAUAACUACUGGCUAGAGAAGUGGCCAUGGUGUUUUUUCUACAAAGAAGAAGACUCCCUGAAGUUUAUAAUAUUUGCACUAUAGGUUGUCUAGGAUAAAGCAAGCCAUCUAUGGCAUAUUCUAAUGCUUUCCUUAUGUUGUACGCUUUUAAAAUUAUGUCCAUCAGAAGCUUUGAACGGUGCCUUUUUAAAGUAUGCGACCUCAUCUGAAUCAUUUUAUCACCCUUUUAGAUAAGUUGCUGGUGAUAGAAAUGCAGUUCUCUAAUACACAUAGUGCGGCCCUUAUAAAAAACGCAAUACUCAGAACAGUAACAAUGCAAUGCCAAUGGACGAAACUUUGUAGUCAACCUAUGAUGUUCAAAAGAAUUCUCAUGGUAUGGAGUUCAGAAGAAUUGACAUAAUAGCAUAAAUAACAGCAUACCUAUUCUGAUAAUGUAGUACGAAAGUGCAUAUUAUGCAGUUCUCUGGAACACAAAAUGCAGUUUAAGAAAAAGAGAAAUCUCAUAAGCUGUCAUGCCCAUGUAAUACAAUUACAUUGAAGUCCACUACUAACGAAAAUGCAGUACACUACAAACAUAUGCCAUAUCUACAAAAAUAAAAUCAAAGCAGUACAGAUCCAGAUAUGUGGGAGACUAACAGAGGUGCCAAUUCCACUCGCGGUUCGAUAAGUCACCUAAAUAUUGCGCAACCACUCAAAUUUGAACAAUUACCCGAAAAAAGCACAUCAAACCCACGGCCAGUGGGAUGAACAACAUGCGCUAUUCUUUAAAAAUGCAACGAAAAGUAUGAACAUUACAGGCGCAAUACAGUGAAUUCAAACAAAACAGAGAAACUAAUUACAAGAUUCAAAAUGCAUCGGCGCACAAAAUUCAAAAAAACAACAAGAACAAAGGUGUAGCGACCCGACCCGAAUGGAUCAAGUCUCUGUGCUCCGGUGUCAUCCCUGGAUCAGUAAUGCUGACACCACACAAUACUUCGAAGGAUUUAUAACAGAGUAGCAAUCACACACUUAUUACAUCGUUUGUCCAGAAGAGGACUUAUUACAAUAAUCAUGGCUUAAGGCCAUCUAAUAACGAUAACAGCGGAAGACUUGGAAGAUAAGUGAGUCCAUCAACUCCAACGGCAUCACUGAGUAUAUAACCACGACCUAAAAGCACCUUAUUCAUCGUCUGAAAAGUCUGCAACAUGAAAAGUUGCAGCCCGAAAAUGGGUCAGCACAUGGAAUUGUUGGGUUAUGUAGUAAUUUCAAAAAAUUUCCUACGCACACGCAAGAUCAUGUGAUGCAUAGCAACGAGGGGGAGAGUAUUGUCUACGUACCCAACGCAGACCGACUGCGGAAGCGAUGACACGACGUAGAGGAAGUAGUCGUACGUCUUCACGAUCCAACCGAUCAAGCACCGAAACUACGGCACCUCCGAGUUCGAGCACACGUUCAGCUCGAUGACGAUCCCCGGACUCCGAUCCAGCAAAGUGUCGGGGAAGAGUUCCGUCAGCACGACGGCGUGGUGACGAUCUUGAUGAACUACAGCAGCAGGGCUUCGCCUAAACUCCGCUACAGUAUUAUCGAGGAAUAUGGUGGCAGGGGGCACCGCACACGGCUAAGGAACAGAUCACGUGGAUCAACUUGUGUCAACUUAUGUGUUUUGGGGUGCCUCUACCUCAGUAUAUAAAGGAGCCAAGGGGGGGAGGAGGCGCCGGCCAAGGAGGGAGGCGCAGGAGGAGUCCUACUCCUACCGGGAGUAGGACUCCCCCCCCCCAAUCCUAUUCCAACUAGGAUUCCCAAGGGGGAAAGAGGGAGAGGGGUGGCCAGCCACCUCUCCUAGUCCUAAUAGGACUAGGGGAAGGGGGGAGGCGCGCAGCCCCCUUGGGCUGCCCCUUUCUCCUUUCCACUAAGACCCAUGAAGGCCCAUAUGGCUCCCGGGGGGUUCCGGUAACCUCCCGGUAACCCGGUAAAAUCCCGAUUUCACCCGGAACACUUCCGAUGUCCAAACAUAGGCUUCCAAUAUAUCAAUCUUUAUGUCUCGACCAUUUCGAGACUCCUCGUCAUGUUCGUGAUCACAUCCGGGACUCCGAACAACCUUCGGUACAUCAAAAUGCAUAAACUCAUAAUAUAACUGUCAUCAUAACCUUAGCGUGCGGACCCUACAGGUUCGAGAACAAUGUAGACAUGACCGAGACACGUCUCUGGUCAAUAACCAAUAGCGGGACCUGGAUGCCCAUAUUGGCUCCUACAUAUUCUAUGAAGAUCUUUAUCGGUCAGACCGCAUAACAACAUACGUUGUUCCCUUUGUCAUCGGUAUGUUACUUGCCCGAGAUUCGAUCGUCGGUAUCCAAUACCUAGUUCAAUCUUGUUACCGGCAAGUCUCUUUACUCGUUCCGUAAUACAUCAUCUCACAACUAACAUAUUAGUUGUAAUGCUUGCAAGGCUUAUGUGAUGUGUAUUACCGAGAGGGCCCAGAGACACCUCUCCGACAAUCGGAGUGACAAAUCCUAAUCUCGAAAUACGCCAACCCAACAUCGACCAUUGGAGACACCUGUAGUACUCCUUUAUAAUCACCCAGUUACGUUGUGACGUUUGGUAGUACCCAAAGUGUUCCUCCGGUAAACGGGAGUUGCAUAAUCUCAUAGUCAUAGGAACAUGUAUAAGUCAUGAAGAAAGCAAUAGCAACAUACUAAAUGAUCGGGUGCUAAGCUAAUGGAAUGGGUCAUGUCAAUCAGAUCAUUCUACUAAUGAUGUGACCUCGUUAAUCAAAUAACAACUCAUUGUUCAUGGUUAGGAAACAUAACCAUCUUUGAUUAACGAGCUAGUCAAGUAGAGGCAUACUAGUGACACUUUGUUUGUCUAUGUAUUCACACAUGUAUUAUGUUUCCGGUAAAUACAAUUCUAGCAUGAAUAAUAAACAUUUAUCAUGAUUAUAAGGAAAUAAAUAAUAACUUUAUUAUUGCCUCUAGGGCAUAUUUCCUUCAAUCUCCCACUUGCACUAGAGUCAAUAAUCUAGUUCACAUCGCCAUGUGAUUUAACAGCAAUAGUUCAUAUCACCAUGUGAUUAACACCCAUAGUUCACAUCGAUAUGUGAUCAACACUCAAAAGGGUUUACUAGAGUCAAUAAUCUAGUUCACAUCAUUUAUGUGAUUAACACCCAAAGAGUACUAAGGUGUGAUCAUGUUUUGCUUGUGAGAUAAUUUAGUCAACGGGUCUGUCACAUUCAGAUCCGUAAGUAUUUUGAGAAUUUCUAUGUCAACAAUGCUCUGCACGGAGCUACUCUAGCUUAUUGCUCCCACUUUCAAUAUGUAUCUAGAUCAAGACUUAGAGUCAUCCAGAUCUGUGUCAAAACUUGCAUCGACGUAACCUUUUUACGACGAACCUUUUGUCACCUCCAUAAUCGAGAAAUAUUUCCUUAUUUCACUAAGGAUAAUUUUGACCAAUGUCCAGUGAUCUACUCCUAGAUCACUAUUGUACUCCCUUGCCAAACUUAGUGGUAGGGCAUAUAAUAGAUCUGGUAUAUAGCAUGGCAUACUUUAUAGAACCUAUGACUGAGGCAUAGGGAAUGACUUUUAUUCUCUUUCUAUUUUCUGCCGUGGUCGGGCUUUGAGUCUUACUCAACUUCACACCUUGUAAUACAGGCAAGAACUCUUUCUUUGACUGCUCCAUUUUGAACUACUUCAAAAUCUUGUCAAGGUAUGUACUCAUUGAAAAAUUUAUCAAGCGUCUUGAUCUAUCCCUAUAGAUCUUGAAGCUCAAUAUGUAAGCAGCUUGACCAAAGUCUUUCUAUGAAAAACUCCUUUCAAACACUCCUUUUAUGCUUUACAGAAUAAUUCUACAUUAUUUCCGAUCAACAAUAUGUCAUUCACAUAUACUUAUCAGAAAUGUUGUAGUGCUCCCACUCACUUUCUUGUAAAUACAGGCUUCACCGCAAGUCUGUAUAAAACUUAUAUGCUUUGAUCAACUUAUCAAAGCGUAUAUUCCAACUCCGAGAUGCUUGCACCAGUCCAUAGAUGGAUCGCUGGAGCUUGCAUAUUUUGUUAGCACCUUUAGGAUUGUCAAACCCUUCUGGUUGUAUCAUAUACAACUCUUCUUUAAUAAAUCCAUUAAGGAAUGCAGUUUUGUCUAUCCAUUUGCCGGAUUUCAUAAAAUACGGCAAUUGCUAACAUGAUUCGGACAGACUUAAGCAUCGCUACGGGUGAGAAGGUCUCAUCGUAGUCAAUCCCUUGAACUUGCCGAAAACCUUUUGCGACAAGUCGAGCUUUGUAGACAGUAACAUUACCAUCAGCGUCAGUCUUCUUCUUAAAGAUCCAUUUAUUCUCAAUUGCUUGCCGAUCAUCGGGCAAGUCAACCAAAGUCCAUACUUUGUUCUCAUACAUGGAUCCCAUUUCAGAUUUCAUGGCUUCAAGCCACUUUGCGGAAUCUGGGCUCACCAUCGCUUCUUCAUAGUUCGUAGGUUCAUCAUGAUCUAGUAGCAUGACUUCCAGAACAGGAUUACCGUACCACUCUGGUAUGGAUCUUACUCUGGUUGAUCUACGAGGUUUAGUAGUAUCUUGAUCUGAAGUUUCAUGAUCAUUAUCAUUGGCUUCCUCACUAACUGGUGUAGGUGUCACUGAAACAGUUUUCUGUGAUGAACUACUUUCCAGUAAGGGAGCAGGUACAGUUACCUCAUCAAGUUCUACUUUCCUCCCACUCACUUCUUUCGAGAGAAACUCCUUCUCCAGAAAGGAUCCAUUUUUAGCAACGAAUAUCUUGCCUCCGGAUCUGUGAUAGAAGGUGUACCCAACAAUUUCCUUUGGGUAUUCUAUGAAGACGCACUUCUCCGAUUUGGGUUCGAGCUUAUCAGGAUGAAACUUUUCCACAUAAGCAUCGCAGCCCCAAACUUUAAGAAACGACAACUUGGGUUUCUUGCUAAACCACAGUUCAUAUAGUGUCGUCUCAACAGAUUUAGAUGGUGCCCUUUUAACGUGAAUGCAGCUGUCUCUAAUGCAUAACCCCAAAACGACAAUGGUAAAUCAAUAAGAGACAUCAUAGAUCGCACCAUAUCCAAUAAAGCGCGGUUACGACGUUCGGACACACCAUAACAUUGUGGUGUUCCAGGUGGCGUGAGCUAUGAAACUAUUCCACAUUGUUUUAAUUGAAGACCAAACUCGUGACUCAAAUAUUCGUCUCCGUGAUCAGAUCGCAGAAACUUUAUUUUUCUUGUUACGAUGAUUUUUCCACUUCACUCUGAAAUUCUUUGAACCUUUCAAUUAUUUCAGACUUAUGUUUCAUCAAGUAGAUAUCCCCAUAUCUGCUCAAAUCAUCUUGUGAAGGUCAGAAAAUAAUGAUACCUGCUGUAAGACUUAAUAUUCAUCGGACCACAUACAUCGGUAUGUAUGAUUUCCAACAAAUCUGUUGCUUGCUUCAUUGUUCCGGAGAACGGCGUUUUAGUCAUCUUGCCCAUAAGGCAUGGUUCGCAAGCAUCAAGUGAUUCAUAAUCAAGUGAUUCCAAAAUCCCAUCAGCAUGGAGUUUCUUCAUGCGCUUUACACCAAUAUGACCUAAACGGCAGUGCCAUAAAUAAGUUGCACUAUCAUUAUUAACUUUACAUCUUUUGGUUUCAAUAUUAUGAAUAUGUGUAUCACUAAGAUCGAGAUCCAAUGAACUAUUUUCAUUGGGUGUGUAACCAUAUAAAGUUUUAUUCAUGUAAACAGAACAACAAUUUAUUCUUUUACUUAAAUGAAUAACCGUAUUACAAUAAACAUGAUCAAAUCAUAUUCAUGCUCAACGCAAACACCAAAUAACACUUAUUUAGUUUCAACACUAAUCCCGAAAUUAUAGGGAGUGUGCGAUGAUGAUCAUAUCAAUCUUGGAACCACUUCCAACACACAUCGUCACUUCACCCUUAACUAGUCUCUGUUUAUUCUGCAACUCCCGUUUCGAGUUACUAGUCUUAGCAACUGAACUAGUAUCAAAUACUUAGGGUUUGCUAUAAACACUAGUAAAGUACACAUCAAUAACAUGUAUAUCAAAUAUACUUAUGUUCACUUUGCCAUCCUUCUUAUCCGCCAAUCACUUGGGGUGGUUCCGUUUCCGGUGACCAGUCCCUUUGCAGUAGAAGCACUUAGUCUCAGGCUUAGGACCAGACUUGGGCUUCUUCACUUGAGCAGCAACUUGCUUGUCGUUCUUCUUGAAGUUCCCCUUCUUCCCUUUGCCCUUUUCUUGAAACUAGUGGUCUUAUCAACCAUCAACACUUGAUGUUUUUCUUGAUUUCUACCUUCAUUGAUUUCAUCAUCACGAAGAGCUUGGGAGUUGUUUCCGUUAUCCCUUGCAUAUUAUAGUUCAUCACGAAGUUCUACUAACUUGGUGAUGGUGACUAGAGAAUUCUGUCAAUCACUAUCUUAUCUGGAAGAUUAACUCCCACUUGAUUCAAGCGAUUGUAGUACCCAGACAAUCUGAGCACAUGCUCACUAGUUGAGCGAUUCUCCUCCAUCUUUUAGCUAUAGAAUUUGUUGGAGACUUCAUAUCUCACAACUCGGGUAUUUGCUUGAAAUAUUAACUUCAACUCCUGGAACAUCUCAUAUGGUCCAUGACGUUCAAAACGUCUUUGAAGUCCCGAUUCUAAGCUGUUAAGCAUGGUGCACUUAAACUAUCAAGUAGUCAUCAUAUUGAGCUAGCUAAACGUUCAUAACGUUUGCAUCUGCUCCUGCAAUAGGUCUGUUACCUAGCGGGCAUCAAGGACAUAAUUCUUCUGUGCACCAAUGAGGAUAAUCCUCAGAUCACGGAUCCAAUCCGCAUCAUUGCUACUAACAUCUUUCAACACAAUUUUCUCUAGGAACAUAUCAAAAUAAACACAGGGAAGCAACAACGCGAGCUAUUGAUCUAUAAUUUGCAAAAUACUACCAGGACUAAGUUCAUGAUAAAUUUAAGUUCAAUUAAUCAUAUUACUUAAGAACUCCCACUUAGAUAGACAUCCCUCUAAUCCUCUAAGUGAUCACGUGAUCCAAAUCAACUAAACCAUGACCGAUCAUCACGUGAGAUGGAGUAGUUUUCAAUGGUGAACAUCGUUAUGUUGAUCAUAUCUACUAUAUGAUUCACGCUCGACCUUUCGGUCUCCGUGUUCCGAGGCCAUAUCUGCAUAUGCUAGGCUCGUCAAGUUUAACCUGAGUAUUCUGCGUGUGCAAAACUGGCUUGCACCCGUUGUAGAUGGACGUAGAGCUUAUCACACCCGAUCAUCACGUGGUGUCUGGGCACGACGAACUUUGGCAACGGUGCAUACUCAGGGAGAACACUUCUUGAUAAUUUAGUGAGAGAUCAUCUUAUAAUGCUACCGUCAAUCAAAGCAAGAUAAGAUGCAUAAAAAGAUAAACAUCACAUGCAAUCAAUAUAAUUGAUAUGAUAUGGCCAUCAUCAUCUUGUGCCUGUGAUCUCCAUCUCCGAAGCACCGUCAUGAUCACCAUCGUCACCAGCGCGACACCCUGAUCUCCAUCGUAGCAUCGUUGUCGUCUCGCCAAUCUUAUGCUUCCACGACUAUCACCAACGUUUAGUAAUAAAGUAAAGCAUUACAUCGCGAUUGCAUUGCAUACAAUAAAGCGACAACCAUAUGGCUCCUGCCAGUUGCCGAUAACUCGGUUACAAAACAUGAUCAUCUCAUACAAUAAAAUUCAGCAUCAUGCCUUGACCAUAUCACAUCACAACAUGCCCUGCAAAAACAAGUUAGACGUCCUCUACUUUGUUGUUGCAUGUUUUACGUGGCUGCUACGGGCUUAAGUAAGAACCAAUCUCACCUACGCAUCAAAACCACAACGAUAGUUUGUCAAAUAGACUCCGUUUUAACCUUUGCAAGGACCGGGCGUAGCCAUACUUGGUUCAACUAAAGUUGGAGAGGCAGUCGCCCGCAAGCCAUCUCUGUGCAAAGCACGUCGAGGGAACCGGUCUCGCGUAAGCGUACGCGUAAGGUUGGUCUGGGUCGUCUCGUCCAACAAUACCGCCGAACCAAAGUAUGACAUGCUGGUAGGCAGUAUGACUUGUAUCGUCCACAACUCACUUGUGUUCUACUCGUGCAUAUAACAUCAACAUAAAUAACCUAGGCUCGGAUGCCACUGUUGGGUUAUGUAGUAAUUUCAAAAAAAUUCCUACGCACACGCAAGAUCAUGUGAUGCAUAGCAACGAGGGGGAGAGUAUUGUCUACGUACCCAACGCAGACCAACUGCGGAAGCGAUGACACGACGUAGAGGAAGUAGUUGUACGUCUUCACGAUCCAACCGAUCAAGCACCGAAACUACGGCACCUCCGAGUUCGAGCACACGUUCAGCUCGAUGACGAUCCCCGGACUCCAAUCCAGCAAAGUGUCGGGGAAGAGUUCCGUCAGCACGACGGCGUGGUGACGAUCUUGAUGAACUACAGCAGCAGGGCUUCGCCUAAACUCCGCUACAGUAUUAUCGAGGAAUAUGGUGGCACGGGGCACCGCACACGGCUAAGGAACAGAUCACGUGGAUCAACUUGUGUCAACUUAUGUGUUUUGGGGUGCCUCUACCUCAGUAUAUAAAGGAGCCAAGGGGGGGAGGAGGCGCCGGCCAAGGAGGGAGGCGCAGGAGGAGUCCUACUCCUACCGGGAGUAGGACUCCCCCCCCCCCCAAUCCUAUUCCAACUAGGAUUCCCAAGGGGGAAAGAGGGAGAGGGGUGGCCGGCCACCUCUCCUAGUCCUAAUAGGACUAGGGGAAGGGGGGAGGCGCGCAGCCCCCUUGGGCUGCCCCUUUCUCCUUUCCACUAAGACCCAUGAAGGCCCAUAUGGCUCCCGGGGGGUUCCGGUAACCUCCCGGUAACCCGGUAAAAUCCCGAUUUCACCCGGAACACUUCCGAUAUCCAAACAUAGGCUUCCAAUAUAUCAAUCUUUAUGUCUCGACCAUUUCGAGACUCCUCGUCAUGUCCGUGAUCACAUCCGGGACUCCGAACAACCUUCGGUACAUCAAAAUGCAUAAACUCAUAAUAUAACUGUCAUCGUAACCUUAAGCGUGCGGACCCUACGGGUUCGAGAACAAUGUAGACAUGACCGAGACACGUCUCUGGUCAAUAACCAAUAGCGGGACCUGGAUGCCCAUAUUGGCUCCUACAUAUUCUAUGAAGAUCUUUAUCGGUCAGACCGCAUAACAACAUACGUUGUUCCCUUUGUCAUCGGUAUGUUACUUGCCCGAGAUUCGAUCGUCGGUAUCCAAUACCUAGUUCAAUCUCGUUACCGGCAAGUCUCUUUACUCGUUCCAUAAUACAUCAUCUCACAACUAACAUAUUAGUUGUAAUGCUUGCAAGGCUUAUGUGAUGUGUAUUACCGAGAGGGCCCAGAGACACCUCUCCGACAAUCGGAGUGACAAAUCCUAAUCUCGAAAUACGCCAACCCAACAUCGACCAUUGGAGACACCUGUAGUACUCCUUUAUAAUCACCCAGUUACGUUGUGACGUUUGGUAGUACCCAAAGUGUUCCUCCGGUAAACGGGAGUUGCAUAAUCUCAUAGUCAUAGGAACAUGUAUAAGUCAUGAAGAAAGCAAUAGCAACAUACUAAACGAUCGGGUGCUAAGCUAAUGGAAUGGGUCAUGUCAAUCAGAUCAUUCUACUAAUGAUGUGACCUCGUUAAUCAAAUAACAACUCAUUGUUCAUGGUUAGGAAACAUAACCAUCUUUGAUUAACGAGCUAGUCAAGUAGAGGCAUACUAGUGACACUUUGUUUGUCUAUGUAUUCACACAUGUAUUAUGUUUCCGGUAAAUACAAUUCUAGCAUGAAUAAUAAACAUUUAUCAUGAUUAUAAGGAAAUAAAUAAUAACUUUAUUAUUGCCUCUAGGGCAUAUUUCCUUUAGGAAUAUGCUGGCAAUGUAACACAUAUAGAGAAAUAAUGAGUAUUGGCUAUACUACAUGCAUAUUUGGCUGGUGGAAAAGCUCUAUGGUUAUAGUUUUUUCAUAAAGGCAGUUUUUCCCUACUACAAAGGAAUAAAUUUAUUUAACUAUCAUGGUAGUUGUUAAACAUUGAGAAUGGUUGACAGCAUCCUCAAUCCCAAUUAAAAGUACUCAUUUAAAACCCAACAAUAUUAAUUAGAAGUAACAUGUUGAGAUUCAACAGGAUAAGCCAAGUACUAGAUACUCAAGACGUCCAUAACCGGGGACACGGCUAAUCAUGAUUAGUUUGUACACUCUGCAGAGGUUUGCGCACUUUUCCCCACAAGACUCGAUCGCCUCCGCUUGGUUUCUCGCACUACAUGGUGUUUAAGAAACGGAUGACCGAGACAUAGUCUUUCAGAAGUGCUAGCACCUUACGAUGGGUGGACCGGUACACCUACAUCCCCUACAUCUGCUAGUCCACCACUAUAAGAGUUCGCACGACUUAGUCAACUAUGCCGGAGCCCAUAAUGGCUUGUGGCUGCACACAUAAGUUACUAGUAUGAAUUAUCUAAUGAUCCCUUUGAGCCUGGGUGGCGGUCCGAAGAAAUACAGGCAAGUCCUGCUAGAAAACAGGUGCCUCAAUCCACCCAGAUGUGUAUUUAAGUUGCCACCUUAGAUAAACCAUUAAUAACAAUCUCACAUCUGUCAUGGAUAUUCACUCACCCAAUCCACGUCUACUAGCAUAGCAUGGCAUAAUAAGCAAACGUAGAAGUAACUCCCAAAGGUUUCAUAAGUAAUACAGGUAAUAGGUACUACCUCAUCUACUUCCCAUCCCACAAUUUAAUUAGAUCCUAAUCAUGCAAUGUUUGAGGAUUGAUCUAAUGCAUAAAAACUAGGUAGUAGAAAAGAUAUGAUCAAGUGUUACUUGCCUUGCUGAUGAUCCGCGAAACCUAGAGACUCGAAGUAACAAGCGGCGCACUUCGGGUGAUCUAUCGCAGACAAACAACAAGCAUACAAUAAGUACUCAUCUAAUGCACAGGUAAAUCUCGAAUAAAAGAUCUAACCAGAAAGUUCAACUUAAGAACCCUGGUUGCAAAAAGAAUCGAAUCAAAUAAAGCAACGAAAGUCAAACGACGAAAGAAAACAACUCGGUUCUAGCAAGUUGAAACUAAGUCAAAUUUUACAGUAGAAAAACUUUGUUUAAGUUGAUUAGUCGGAACGGCGGUUUCGAGAUGAAACUCUAGGCAUUUCAAUCACCUGAUUCCGAUAAACGAGCGAGAAGAUAGACUAGAAAGAAAAUCGGAUCUGAAAUCGCUAUCAAAAAAAUAGCGGAAUAAAUCUGAUGAGAAAGAAAACGACGAACGGUUGAACGAACGGACGUUCAUUAACCGAAGCAAACAGGUGAUCAUGUUCGUUAGGACGAACGGUCCGGCGAACGCUUGCUAAACAAAACUGGAAAGAAAAACCGAUCUAGGGUUUCGGAAAGAAAACUGAAACGAAAAACUGAUCUAGAAAACCGGAAUGGAAACCGGAAUGAUUUACGAAAAACCGAACCGAGCAAAAGAAAAGGUGACGCGGCGCGGGGCUAGUACCUCGAAGAGGCGAGGGGCUCCGGCGGCGGCGGCGUUGGGUGGCGGCGGCGGCACUUGGCGGCGGCUGUGGCAAGCGGCNNNNNNNNNNNNNNNNNNNNNNNNNNNNNNNNNNNNNNNNNNNNNNNNNNNNNNNNNNNNNNNNNNNNNNNNNNNNNNNNNNNNNNNNNNNNNNNNNNNNNNNNNNNNNNNNNNNNNNNNNNNNNNNNNNNNNNNNNNNNNNNNNNNNNNNNNNNNNNNNNNNNNNNNNNNNNNNNNNNNNNNNNNNNNNNNNNNNNNNNNNNNNNNNNNNNNNNNNNNNNNNNNNNNNNNNNNNNNNNNNNNNNNNNNNNNNNNNNNNNNNNNNNNNNNNNNNNNNNNNNNNNNNNNNNNNNNNNNNNNNNNNNNNNNNNNNNNNNNNNNNNNNNNNNNNNNNNNNNNNNNNNNNNNNNNNNNNNNNNNNNNNNNNNNNNNNNNNNNNNNNNNNNNNNNNNNNNNNNNNNNNNNNNNNNNNNNNNNNNNNNNNNNNNNNNNNNNNNNNNNNNNNNNNNNNNNNNNNNNNNNNNNNNNNNNNNNNNNNNNNNNNNNNNNNNNNNNNNNNNNNNNNNNNNNNNNNNNNNNNNNNNNNNNNNNNNNNNNNNNNNNNNNNNNNNNNNNNNNNNNNNNNNNNNNNNNNNAUAUUUGAAGAUAAAAUAAAUAAAUCCAAUGAUCCUCUUUUCAUAGUUUUGAGAGAACUCAAAUACGAAAAUUUCGAAAUCUCCAACUCUCUCCGAGGGUCCUUGAGUUGCGUGAAAUUUCUAGGAUCAACAAAAUGCAAGAAAAUAUGAUAUGCAUGAUGAUCUAAUGUAUAACAUUCCAAAUUGAAAAUUUGGGAUGUUACAAACCUACCCCCCUUAAGAUGAAUCUCGCCCUCGAGAUUCGGGUUGGCUAGAAAAUAGGUGAGGGUGGUCCUUGAGCAAAUCUUCUUCUCUUUCCCAGGUGGCUUCAUCCUCAGUGUGGUGGCUCCACUGAACCUUGCAAAACUUGAUAACCUUGCUGCGAGUAACUCUGCUGGCAUAUUCGAGAAUCCUGACUGGUUUCUCCUCAUAUGUUAAAUCAUCCUUCAACUGAAUUGCUUCAAGUGGCACUGUAUCUCUUAGCGGUACUUCCGCCAUCUCGGCGUGACAUUUCUUCAGCUGAGAAACAUGGAACACGUCAUGAACUCCUGACAGUCCUUCUAGUAAUUCCAACUUAUAAGCGACUUCUCCCAUGCGUUGCAAAAUCCUAUAUGGUCCAACAAAACGUGGCGCCAAUUUUCCUUUAACUCCAAAACGCUUAACUCCUCGAAGUGGGGAUACUCUAAGAUAAAUGAUGUCUCCAACUUUAUAUUCUAUCGCCUUGCGUUUUGAAUCCGCAUAGCUUUUCUGUCUAGACUGGGCUACCUUGAGCCUAUCGCGAAUCAACUUAACUUUCUAUUCAGACUCCUUAAUCAAAUCUGGUCCAAACAACUGACGGUCUCCAACUUCGUAACUAUUGUCUGAUACGAUACUCCUCGGAACUCCGUGCAAACACACAAUUCUGGUCAUGUAUAUCUUUGCCAACUUAGCGCUGCUAUAGGUAGUCUUGACUGGAAUGAAAUGAGCUACCUUCGUCAAGCGGUCGACUAUAACCCAAAUCGAAUCAUAGCCUGAACGAGUCUUUGGCAAACCCGUGAUGAAAUCCAUGCCUAGUUUAUCCCACUUCCAUUCGGGUAUUGGCAAUGGCUGCAACAAUCCUGCUGGCUUCUGAUGUUCUGCCUUCACUCUCUGACAUACAUCGCAAACUGCUACAUACUCCGUGAUAUCCUUCUUCAUUCCGGUCCACCAGAACGUUUCCUUCAAAUCCAAAUACAUGUUGGUAUUUCCUGGGUGAAUCGAAUAGGGUGAAUCAUGUGCCUCUUGCAGAAUCAACUUCCUAAUCUCCGGGUUAUUUGGCACAUAAAUACGGUCCUCAAACCAUAGGGUAUCGUGCUCAUCCUCACGAAAUCCCUUUGCUUUUCCUUCGCUCAUUUUCUUCUUUAUAUCCGCAAUCUCUUUGUCCUUUUUCUGAGCUUCCCUGAUUUUAUCCAUUAAGGUAGACUGAAUCUCCAAUGCUGCUACAUAGCCUCUCGGAACUAUUUCCAAACAUAGCUCAUGAAGAUCUUCUGCUAGCUCCUUUGGUUUUUCUCCCAGCAAUAGCGUAUUGACAUGGCUCUUGCGGCUCAAUGCGUCAGCUUCUACAUUAGCCUUUACGGGAUGAUAAUGCAAUCUCAUAUCAUAAUCCUUGAUGAGUUCCAACCAUCUCCUUUGUCUAAGGUUUAACUCCUUCUGCGUGAAAAUAUACUUCAAACUCUUGUGAUCCGUGUAUACCUCACAAUGAUUUCCAAUGAGGAAAUGUCUCCAUGUCUUCAAUGCAUGCACUACGGCUGCUAACUCCAAAUCAUGUGUGGCGUAAUUUAAUUCAUGAGGUUUCAGUUGUCGUGAAGCAUACGAAACAACUCUUCCUUCCUGCAUAAGCACUGCUCCAAGUCCUCGACGUGAAGCGUCGCAAUACACCUCAUAAUCCUUGGUCUGAUCUGGCAAAAUUAGCACUGAUGAGGUAACCAAUCUUUUCUUCAACUCCUGAAAACUUGCCUCACAGUCCUCAGUCCAUAUGAACUUGGUAUCCUUCUUCAACAACUCCGUCAUAGGCUUUGCAAUCCUUGAGAAAUUCUCAAUGAAUCUCCGGUAGUAUCCUGCGAGUCCAAGAAAACUCCGGAUCUCUCCAACUGUCGUUGGUGCUUCCCAAUUGGUUACGGUCUCAACCUUUGUGGGGUCAACUGCUAUACCUUCUCCGGAUAUAACGUGUCCAAGAAAUCCAACUUCCUUUAGCCAAAACUCACAUUUGCUGAACUUGGCAUAUAACUGAUGUUCCCUUAGCUUCUCCAAAACCAAUCGCAAAUGUUCCUUAUGUGCCUCUUCAUUCUUCGAGAAAACCAAAAUAUCAUCAAUGAACACCACGACGAACUUAUCCAAAAACUCCAUAAACACUUUGUUCAUCAGGUUCAUAAAAUAGGCAGGUGCGUUAGUCAGUCCAAAUGACAUAACGGUAUACUCAUACAGUCCAUAUCUUGUGGUGAACGUUGUCUUAGGUAUGUCCUGCUCUCGAAUCUUCAGCUGAUGGUACCCUGAUUGCAAAUCAAUCUUGGAAAACACGUUAGCUCCUUGCAAACGAUCAAACAGAUCAUUUAUCAUUGGUAGUGGGUACUUGUUCUUGAUUGUUACUGCAUUCAAUCCACGAUAAUCAACAACCAUCCUUAACGAUCCAUCCUUCUUCUCCACUAACAGUAUGGGUGAUCCCCAAGGCAAAGAACUUGGGCGUAUAUAACCUUUAUCCAACAGCUCCUUAAUCUGCUUCUUGAUUUCCGCCAAAUCCUGUGCGGGCAUCCUGUAUGGUCGGUUCGAUAUUGGGCCUGUUCCUGGCAAUAGCUCAAUCAAAAACUCAAUGUCUCUAUCCGGUGGCAUUCCUGGCAAUUCCUCAGGAAAUACAUCAGGAUAGUCCUUCACUACUGGCACCUCUUCCUGCACAACUCCUGAUAGACAAUUUACAUGAGCUCUCCUCGGCUCAUGCCGUGAUACAUACUUAAUCCUUCUUCCUUCUGGCGUUGUGAGCAAAAUCGUCUUACUUGCGCAAUCGAUGUUUCCUCCAUACAUCGACAGCCAAUCCAUACCUAGAAUCACAUCCAAUCCUUGGGAUUCCAGAACGAUCAAAUCCAUCGGAAACACAUGCCUUCCUAUACUCAAUGGCACUUGAAAACAUCCUUGUCUGGCCAUAUACUCCGCUCCUGGUGAGCUUACUAGCAUAGGGGUUUUAAGAAUCUGAGUAGACAGACUAUUCUUCUCUACAAAUCCCCUUGAUAUGUAUGAAUGCGAUGCACCAGUAUCGAAAAGAACAAGUGCAGUAAAUGACUUAACCAAAAACUUACCGAUUACUACAUCGGGCUGAUCUUCAGCCUCCUCCACAUCAAUGUGGUUCACCUGUCCCCUGUUGUUGGCUUCUUUCCAGAGCUUCCAUUGCCAUUUCCAUUCUGGCCUUCGGGACAUUCAUUGGCAUAAUGUCUGGUCUUGGAACACUUGAAACAAGUGACGUGGCUCAAAUCCUUCUUGGCUGGGGUUGAUGGGGUGCUGCGAUUCUGUCCACUACUUCCUCCAUUCCCAUUACCAUUCUUGUGGCCAUUAUGGUUGUGCGAACUACUUCCUCCAUGGGUAUGCUGAAACUGCACUCCCUGUUUAGGGGUAUAACGGGGCUUCUGCUGGGCUCCAGAGUUAAACUUCCCCUGCCCAUACUUCCUCUUGCGAUUCUCAAUCUGCUGCUGCUUUCCUUCAAUCAUGAGUGCGCGGUCUACCAACUCCUGGUAGUUAUUGAAUCUUGCUACCAUCAACUGCAGGCUUAACUCAUCAUUCAGUCCUUCCAGAAACUUCUCCUGCUUAGCUGCGUCUGUAGCAACGUCAUCUGGGGCAUAACGUGCUAACUUACUAAAAUCAUCCACAUACUGUCCAACAGUCCUUCCUCCUUGGCGUAAGUUGCGGAACUCACGCUUCUUCAUGGCCAUAGCUCCUGCUGAAACAUGGGCAGUGCGGAAAGCUUGCUGGAACUGAUCCCAUGUAACAGUGUCUACGGGGUAAGUGGCUGUGAAAUUCUCCCACCAUGCUAUUGCGGGUCCGUCAAGCUGAUGUGCAGCAAACUUCACCUUCUCACCAUCUGUGCAUCCUGCAGUGGUCAACUCCCUUCCUAUCUUGUGGAGCCAAUCAUCUGCUACAAUCGGCUCGGUGCUACUAGAAUACACCGGUGGAUGCAGCCUAAGGAAACAAGUCAAGUGAUCCCCAGGUGGUGGUGGGUUGUUGUUGUUGUUGCCUUGGUUCUGUACCAAUGUCUGAAUCAAAGUAUUCUGCUGCUGAAUCAACUAGGUGAUCUCUAGCGGAAAAACAAACUCGGGGUCGCAUCUCGGAGGCAUCUGAAGGGUUUAGAAAAGACGAGAAAUUAAGAAUAGAGUGAGGUCUAGGGAGAAAACACUACCCGAAUGCUCAUGAGACAAAUGCACACAAAAAUCACUUCAUUCAUUCAAUAAAAGGGCUUACAACGGUCUAACUAUCGCAAAAGUGCGUGUACUAUAAUGUUUACAUGGAGGGAAUACUACUAAUAUGUGGGGGUCAUCUAUUAAUUUGAACCAGUGGAAGACUCCAUGAUGUCUGCUCCAGCUUCGUCUUCAAAGUCGGGCUCGCUUGGAUCUGAAUCGGUGUCGUCGAUGAUGAUGUAGUUGCUCGGACAGUCGACGUACUUGUCUUCAUUCUUGAGCUCCAAUUUCUUCUUGAGUUCUUCAAUCUCAUACUUAAGAUCUCUAUUGUGCCUCACGACAGCUACGAUCUCGUCCAUGUAGUCCUUGUGUAGAGUCUUCAUCUCUCCUUCAAGUUCGAUGAUCCUUCCCUUUGCAUUCUUCAACUCUAUCAUAUCAUUGCACAUCUGGUUCUCCUGGCGUCGAAUGUGCUGGUUUAACUCUUGGAUGAAAGCUGCAAUGGAUCUAUCCUUCUUGGUGCUGACUAUCUCCCAUUGUUCAUUCUGGCAUCCGCAAAUCUGGUAGAUAGUGUCCUUGAGGUCUUCUUGAUAAACUUCUCCAAUGCGUCCCAUGGUGAUAUGAGCUGCCAUGCUCUUUCCCAGACUCCAGGUUGGUGCACUGAAAACACUAUCUAUAGGCUUGGUGAUUGGCGCGAAUGUCCUUCCCGGAACAUGAGCUUGAAUCUUCCAGCGCUCCUCUUCAGGCAGAGUGGCGUUGAAAGUCCCGGUGAAGCUUGGUAGUCCAAUGUUCAAGUACCUGGCGACUUCCUUCAAGUGGAAUCCAAAAGGUGUACCUUCAUCUGGUUGAGCGUACUUGAUCUUGGCGUCCGUCAUCCUAAAGAGUAGAAAAGAUGAGGAGUUAGAAAAUGAGAAGAGAAUGGUGAUCUAUGGCUUUAACUUAGUGGUCGUGUCCUACAGUCAGCGUGUGCUCUGAUACCAUCUCUGUAGCGACCCGACCCGAAUGGAUCAAGUCUCUGUGCUCCGGUGUCAUCCCUGGAUCAGUAAUGCUGACACCACACAGUACUUCGAAGGAUUUAUAACAGAGUAGCAAUCACACACUUAUUACAUCGUUUGUCUAGAAGAGGACUUAUUACAAUAAUCAUGGCUUAAGGCCAUCUAAUAACGAUAACAGCGGAAGACUUGGAAGAUAAGUGAGUCCAUCAACUCCAACGGCAUCACUGAGUAUAGAACCACGACCUAAAAGCACCUUAUUCAUCGUCUGAAAAGUCUGCAACACGAAAAGUUGCAGCCCGAAAACGGGUCAGCACAUGGAAUAUGCUGGCAAUGUAACACAUAGAGAGAAAUAAUGAGUAUUGGCUAUACUACAUGCAUAUUUGGCUGGUGGAAAAGCUCUAUGGUUACAGUUUUUUCAUAAAGCCAGUUUUUCCCUACUACAAAGGAAUAAAUUUAUUUAACUAUCAUGGUAGUUGUUAAACACUGUGUCACAGCCCUAGAAUUUGUUUGUCAUUAGUUGCAUUAAGGCAUUCAUGCAUCAUGUUUAAAGUUCAUGAAACUUGAACUGGGGAUGACAAACUCUAGCACUAAAUAAAAUGCAAUUAGGAUCAAAAUAAAAAUAUUUUCAAUAAACCCAGAAUGCCCUUUAGGAAAGUUCAUUAUUUUUGUUAAAGGUGAAAACCCCUGCCAACAAUGAUGCACAUAUUUCUAGGCCAUUCUGGAUUUUUGAAUUAAAUCCUAUUGUAUUUGACUUUGGGCAUUUAAAUACUAUAAACAGUUUAAAUAUUCAAAUAAAUGUUGGAAAUUGUUAAGGGUCACUGAAAUAAUUCAGAAAGCACCCAUAAUUGUUUCCAGGAUUUUAUAAAAUGAUUUGAUAUUUUUAAAUCAAAUCAAAACAAACUACAGAAAAUAGAAAAACAGAAUUAAAUAGAAAUAAAAGCAGAGAGGAGAGAAAACUUACCUGGCGCUCGCCUCUUAGCCCACCUGGCCCAGCUCCUCCAGCGGCCCAGCCCACUGCCGCUUCUCCCCCUGUCGUCUUCCUCCCCCUCGCCCCGAAGCUGCUCGGUGGCGCGCGCGGCCACACGCCCCGGCCACCUCCUCCCUCCCAGCCUGCCUGGCUCCUCCUCGACGCCCCGGUGACGCCACGCGCCUCCCCGACCCCCCUCUCACUUCUCCCUCGCUCUCUGGACCUCCCUCCCCCUNNNNNNNNNNNNNNNNNNNNNNNNNNNNNNNNNNNNNNNNNNNNNNNNNNNNNNNNNNNNNNNNNNNNNNNNNNNNNNNNNNNNNNNNNNNNNNNNNNNNNNNNNNNNNNNNNNNNNNNNNNNNNNNNNNNNNNNNNNNNNNNNNNNNNNNNNNNNNNNNNNNNNNNNNNNNNNNNNNNNNNNNNNNNNNNNNNNNNNNNNNNNNNNNNNNNNNNNNNNNNNNNNNNNNNNNNNNNNNNNNNNNNNNNNNNNNNNNNNNNNNNNNNNNNNNNNNNNNNNNNNNNNNNNNNNNNNNNNNNNNNNNNNNNNNNNNNNNNNNNNNNNNNNNNNNNNNNNNNNNNNNNNNNNNNNNNNNNNNNNNNNNNNNNNNNNNNNNNNNNNNNNNNNNNNNNNNNNNNNNNGGCCACCGGCCACCCCUCGCCCUGUCGAUAAGCCCAGAAGAACCACCGUCGUCUCCUGCAUCGUCUACGCCAGCCCGUUCGACUGCGGGAGCCCUGCAUCGCCGCCCACGCCGUCUCCCCCAUCUCCGGCCGCCCGAGAUCGCCGGCGCCCGCUCGCCACCUCCGAUGUCUCCCCCGAGCCGCUGGGCCUCCAAUCGACCCCCUGUAAGCCCCGCCAUCGUUCACCCCUACCCCCGUUCCCUUUUGCUCACUCUGGCCGCCGAUUCCAUCAAGGCCAAAAACCACCGCCGCGCGAGCUCGACUCCGGCGAAACCCCGGUGACCAUUUGGUCACGGGCGUGCACCCGUUGUGCUUGCCGCGACCCGUAGAGCCCCUUCAGCGCCUCAGCUCCCUCGCUUGUGAGCAGCAGCGCCGAACCCGACCGCACCCGAACUCCGGCCGCCGCCGAUUUGGUCGCCGCCGUCGAUUCCGACCACCGUAGCUGCUGCCGCCACCACCACUGGAUGCGCGAGUCUUCCAGCUCGAUGUAGCCGCAAACCCCGAGCAAAGCGGUGCCCUGUGGUGCCGUCCCGAGCAACUCCGGCGAGGUCUCGCCGUCGUCGUGGUCGCCGGCGUCACUAGCUGACGUGGCUCCGUCAUUAGGAGCUAAUCCAACUAACUAAACCACCUACAGCCACUGACAGUAGGCCCCACCCUUGGUCAAACCCCAGUCAGCACUGGGUUUGACCGGGAUUAGCUCAUGUGACACUGACGUGUGGACCCCGCACGUCAGGUUUGACCUGGACCUGGCCGUUGACUCGCUGACGUCAUGCUGGCGUCAGGCUGACGCAGUUAAAUCAUUUACUGGAUUUAUUAUUAUUCAGGAAAUUCUAGAAAAUGCCUAAAACUUCAAUAAAUCAUAGAAAAUUAACCGUAACUCCAAAUUAAAUAAUUUAUAUAUGAAAAAUUAUCAGAAAAAUUCAAGGAAUCCAUCUGUACCAUUUUCUUGCAUGUUUGAACAAUGUUUGUCCUCUAUUUUGGACAAAACAAUUAAAGGGCAUUUAAAUAAUCAUAUAUGGAGUUGGAAUUUGAAUCUUGGAUUCAAACCAACUUCAUUUAAUCUGUUGCUAGUUGCAUUAGCUCUAAACACAUUCAUAUUGCCAUGUCAUAGCAUGCAUCAUAUUGUGCAUUGCAUUGAUCGUGUUUCUUCUGUGUUUGCCGGUGUUGUUCCCCCUCGGUAGACGAUGUUCCGACGUUGUGAUCGUUGACACUGAUGAAGACUCAAUGUUAUCUUCAGAAGUGCCAGGCAAGCAAAACCCCCUUGUUCAUUCCGAUAAAAUCCCACUCUCUCGCUCCUGCUCUCUUUUACUGCAUUAGGACAACAACGAUUCAUCUGUUACUUGCUGCGGUAGCUGAACCCCUUUAUCCUCUGCAUGACCUGUCAUUCCACAGUAAAUAGAUGAAACCCACUAGCAUGAGUAGGAGUUGUUUGAGCCCUGUUGUGCCUACUCAUUCAUGCUUGUUUGUCAUGCCUGCUACUGCUUAGAGUUGAGUCGGGUCUGAUUCAUCGGGGAUGAAUCAGAGGUGUGUGAUUAUGUCCUACUGUGCGUGAGCUAAGUGUGUGAACACGAUUUGGUAAAGGUAGCGGUGAGAGGCCAUGUAGGAGUACAUGGUGGGUUGUCUCAUUGCAGCCGUCCUCAGGAACUGAGUUCUGUGUUUGUGAUCCAUGAUUCAGCUACUACCACGCAUUGGGCCCGAAACCAAUGGACCCUCUCGGCUUCUUAAUCACCCUUGUCCUCUGUCCAGGAGUUGCAAGUAGUUUCUGGUGUUUGUAGUAUGCUGGAGGCCGUGCGCAGUGCUGACCGUAGGGGUGGGCUGUGAUGCGGUAGGCACGUGGCACGGUGUACCGGGCGCCCGUUUGGUGUCUCGGGAACCCUGUUCACAUCGUUUGGGGCUGUGAGCGAAACUCCGACCGGAUCUCCUCAUGGAUGGAACCCGAAUAGGCGAUAAACCUGGACUAGAGACUUGAGUGUUUAGGUAGGCCGUGGCCGACACCCACGUUGGUCUUCCGCUUGAAGGUUGCCGAGUACAUGUCGUGUAAACGGCGGUAAGUGGUGAGAGCGUGUGUGAAGAAGUACACCCCUGCAGGGUUAACAUCAUCUAUUCGAAUAGCCGUGUCCGCGGAAAAGGACUUCUGGGCUGCUUAUAUCAGUUCAUAGACAAGUGAAAGUGGAUACUCUAAAAUACGCAAGAUAAGCGUGAGUGCUAUGGAUGGCGUUCUCGUAGGGAGACGGGAGCGGAUCCAUAGUGGUGUAUUGAUAUGGUGAAUAUGUGGACUCGUGUGCGCCACCUCAAAAGAGUUACUUGCAGUCGUAGUUUAGGUUAGCCACCGAGUCAAAGCUGGCUUGCUGCAGUUAAACCCCACCAUCCCCUUUGUUGAUAAUGAUGCAUAUGUAGUUAGUUCUGAUGUAAGUCUUGUUGGGUACAUUUGUACUCACGUUUGCCUGUUUUAUGUUUUUGCAGAGAGACUUCGGUCUCGCUAGUAGUUCCACGUGGACUUCGAUGUUUAGCUUGUUACCUCAGCUACGAUCUUGUGCCCUCGGCAGGAUCUGAUAGAUAGUCAGGCUUCUCAGCCUUUUUCAUUUAUAGAUGUCUGUACUCAGACAUGAUAGCUUCCGCUUGUGCUUUGAUUUGUAUGCUCUGAAUGUUGGGUCGUGAGACCCCUGUUUGUAAUAUCUCGCUCCUCGGAGCCUAAUGAAUAAAUUACUUGAGUCGUAGAGUCAUGUUGUGAUGCCAUGUUGUAUUUGCACAUAUCGAGCAUAUUGUGUGUAUGUUAUUGAAAUGCUUGGUAUGUGUGGGAUCUGACCAUCUAGUUGUUUAUCUUUAGUAGCCUCUCUUACCGGGAAAUGUCUCCUAGUGUUUCCACCGAGCCAUGGUAGCUUGCUACUGCUCUGGAACACUUAGGCUGGCCGGCAUGUGUCCUUCUUCGUUCCUGUGUCUGUCCCUUUGGGGAAAUGUCACGUGAUGAAUACCGGAGUCCUGUUAGCCCGCUACAGCCCGGUUCACCGGAGUCCUGCUAGCCUAGUGCUACAGCCUGGAUUCACUCGCUGAUGACCGACACGUUCGAUGCUGGGUCAUGGAUGCCUGUCCCUGUAAGUCUGUGCCACUUUGGGUUUACGACUAGCCAUGUCAGCCCGGGUCGUUUGUCAUAUGGAUGCUAGCGACACUAUCAUAUACGUGAGCCAAAAGGCGCAAACGGUCCCGGGCCAGGUAAGGUGGCACCCGUGGGAAUACCGUGCGUGAGGCCGCAAAGUGAUAUGAUGUGUUACAUGCUAGAUCGGUGUGACUUAGGAUCGGGGUCCUGACAGCGUUGGUAUCAGAGCAUGACUGCCUGUAGGAUUACCAAGCCAAACUGGUCGAAGUUGAGUCUAGAAAUUCUUUAGUUAUAUAAGGGAAUUGAUUGUGGGAUGGAAUGUAAGGCUCUUUUUACUCCUUAUACUUUAUGCCCUUCUGAUCUGAGUCAUCAUCUUCUCUUCUACAGGGAUUAAGAACUAGGCUAUCUCUUCUUUCUAUUAGGAUCACGUGUUACUAAUCAGUAGACUUAUAAGAUUGUUGGAUUUAAGUCUCAGUUCAGUUUAUACUACUUCCGUAUGUUAAUUGUUGAUCUCGGAACCUUGAUAUUGUACUUCUGAGUGGUUAUGCCACCAUUUUGUAGUAUGUCUCAAAUCUUUUCUGAGCAUUUACAGCCGUUAUGCUGUCCGAGUCAUCCCAGGUUUCUAAACAGUCUGAUGCAUUUGCAAAUUCCUUCCUCCCGUUUCGAUGUUCCUUUGGGCCAGAUUAACCACACUAAUCGGUGAGUUGAGGUACUCUGUUGCCUUGACAUAUUUGUUGGAGAUAUUAUUAUGACCCUAGGUGUCUUAGGGGAUCAUCUAGUAAUUUAGCCAUGAUUUGUGUCCCAGUGUGAUGAUUCUGGCCUUUAUCCUCGAAAGCAUCCCAUGAUGCCACUUAGUAGUAGGUAUUCUACUCCUGGGUUUUGAACCCGAGACUCACCCUACUUACCUCAUGUUGAUAGUGUUUGCUAGUUCCUUUAGGAUAUUAGUAACCUUUGCGAUAGUUCUCGAGGUUCGUGGUACAUCCUUCUUCCAAUUACCAUGAACCAUUCUUGGCAGAAGUUCUUCUGAACCAAAAGAUGACAACAAGAGUGCUCUCGAUGAGUUCUCCAUUAUAUAUUGUGACUCUGCCAGUUCUACUUUUCUGCAUGGGUUAUUCGGAAGAAACUUGUUGAACUUGGUUCGACAUACUAAUCUAUGCAUCCACAACUCAGAAAGUUAUAUGUUCCUUUGAGUUGUCCCUCUUUAGCUGUCUACUGACCUUCGUCUAUCAAUUGAUAGUCAAGAGUAUGCGUCCAAUCGUUCAUCGAUACCUAUUACUCUUGUGGUCCAUCAAGCCAUUCUAUUACAGAAUGACUAGGAGAAAUGAACUCCAGUACCUCAUCCAUAUCUAGGAUUGGGUCAAGGUAGUCAUGCUCCGCAAAUCAAAAUGCCAGUCCAGCUUUUGAUUCUAUUCUACCCUGAAGUAUUACCACCUUUAUAUCGGGAUUGUUAUAGGAAUUGCACACCAUCCUAUGAACUCUUGGUACAGUGAUACUUCUUGCCAUCAUUGUUCAUCCCUCGAUUCCUGUGUUAUUGUAACCAGAAUGCCGACAAGUGAAUCGUGGCGUGUGAAAUCAAUACUGCUAGCAACUCUGUUGCUUGGUAGUUAAAUGGACGAUAACCUCAUUCUUAGCGUAUUGAUUAUUGAAUCGUCACCCUAAGACUGAUCGUGCUAUCUAGUUCUUAUUUCGGUGCACCCUUCGAUUGAUGAGUUAGGAUCUUGUCAAGUCCUCACUCAUUUGAUCAUAUCGUCUUGCCCUCAAAAGCGAGAUUGUUCUCGAGCUUAGUAACAUACCGGUGGUUCGUGAUUUUCCGAAUAUCUUCUCGGAAGUAUUACCAGGUUGUCCCCUGACUGCUAUGUUGAGCUCGUGAUCAAGUCGAUUUCUUGUGAACCACCCUUUCUCCAAGAAUCUGUGUUGGAUAUCCCGGAGCUAGUUGGUUAAGCUAGACAACAACUUGGAGAGUUGGAAGAUAAAAGCUUGCCUAACUUAGUUCAUUUUUCCAAAGGGAUAUUCUUGUGUAGUGUGUGUUGAAGAAAGAUGAUAUCUUCAUUGAUUGGUCCCUGUGAUCAGUUGCUGGACCUAUUGUCUUAUCAAUCCUUUGAUUUGAGUGUGGGCUAUCGUCAAAUCAAAUCAGUACCAACGAUGCUCGUAAUGUUGUCUUACUCGUGGUUGAUCCCUCGAGCAUACACCAUUACAUAUUUGGUCUGACCAAUGCUAUCACCGUGUUCACAUGAUGGUCGAAGCCCAGUGAUAUGGAAAUUACGAUGAGUUGCUGUUGAGCCCAUCAGUAGCAUUUUGUCUCCCCCCAUGAAUCAUGUUGAACAUCAACCUAGUGUUGGAAACUUUUGAAAGCAUUUUCUUCAUCCUAGUUCAUGAAGCAUAUUUUCGGAAGUAAGAAGUGACUUCCUCCAGUUCAUGUGCAUUUGAUGCAAGUUGCCGCCGUGGAUUCGAGAAAGUCAAUGUUCUUUCCUUUGGAAUCAUCCCAAAUCAGUCAUUCAUACGUGCGAAGUAUUCUGUGGUUCGGAGACUUGCAACCUCCAUUCUAUAUGUGUCCCUAGCACACCAAGCCACUGAUUGAUUUGUUCAAGGAGAAGGAGUUCCUUCAUAAGAGCUAAUCCGGACUUAUGUAAGGACUUCGAUACCCUCGUUGAUGGUUCCCCCUCCUGUACUCGGUAGUGUUUUAUUGUAAGACUACCACGUGGUCAUGCUUGUCUAGGACAUCGUGUUCACACAUGUGUAGCAGAACCAGCUCAUGUUUUGGAGCUUGCUAUCGUAGUUCAUUUCCCGAGAAUCUCGCAACGUUAUCUCGUCGAAUUGUGUUGCAAACUUUCAUUUAUCUUCCUAGGCUCGAUGAGUCUGGAAUAUCCUGACACCAACCAGAUCUGAAUCUCAGGCAGAUAUGAUGGUUGGAACAUUUUCCAAGAACUAUAAUAUUGGUCCCUCGAUAACCGGUAAGGUGGAUGUCGUGGCCAACACAACCAGCCGGAAGACCCAUUAUUAUAGUAUCUUGAUUGAGGAAGUUGGCCACCUUCCCAUAAGGACUUCGUAGGAUUUACUCCCUAGUUGUGCCUUAUGAUUUUUGUGUUCCGAAGUCCGACCUUUUACUUGAUGUUCUAGAUAUCAAACCAUGGGAUGGGAUACACUAGCACAUCAAGGAGAACAUUAGAGGCGGAGUGCUAAAUGUCUCUCGGUCGAUCAUCCAGAUUUCGUCCCCUUGGCCUUGUUAAGGUGAAAUCUAAGAAGGUGUUAUCUUCCUUUGCAUCUGCAUCCUCCAACACCAUUCAUCAUGGUAGUGAGUUGUGUUACUGGACCCUUGACACGGAUGUUGGUAAAACCUUGAUGAUUGUGGAAAUGCUCAAGUUCUUGAGAGCACGCACAAGCGCUAGGUGUUAUCAUCAGCACUAACUGGGUUUGCUCUCAGUUUCCUCGGUUAUGCUAUAACUUUUCAAACAGUGAAUUCACUCUCUAUUGUUGGGUUCUUCCCCCAGUUAUCAGAAUCAUUCCCAGCAUUUGCAUUCUGUUCCCAGCUUGCACCGCCAAUGUGCCAUUCUACCAUGGGUCUCUUCCAUUUCCGGUGGUAAGCAAAUUCAUCCAUUACGUUGUCUUCAACAAGGUAAUCCACAUCAUCCAAGUCCGAGUAUGCCAUUCUACCGACCCCCUCCAAACGAUCGCUCGAGAAUUGCCUUAGGCUGGUUUAAAGAGAUUCAAUGAUCUCUGAAUCAAAGGUAAUUCUUUUUGCCACUUAAGGGGAUAUAUCUUCGAGUCACCUUCCCUAAGGUGCAUCAUUAUGGUGUCAUGUCAACUUAACUCCUCGCUACGUUGACAACCGUUCACCACCCUCUUAGGUGAGGAAUUGUUGUCUACCUAGUGAACCCUCGUCAUCUGUUCCACUCCAUUCUGCUAGAGGUGUGCUUCGUCUCUCAGCUCGAGAGAUGUUGCUAUGUCUCAUUCCGAGAGUUAAUCCUGAGUUGUUCGACCUUCGAGAAGAACAAUUCUUUUAGGGUCUUUCCUUUCCCCUCGUUGUCAUGAUAGUUGGAGUUCUCAAGGCGAGACUUCGAGACAAUGAUGGUGAAUGAAUCAACAUUCAAUUGAAGUGCAACCUGGAUCCUGAAGAUCGUGCUAGUUUGCGUUUCCCCUUCACCUUACCCUACGCUUGAAUCUCGGGACGAGAUUUUUGUUUAGUGGUGGUGAGUUGUCACAGCCCUAGAAUUUGUUUGUCAUUAGUUGCAUUAAGGCAUUCAUGCAUCAUGUUUAAAGUUCAUGAAACUUGAACUGGGGAUGACAAACUCUAGCACUAAAUAAAAUGCAAUUAGGAUCAAAAUAAAAAUAUUUUCAAUAAACCCAGAAUGCCCUUUAGGAAAGUUCAUUAUUUUUGUUAAAGGUGAAAACCCCUGCCAACAAUGAUGCACAUAUUUCUAGGCCAUUCUGGAUUUUUGAAUUAAAUCCUAUUGUAUUUGACUUUGGGCAUUUAAAUACUAUAAAUAAUUUAAAUGUUCAAAUAAAUGUUGGAAAAUGUUAAGGGUCACUGAAAUAAUUCAGAAAGCACCCAUAAUUGUUUCCAGGAUUUUAUAAAAUGAUUUGAUAUUUUUAAAUCAAAUCAAAACAAACUACAGAAAAUAGAAAAACAGAAUUAAAUAGAAAUAAAAGCAGAGAGGAGAGAAAACUUACCUGGCGCUCGCCUCUCAGCCCACCUGGCCCAGCUCCUCCAGCGGCCCAGCCCACCGCCGCUUCUCCCCCUGUCAUCUUCCUCCCCUCGCCCCGAAGCUGCUCGGUGGCGCGCGCGGCCACGCGCCCCGGCCACCUCCUCCCUCCCAGCCUGCCUGGCUCCUCCUCGAUGCCCCGGUGAUGCCACGCGCCUCCCCGACCCCCCUCUCACUUCUCCCUCGCUCUCUGGACCUCCCUCCCCCUCGCUCCUCUGCUCCCCCCCCCAUGACCGAGAGCCUCCGCCGACAUCGCUCGCAACCACCGUGGCCACCGGCCACCCCUCGCCCUGUCGAUAAGCCCAGAAGAACCGCCGUCGUCUCCUGCAUCGUCUACGCCAGCCCGUUCGACUGCGGGAGCCCUGCAUCGCCGCCCACGCCGUCUCCCCCAUCUCCGGCCGCCCGAGAUCGCCGGCGCCCGCUCGCCACCUCCGAUGUCUCCCCCGAGCCGCUGGGCCUCCAAUCGACCCCCUGUAAGCCCCGCCAUCGUUCACCCCUACCCCCGUUCCCUUUUGCUUGCUCUGGCCGCCGAUUCCAUCAAGGCCGAAAACCACCGCCGCGCGAGCUCGACUCCGGCAAAACCCCGGUGACCAUUUGGUCACGGGCGUGCACCCGUUGUGCUUGCCGCGACCCGUAGAGCCCCUUCAGCGCCUCAGCUCCCUCGCUUGUGAGCAGCAGCGCCGAACCCGACCGCACCCGAACUCCGGCCGCCGCCGAUUUGGUCGCCGCCGUUGAUUCCGACCACCGCAGUUGCUGCCGCCACCACCACUGGAUGCGCGAGUCUUCCAGCUCGCUGUAGCCGCAAACCCCGAGCAAAGCGGUGCCCUGUAGCGCCGUCCCGAGCAACUCCGGCGAGGUCUCGCCGUCGCCGUGGUCGCCGGCGUCACUAGCUGACGUGGCUUUGUCAUUAGGAGCUAAUCCAACUAACUAAACCACCUACAGCCACUGACAGUAGGCCCCACCCCUGGUCAAACCCCAGUCAGCGCUGGGUUUGACCGGGAUUAGCUCCUGUGACACUGACGUGUGGACCCCGCACGUCAGGUUUGACCUAGACCUGGCCGUUGACUCGCUGACGUCAUGCUGGCGUCAGGCUGACGCAGUUAAAUCAUUUACUGGAUUUAUUAUUAUUCAGGAAAUUCCAGAAAAUGCCUAAAACUUCAAUAAAUCAUAGAAAAUUAACCGUAACUCCAAAUUAAAUAAUUUAUAUAUGAAAAAUUAUCAGAAAAAUUCAAGGAAUCCAUCUGUACCAUUUUCAUGCAUGUUUGAACAAUGUUUGUCCUCUGUUUUGGACAAAACAAUUAAAGGGCAUUUAAAUAAUCAUAUAUGGAGUUGGAAUUUGAAUCUUGGAUUCAAACCAACUUCAUUUAAUCUGUUGCUAGUUGCAUUAGCUCUAAACACAUUCAUAUUGCCAUGUCAUAGCAUGCAUCAUAUUGUGCAUUGCAUUGAUCGUGUUUCUUCUGUGUUUGCCGGUGUUGUUCCCCCUCGGUAGACGAUGUUCCGACGUUGUGAUCGUUGACACUGAUGAAGACUCAAUGUUAUCUUCAGAAGUGCCAGGCAAGCAAAACCCCCUUGUUCAUUCCGAUAAAAUCCCACUCUCUCGCUCCUGCUCUCUUUUACUGCAUUAGGACAACAACGAUUCAUCUGUUACUUGCUGCGGUAGCUGAACCCCUUUAUCCUCUGCAUGACCUGUCAUUCCACAGUAAAUAGAUGAAACCCACUAGCAUGAGUAGGAGUUGUUUGAGCCCUGUUGUGCCUACUCAUUCAUGCUUGUUUGCCAUGCCUGCUACUGCUUAGAGUUGAGUCGGGUCUGAUUCAUCGGGGAUGAAUCAGAGGUGUGUGAUUAUGUCCUACUGUGCGUGAGCUAAGUGUGUGAACACGAUUUGGUAAAGGUAGCGGUGAGAGGCCAUGUAGGAGUACAUGGUGGGUUGUCUCAUUGCAGCCGUCCUCAGGAACUGAGUUCUGUGUUUGUGAUCCAUGAUUCAGCUACUACCACGCAUUGGGCCCGAAACCAAUGGACCCUCUCGGCUUCUUAAUCACCCUUGUCCUCUGUCCAGGAGUUGCAAGUAGUUUCUGGUGUUUGUAGUAUGCUGGAGGCCAUGCGCAGCACUGACCGUAGGGGUGGGCUGUGAUGCGGUAGGCACGUGGCACGGUGUACCGGGCGCCCGUUUGGUGUCUCGGGAACCCUGUUCACAUCGUUUGGGGCUGUGAGCGAAACUCCGGCCGGAUCUCCUCAUGGAUGGAACCCGAAUAGGCGAUAAACCUGGACUAGAGACUUGAGUGUUUAGGUAGGCCGUGGCCGACACCCACGUUGGUCUUCCGCUUGAAGGUUGCCGAGUACAUGUCGUGUAAACGGCGGUAAGUGGUGAGAGCGUGUGUGAAGAAGUACACCCCUGCAGGGUUAACAUCAUCUAUUCGAAUAGCCGUGUCCGCGGAAAAGGACUUCUGGGCUGCUUAUAUCAGUUCAUAGACAAGUGAAAGUGGAUACUCUAAAAUACGCAAGAUAAGCGUGAGUGCUAUGGAUGGCGUUCUCGUAGGGAGACGGGAGCGGAUCCAUAGUGGUGUAUUGAUAUGGUGAAUAUGUGGACUCGUGUGCGCCACCUCAAAAGAGUUACUUGCAGUCGUAGUUUAGGUUAGCCACCGAGUCAAAGCUGGCUUGCUGCAGUUAAACCCCACCAUCCCCUUUGUUGAUAAUGAUGCAUAUGUAGUUAGUUCUGAUGUAAGUCUUGCUGGGUACAUUUGUACUCACGUUUGCCUAUUUUAUGUUUUUGCAGAGAGACUUCGGUCUCGCUAGUAGUUCCACGUGGACUUCGAUGUUUAGCUUGUUACCUCAGCUAUGAUCUUGUGCCCUCGGCAGGAUCUGAUAGAUAGUCAGGCUUCUCAGCCUUUUUCAUUUAUAGAUGUCUGUACUCAGACAUGAUAGCUUCCGCUUGUGCUUUGAUUUGUAUGCUCUGAAUGUUGGGUCGUGAGACCCCUGUUUGUAAUAUCUCGCUCCUCGGAGCCUAAUGAAUAAAUUACUUGAGUCGUAGAGUCAUGUUGUGAUGCCAUGUUGUAUUUGCACAUAUCGAGCAUAUUGUGUGUAUGUUAUUGAAAUGCUUGGUAUGUUGGGAUCUGACCAUCUAGUUGUUUAUCUUUAGUAGCCUCUCUUACCGGGAAAUGUCUCCUAGUGUUUCCACCGAGCCAUGGUAGCUUGCUACUGCUCCGGAACACUUAGGAUGGCCGGCAUGUGUCCUUCUUCGUUCCUGUGUCUGUCCCUUCGGGGAAAUGUCACGCGAUGAAUACCGGAGUCCUGUUAGCCCGCUACAGCCCGGUUCACCGGAGUCCUGCUAGCCUAGUGCUACAGCCUGGAUUCACUCGCUGAUGACCGACACGUUCGAUGCUGGGUCAUGGAUGCCUGUCCCUGUAAGUCUGUGCCACUUUGGGUUUACGACUAGCCAUGUCAGCCCGGGUCCUUUGUCAUAUGGAUGCUAGCGACACUAUCAUAUACAUGAGCCAAAAUGCGCAAACGGUCCUGGGCCAGGUAAGGCGGCACCCGUGGGAAUACCGUGCGUGAGGCCGCAAAGUGAUAUGAUGUGUUACAUGCUAGAUCGGUGUGACUUAGGAUCGGGGUCCUGACACAUUGAGAAUGGUUGACAGCAUCCUCAAUCCCAAUUAAAAGUACUCAUUUAAAACCCAACAAUAUUAAUUAGAAGUAACAUGUUGAGAUUCAACAGGAUAAUCCAAGUACUAGAUACUCAAGACGUCCAUAACCGGGGACACGGCUAAUCAUGAUUAGUUUGUACACUCUGCAGAGGUUUGCGCACUUUUCCCCACAAGACUCGAUCGCCUCCGCUUGGUUUCUCGCACUACAUGGUGUUUAAGAAACGGAUGACCGAGACAUAGUCUUUCAGAAGUGCUAGCACCUUACGAUGGGUGGACCGGUACACCUACAUCCCCUACAUCUGCUAGUCCACCACUAUAAGAGUUCGCACGACUUAGUCAACUAUGCCAGAGCCCAUAAUGGCUUGUGGCUGCACACGUAAGUUACUAGUAUGAAUUAUCUUAUGAUCCCUUUGAGCCUGGGUGGCGGUCCGAAGAAAUACAGGCAAGUCCUGCUAGAAAACAGGUGCCUCAAUCCACCCAGAUGUGUAUUUAAGUUGCCACCUUAGAUAAACCACUAAUAACAAUCUCACAUCUGUCAUGGAUAUUCACUCACCCAAUCCACGUCUACAAGCAUAGCAUGGCAUAAUAAGCAAACGUAGAAGUAACUCCCAAAGGUUUCAUAAGUAAUACAGGUAAUAGGUACUACCUCAUCUACUUCCCAUCCCACAAUUUAAUUAGAUCCUAAUCAUGCAAUGUUUGAGGAUUGAUCUAAUGCAUAAAAACUGGGUAGUAGAAAAGAUAUGAUCAAGUGUUACUUGCCUUGUUGAUGAUUCGCGAAACCUAGAGACUCGAAGUAACAAGCGGCGCACUUCGGGUGAUCUAUCGCAGACAAACAACAAGCAUACAAUAAGUACUCAUCUAAUGCAUAGGUAAAUCUCGAAUAAAAGAUCUAACCAGAAAGUUCAACUUAAGAACCCUGGUUGCAAAAAGAAUCGAAUCAAAUAAAGCAACGAAAGUCAAACGAUGAAAGAAAACAACUCGGUUCUAGCAAGUUGAAACUAAGUCAAAUUUUACAGUAGCAAAACUUUAUUUAAGUUGAUUAGUCGGAACGGCGGUUUUGAGAUGAAACUCCAGGCGUUUGAAUCACCUGAUUCCGAUAAACGAGCGAGAAGAUAGACUAGAAAGAAAAUCGGAUCUGAAAUCGCUAUCAGAAAAAUAGCGGAAUAAAUCCGAUGAGAAAGAAAAUGACGAAUGGUUGAACGAACGGACGUUCAUUAACCGAAGCAAACAGGUGAUCACGUUCGUUAGGACGAACGGUCCGGCGAACGCUUGCUAAACAAAACUGGAAAGAAAAACCGGCGAGAAAAACCGAUCUAGGGUUUCGGAAAGAAAACCGAAACGAAAAACCGAUCUAGAAAACCGGAAUGGAAACCGGAACGAUUUACGAAAAACCGAACCGAGGAAAAGAAAAGGUGACGCGGCGCGGGGCUAGUACCUCGAAGAGGCGAGGGGCUCCGGCGGCGGCGGCAUUGGGUGGCGGCGGCGGCACUUGGCGGCGGCGGUGGCAAGCGGCAGNNNNNNNNNNNNNNNNNNNNNNNNNNNNNNNNNNNNNNNNNNNNNNNNNNNNNNNNNNNNNNNNNNNNNNNNNNNNNNNNNNNNNNNNNNNNNNNNNNNNNNNNNNNNNNNNNNNNNNNNNNNNNNNNNNNNNNNNNNNNNNNNNNNNNNNNNNNNNNNNNNNNNNNNNNNNNNNNNNNNNNNNNNNNNNNNNNNNNNNNNNNNNNNNNNNNNNNNNNNNNNNNNNNNNNNNNNNNNNNNNNNNNNNNNNNNNNNNNNNNNNNNNNNNNNNNNNNNNNNNNNNNNNNNNNNNNNNNNNNNNNNNNNNNNNNNNNNNNNNNNNNNNNNNNNNNNNNNNNNNNNNNNNNNNNNNNNNNNNNNNNNNNNNNNNNNNNNNNNNNNNNNNNNNNNNNNNNNNNNNNNNNNNNNNNNNNNNNNNNNNNNNNNNNNNNNNNNNNNNNNNNNNNNNNNNNNNNNNNNNNNNNNNNNNNNNNNNNNNNNNNNNNNNNNNNNNNNNNNNNNNNNNNNNNNNNNNNNNNNNNNNNNNNNNNNNNNNNNNNNNNNNNNNNNNNNNNNNNNNGGCGGCAGCGGCGGUGUAGGGCGGCGGCGCUGGUGAGGGGUGGCGGCGCUGGGUGGCGGCGGCGGCGGUGUAGGGCGGCGGCGCUGCUGCUGCGGAGCAGAGGAGAGGAGAGGUGUUGGUUUGAUGUGUUAGAGGGGGGGUGCUUGGGUAUUUAUAUUGGGGAGGGGAGGGUUUUUGCUUGGAGUAGGGGACAAGAAUUAGAGUAGGAUUAGGAAUCCUAGGAACAAAAAACGGAAUAACGAAACGGGUCCAAAUCCUACUAGGAUUUGUAAAAGAAAAGGAAACCGGGGCGCUGGCUCCCUGGCGCGGCGGCGCUAGCGAUGGCCUUGGCCUCCUGGCCAGCCGGCUGGCUUGGUGGCUUGGGCCUUUGGCCCAAGGCGCUGCGGCUCUCUUUUAAAAAAAAUCGGUUUCGCGCGCAGAAAAAUACAGAAAAAAAAUCUAAACGAACUCUAAAAUUAAUAAAGUAAACUUUCCCCGACUCCUAAAAAUGAGUCGAACAAAAUGAACUUUUACUCGGGGCCUAAAAUGCAAUUUUUGAAAACACGCAUUUUUCCCUAAGGCAAUAAACUCCGAGAAAAAUCCAAAAUUUGAUUUAUUUAUUAAAUCUUCAUUUUUCCUAAAUUUUGGGAAAGUCAUAUUAUUCCCUCUCUUAUUUUUGAUAUUGGAAAAAUAUUUGAAGAUUAAAUAAAUAAAUCCAAUGAUCCUCUUUUCAUAGUUUUGAGAGAACUCAAAUACGAAAAUUUCGAAAUCUCCAACUCUCUCCGAGGGUCCUUGAGUUGCGUGAAAUUUCUAGGAUCAACAAAAUGCAAGAAAAUAUGAUAUGCAUGAUGAUCUAAUGUAUAACAUUCCAAAUUGAAAAUUUGGGAUGUUACAAAAGGAGCGGACGAAGCUCACACGACCACACAAUCGAAUUCGCAGAAAUUGAAAAGUAACUCCUAAAAAUUACACAAAUUGUAGAGUAAAUGGAGCGAUUAAACGAACAAAUCAAAGGAUUCCUACUAACACACAACGUCCGAGCAUGAAAAAGUCGCAUCCGACGCGAAGACGAACGAACAGAGAAAGCUCGUCCGCCAAAUCGCUUGAUUUGCCUAAAUUUUAGUCAAUUUUCCUGUAAAUUACAAAUAAUAAAGGUCAAUUGGCAUCCAAAAACAAAUUAAAUCAUCCCACAACACCCGAUUCCACACAGAAUACACGGGCGGACCACCAAAAAAUGAAGCAGUUCUCUGGUAAAGCAUUGCAGUGCUCACCGACAGUAAGAUGCAGUGCGCUUCCGUUGAGCGUGCAGUUCGGAACUGCUAGCAGAAUAACAGUUCCGCUAAUAUUAGCGGAAUAGACCGGCUAUAUACACACAUAAACACUAUUCUGUUCACGGGAUCAGAAUAAUAUUCUGAUCACAACCUGAACUGCCUGAGUAACGCGCCUGAACUUCCCUCUGUACUGGGUUGAACUUCAGCUAAAAAGUGUCCAAAUGGGGCUUGCGAUAUACCGUUGGAAAGCUAUGGACACCAAUAUCAUGAUCCAAGUUAAAUUUUUGGCAAAAUGUAAGCGGUUUAAGAGCAGUUUUGAAAACCGUUUUUUCUUCAUACAAAAAAGGUGAAUCGUAUUUUCGAUCGCAUUUCUAAACCGUUUAUCGGAAUGAGGUAAAUAAUAUAGCAUUGGAAAGCUGCUGCAAAACUGCUCCUUCGACAUGAUUAAAGUUUUCUCUAAUUCCCUAUAGAUAAAGAGUAAUUUUGAAAAUCGUAAAAUUUCGCAAAUCGAACAGCCGAGUUUGUAUUUUCAAUGUAAUUUCUAAACGGCUAAUCCAUUUGAGGCAAAUGAUAUGGCAUUGGAAACAUUGUGAAAAUGCGCUACUUUUUCAUGUUAAAAGUAUUUUCUAAUUUGGAAUGGUUUAAAAGCAAUUCAGAAAACGGUACAAGUUCCACCGAGUUCGUAUUUUCGAGAUAAUUUUUUAACCGUACGGCCGAAUGCAACAAAUAAUACGGCGUUGGAAAGCUUGAGCAAAUGCAAAACUUUUUCGUAUAUAUUGUUUCUCCUAAUUCCUUACAGUUUUAAGUCAAAUUAGAAAAAUGGCUAAAAACGUAUUUUUGGCAUAAUUUCUACAUACUUUAUCGAAAUAGGGCAAAUAAUAUACCGCUGAAAAGCUACAAAAAUUGUGAAACUUUUUCAUGUUGAUGGUUUUCUCUGAUUCCUAGACGUUUUCAAGUAAUUGUGAAAAUGAUGAGAUCAUUUGUUCUGCCUUUAUCGCGAAACUGAUUCUUCGAAAAUGCAUCGCGUGAAGAACAUGAACUUCUCGGCACGUGUACUUGAACUUCAUUCUGUUUUUCACGUGCUUUUUUGCUCGUAUAUCUCUAUCCACUGCUCUUAGCUCUCCAUCCACUCACCGGAAUUGAGCAAGUGAUAUACCGAUGGAAAGCUGCUGUAAACACGCAAUUUUCCAGUGUUGAUCAUUUUUUCAUACUCGCAACGAUUUUAAAAGUUUUUCAUCUGAAAUUCAUUCAGCGUAGUAGCUGAAUGAGGCAAUUAAUAUGGCUUUGGAAAGCUGCUGCAAAACCGCUCCUUCCACAUAUUGAAAGUUUUCUCUAAUUCCCUACGGUUAAAAAGUAAUUUAGAAAAUCGUAAAAUUUCACAAACCGAACAGCCGAGUUCAUAUUUUUGAUGUUAUUUCUAAAUGGCUAAACCAAUUGAGGCACAUGAUAUGGCGUUGGAAAGCUCACGAAAAUGCGCUACUUUUUCAUGUAGAAACUUUUUUCUAAUUCUGAACGGUUUAAAAGUGAUUUAGAAAACGGUACAAGUUUCACCGAGUUCGUAUUUUCUAUCUAUUUUUUAACCCUAUGUCCGAAUGCAACAAAUGAUAUGGCGUUGGAAAGCUUGAGGAAAUGCGAAACUUUUUGGUAUAUAUUAUUUCUCCCAAUUCCUUACUGUUUUAUGUCAGUUUUCAAAAUGGCUAAAAACGUAUUUUCGCUUUAAUUUCCACAAACUUAAUCGGAAUGGGGCAAAUAAUAUACCGUUGAAAAGCUAAGGAAAUGCGAAACUUUUUCAUGUUAAUGGUUUUCUGUGAUUCCCUGUCGUUUUCAAGUAAUUUGGAAAAUGGUGAGAUCAUUCAUUCUGCCUUUAUCGCGAAACAGAUUCGUGAAAAAUGCAUCGCGUGAAGUACCUGAACUUCUCGGUAUGAAACCUUGAACUUCACUCUUUUUUCACGUGCUUUUUUUUGCUCGUGGCUCUCCAUCCACUGCUCGUAGCUCUCCAUCCACUCACCGGAAUUGAGCAAGUGAUAUAUCGGUGGAAAGCUGCUGUAAACACGCAACUUUCCCGUGUUGAUCUUUUUUCAUACUCGCGAGGAUUUUAAAAGUUUUCCUUUUGAAAUUCAUUCACUGUAGUACUUGAACUUCCUGUUUUUUCCACGUUGAACUUCUGUGACGUAUUUUCUUUUAUAAUUUUCUCAUCCAUUCGCCAGUGCUAGACAAAUGAUAUUUCUUUUAUACAAACCUCUCUCACAAUAAUUUUUUUGACUUUCUUCGACGAAGGACUUGAACUUAUAACAACAAAACUUUUAGCCUUUGUUUUUUUGUUCUUUUUUUUAAUACGAAAUGCACACCGUGUAGUACGUGAACUUCUAGCAGUUAUCAAUCUGAACUUCUCUCGGUUACGUGAAAAUAUCUAAGUUUUUUAUAAAUAUUAAACUGAAUUUCUUAAUCCCUUUUUUAUGAAUUUUGAAGCGCUCUAUUUUUAAAAGUUGAACUUCUUGUUAUUUUAUUUUUGAACUUCUUGUCUCCACUCUUUAAUAACGAGGAAAAUCCGAGUUCUCUAUAAUCAUCGAACUUCUCCAUCUUUUUAAUAUGGACUUCCUAGUUUUUUUCUUAAUCUUUUUUAUGAAAUUUUGAAGCGCUCUAUUUUUAAAAGUUGAACUUCUUGUUAUUUAAUUUUUAAACUUCUAAUUUCCAUUCUUUUAAUAAUGAGGAAAAUCUAAGUUUUCUAUAAUCAUUGAACUUCUCCAUUUUUUUAAAUUGGACUUCCUUGUUUUAUUUCUUUUAGUAACGGAAAAAAUCCUACUUUUUGAUAGACAUCGAGCCGCUCCGUUUCAAACUUUUAACUUCUAGGUUUAUUUUAACAGAGAAAAUAUUUUUUAUAAAAUUGUUUGAGAUGCUUUUUUUUAAUUACCUUCUUUGGGUUUGUAACAAGCAUUGAACCUUGUGUGUAAAUGAAUAUUUGACCGCUUCAUUAUUUUAAUUUGCACUUCUAGGUUCUUCCUAGAAAGAAAGAUAAUCCUUUUUAUAAACUAUUUCUGAACUGCUCUAUUUACUUAAUUUGACCUUCUUGGGGUAUUUAAAAAUGAAAAUAACAUGUUUUUUUGGUCCAAAUAUUGAACGGCUCUUUUAUUUGAUUGACGGGAAAAUAUAUUAGAUUUCUUUUUCAUACAAAUGCACACCGCGUAGUACAUGCAUUUCAGACAAUUAUCAAUCUAAACUUUAUCUCAGUUACGUGAAAAUAUAUGAGUUUCUUCUGUAUGUAGUACACUUGAACUUCGGAAUGUCUAAAACAUGAACUUCUCUAUGUAGUUAUUUUCUGAAAGUUUCUGAAAAUGAAAUCAUCAUGAGUCUUCUCAUACAACGACAUGAUGUUAUAUUAGCGUGAACUUCUCACAAAAAUUAAACGGACACAAAAGAUAACAAAACCAUCGCUGUUUGUACACAAGAAAAACAUAUUUUGACAUGUUUUGGCCAUAUGAUAAGAUGUUUGGCCAUAUGGUAAGAUGUUGGACAUUAGAGUUGGACUGCGGUAGGCGGGUUUGUUGAACGGGCGCACAUGGCCAGAACAGAGAAACCACGGGUUGAGGCAACACACUGGCGGCGAUGGCGGUUGGGCCGCUGACGAGAGGAAGCUCAUGCGGUGGCUGCGACGAGCUUGUGGAGAGAGGUGUGCAUGAGCGUGGGCUCCAUUUUCAGCUGUGCUUCCCUUGUUGUCGCUGCUCACCUAGAGCUUCACUCAGUCAAAGAGCGGAGACCUGAAGUUCAGACCCCAUAAGCCAAUACAGAAACAUUUUUUUGUAGUUAAUUUUUUGGGCAAAUUCAAAGAAGUUCAAAUCCUAAAGAAGAGACAGAGAUUAUUGAAGACAGAGAGAGAUCAGGGAGAGGGAGGGAGAGGAAAUACCUGCAACAUCGGUGUUCGUCGUCGUGGUCAGAGUUCAGUGGGGCACCGGUGCGUGGUGGAGGCAGGUAGCGUCGGGANNNNNNNNNNNNNNNNNNNNNNNNNNNNNNNNNNNNNNNNNNNNNNNNNNNNNNNNNNNNNNNNNNNNNNNNNNNNNNNNNNNNNNNNNNNNNNNNNNNNNNNNNNNNNNNNNNNNNNNNNNNNNNNNNNNNNNNNNNNNNNNNNNNNNNNNNNNNNNNNNNNNNNNNNNNNNNNNNNNNNNNNNNNNNNNNNNNNNNNNNNNNNNNNNNNNNNNNNNNNNNNNNNNNNNNNNNNNNNNNNNNNNNNNNNNNNNNNNNNNNNNNNNNNNNNNNNNNNNNNNNNNNNNNNNNNNNNNNNNNNNNNNNNNNNNNNNNNNNNNNNNNNNNNNNNNNNNNNNNNNNNNNNNNNNNNNNNNNNNNNNNNNNNNNNNNNNNNNNNNNNNNNNNNNNNNNNNNNNNNNNNNNNNNNNNNNNNNNNNNNNNNNNNNNNNNNNNNNNNNNNNNNNNNNNNNNNNNNNNNNNNNNNNNNNNNNNNNNNNNNNNNNNNNNNNNNNNNNNNNNNNNNNNNNNNNNNNNNNNNNNNNNNNNNNNNNNNNNNNNNNNNNNNNNNNNNNNNNNNNNNNNNNNNNNNNNNNNNNNNNNNNNNNNNNNNNNNNNNNNNNNNNNNNNNNNNNNNNNNNNNNNNNNNNNNNNNNNNNNNNNNNNNNNNNNNNNNNNNNNNNNNNNNNNNNNNNNNNNNNNNNNNNNNNNNNNNNNNNNNNNNNNNNNNNNNNNNNNNNNNNNNNNNNNNNNNNNNNNNNNNNNNNNNNNNNNNNNNNNNNNNNNNNNNNNNNNNNNNNNNNNNNNNNNNNNNNNNNNNNNNNNNNNNNNNNNNNNNNNNNNNNNNNNNNNNNNNNNNNNNNNNNNNNNNNNNNNNNNNNNNNNNNNNNNNNAAAACAUUAAAAAAUAUAUAAGUUGUGCCGUGCUGGCCCGCAUGCCCAGCCUCUAGGCCCAGGCACGGCCCUACGCAGCACGUCCCGUGCCAUGCCUGGCCCAUCAUGGCAGGCCGUGCGGGCGUGCUCGUGGCCGGCCCGUUUGGCCCGCCGUGAUCAGGAGAGUAGAACUAUUUUUUCGCAACACGGCACUCAAGCACCAGCAGAAUAAAAUACGAUUGUUCCACGGAUCCAAGGCUUUGAUUACGGGUAAUCUUGGCAGACAGGCAUGCAGAUGCAGGCCACCAUUUAUUCCUCUCGAUAAACAACAGUCCGCAGGACACGCGGCGGGGAGGGACAGAAGAAUCGCCAGCCAGUUCAUCUCCCCAAGGACACGGCAUUUAUUCCUUUCAACUAACCCCAUUUGCUAAUUUUAAAGCACCAAUUCCAAAAACCUUUCACUUCAAUGAUCAGCUACUACUACCUCGAGUCAUUUCACAGUAGCUGAGCCUGAGAGAAUGGCUCAAUUCCGCAGCUCAACCUCGAGUCAUUUCCCAGUAGCUCAGAGAAGAGAAUGGUUCGAUUGCGCAGCUCAUGACCACUGCAAAAAUUACUGAAUCUUCUCCCUUCUCCCCGUAAUUGGCGAAAUGAAAUGAUGCACUAGUAGUAGUACUCCACUAACUGAGUUAAUUAUCACCAUCGUUUGAUUUAUGGUAAUACUGUAGUAGUACUACGCAAAUGGAAUUGGCUUCAAGAUGGCAGGAGGGACAAGUGAGGCAGUGAGCAACAUGGCCUCCACUAACUCUUGUCUGUUGCCUCAACCAACCAACCUACCUUCCUCCCCGGCCCAAAAAUAAACAGCAACGAUGUGCAAGGAGAAAGAGCAAAAUAGAUGUUCCUCCUCCAUGCCAAGAUCUACAGAUUGGUGAUAGCACUUCAUCUAGACACGAAAAUUGCGGAUGGUUCUACUCUCUAGAUCCACCUGAACGCCACAAUGAAAGCUCGUAGUAGAAUUUAAUUUUCUCCCGUCACCAGUCAUUUAACAAUAGCAAAGCAUUCUCUUGAUACAGAUAAGAAAGCAGCUCAAGUUCAUCAUCUUACUCCAAGAACAUGAAGGGAAGAGGGACAUGCAAACUUCAAAGAAUAACAAAUAUCUCUUCAUAUUAAGGCACAAAUAUCUCUUAUACUUUACAACAAGGACGGCAACAAAUGUCCCAAUAGGCCAACACAGCAGCGGCAACAACCAAAGAAAUUUUACUAAUAAAUAGUAGCAGUAGUAGUAUACUAGUGGUACCGCUUAAAGAACAGCACGAGAAGCAGCUUAUUUUUGAACCGAGAGGACGUGAUCCCUGGGCGCGGAUCCGUGGCUUAGCCGCGGCAGCGGGUGAUGCGGGAGCAGCCGCGGUGGUAGGGGUUGGCCUGGGCGCCGGGGCGGCAGUUGUAGUAGCUGGCGCCGCGGCGGUUGCAGGGGACGGUGCCCCUGCGCAGCGCGCCGUAGCUGAUGUAGCCGCGCCCCUGCAGCACGCGGCGGUGCGCCUCGGCCGACGCCGACCCGAGCUCCCCCUCCGCGUCCUCCCCGCCGCACUCGGCCACGGUGCCCCUGCACUCCCCGCGGCCAGCGCCGCCGGAGAGGAGGCCGAGCUGCAGGUGGUCCCCGCCGGCGAUGGACGAGGCGGAGGCGGACAGCGCGACGGCGAGCACCAGGAGGAGCAGCACGAGGCUCCUAACGCUGGCCAUGGCGCGGCGCGGAGCGGGCGGCGGCGAGGGAAUGAAUGCGCGUGGGGGAGGGGAGCGCACAGCGAAGCCUUAGCUGGCGCGGUGUGACGAGAGGAGAGGAGAGGAGGAGGUGGGCGAGAGGGAUAAAGUGAGGCUGGGAAGCGGCGGGGGUGGGACUGGUGAAAUAGAAAGCGGUCCCAACCCCCGAGCCAAAUAAUAAAGACGCGGAGCGGAGCGGAGGAGAAGGGUAGCGCGGCGCGAUGCGGCCGCGUUGCGACUGGAUUCGGCGCGGUGCGGUGCGCAACAACUGGACACAGCUCAUGUGACGAGGAGGAGGAAGCGUGUAGCCAGAGACAAUGGCCAUGUGCAGCCAGGCAAUGGACGAUGAGAUGAACCGCGUGGUCGUAACAGCGGCAUAAUAUGUCAUCGGCGCACAGCUUGCUGCCUGAUUAAGAGCAUGCUUGGAUACGUUUUAGUCCCAUGACUAAAAAUAGUGGGACUAAAACUUGCUAGUCUCAUCCAUGCUUGGAUCCAAAUACUAAAGAAACUAAAAUCUAGUUAUUGAGCAUUUAUUAUCCUCCAAACCCUCCAAUCCAGAACUAAGGAGAGGAAUUAAAUGAGGAGAGAGAGCUAAUACAUAUUUUAGUAGGUUUCCCAUGACUAAAAGAUUUUAGCCUUAAGACUAAUCCUAGCCUCUCUUUAGUCAGGGGUGCUUGAAACUUUAGCCUCUAAAAGAGAUUAUUUUUAAACUAAAAAUAGUCCCUUGUAUCCAAGCACCCUCUAAACCCAACUAUAAUGGGACGAGAGUUGUGGGAACAUGGAGGAUCGUGGGGCGGUGGCAGCUUUUCAGGUGGCCUUCCUCUGGAGUUUGGCCACUGUCCGUUGGCUUGCUAAAUUUGUACUAGUUACCACGAGAUGAUGGUGCCCUUUUAUGAUAUUACUCCAUUAUUGAGCGAAUUUUAAGGGUAGACAGUGUAUUGGAAAGGAGAUGGAUGUUUGUGUUAUGGUAAAAUCUCGUUUAAAAUUGUACUGAUAAUAGCCAUCGCUGCAAAAUCUGGUCCUGUUCGGUGGAUUUACAAAGUUGUACUAUACGUGCAACUCUCGCGUCCCUUCCCUUGCAUAGCACGUAGUAGUUAUCCAGACAUCCAAGCCCUUUGUCACUGACCCUCUUUCCCUUACAAGGGCAGCAACUCUUUGCAAUGCUAGUACGUGGUUUUGGCAUACCAACAAUUCAACAUACGUGCUUACAUUUUCGUCUUAUGUUGAUCUAUAGUUUUCGCUCAACGUGCUAACCUCGACAGCACUCAUGCAUUUCAGAUUGAAUAUGAGGCCGGUCAUCCUUUGGCCAUUCUUUCUUAAUUUCUCAUAGUAUGUUCUUUCUCCUACAAAUUUCUUGUGUUUUUUUUUAGUUUUGGUUGCACAUGGUCAACUUGUCGAUAGAUAAUCAUCUUAGUACUUUUCAGAAGUCAUAUACGAAUUAAAUACUAGAUGAAUUUUUCUUCUUUUUAGAAAAUAAUGGCACUUUCAGGACCUCCUUGGUACAAAGAUAAUUCAUGAGAUUUUUGUAGGAUUCUGUCUUUUAGGAAUUUUUCCUGUGUUUUUUUCUUAUUUUCUCGAAAAGAAGGUUGAAACCGCCAGCCUCUGCAGCCAAUGAUGCAUACAACCAAUUUUACUAAAUUUUGCAUUCAACAGAGUUCGGCAAAACAAAUACAUGGAUAAAUCCAAAGCCACCUUCUUGACGAUCUCUGUCCCUACACCUAUAAGUUUGAUAAUGUACCCUAAUCUUGCGCCAAGGCAUAUCAUCUAAUUCGGUGGCCUCCAUCAAGCCACCCCAUAGCGAGCCGAUAGUACCAACCGGUUUAGCAAACUCUCGAUAUGCACCGCAUGCGCACGAUCUAGAAUCCGUCGCCGUCAUCUUAGGUUGUUCCACUUCAGGAGAGACCAACGACCUUGCUAGACCCAAUUGUCGCCGACACCACCAUGACGUGAGACAACGCAUCAUUCUGUGCGCGUCCAUCAACACAUGUCCACUGUCGAGACUGCUGGGGUUGAGCCCUUGCCCUAGCUCACCUUCACUCCACCUCUCUCUCUCUCUCUCUCUCUCUCUCUCUCUCUCUCUCUCUCCUCUCUCUGGCCACAAACCGAAGUAGAAAGGAGGAAGGAGAAGAAGAAGUGAACACGAUGGUGUUUCCCGGCGCACGAACGCCCGCCGCGGCAACGAUGUUUUUCUUGAGCACAAACUCACCCCACAACCAUUACAAUGAUCCCCACAGGGGUCUUAUACCCCUGGGCCAGCAGUGGGCACGACCCACGCUCCCCACCCAGUCCCAACACCUGAUCCAAAACGCUAUGGACGCGCUCACGACGCGCACGUACCCGCGUGGGUCGCGCCGAGCCCGCAACAGAUCAACCCGAUCGCCCCGUCUAUCUCACCAACAGCUUGGUCCUAGUUUGGUGCGUCGCGCACACACAUGCGCCCGCAUCCUUGCCCUACACACGCAGGCACACACGCACGCUCGCCACAGUGCUCGUUGUCGGUGUCAAAACAGGCGGAUCUCGGGUAGGGGGUCCCGAUCUGUGCGUCUAAAGCUGAUGGUAACAGGAGGCAAGGGACACGAUGUUUUACCCAGGUUCGGGCCCUCUUGAUGGAGGUAAAACCCUACUUCCUGCUUGAUUGAUAUUGAUGAUAUGAGUAUUACAAGAGUUGAUCUACCACGAGAUCGUAGAGGCUAAACCCUAGAAGCUAGCCUAUGAUGAUUAUGAUUCUGUCUCUAAGGACUAAACCCUUCGGUUUAUAUAGAUACCGAAGGGGGCUAGGGUUUACAUGGAGUCGGUUAUAAAGAAGGAAAUAUAAUAUUCGGAUCGCCAAGCUUGUCUUCCACGCAAAGGAGAGUCCCAUCCGGACACGGGACGAAGUCUUGAGUCUUGUAUCUUCACGGUCCAACAGUCCGGCCAAAGUAUAUAGUCCGGCUGUCCGGAUACCCCCUAAUCCAGGACUCCCUCAGUAGCCCCUAAACCAGGCUUCAAUGACGAUGAGUCCCGAGUGCAGUUUGUCUUCGACAUUGCAAGGCGGGUUCCAUCUCAGAAUACUCCAAAGUAAUUAUCGAACACUCAAAUCGUGUCCGGAUUUGCAAGAUGAUCUUCACAUACCACCGUAGGGAGAAUGAUAUUUCACAAAUGUAAUCCGCUGACAACUUUAGACAACGUGACAUGACACCAUGGUCGGGUCAUCAUUCGAACCGUCUUCCCACAACCAGCCACAACACAUAUUGCGAGGCGGUUUCCUCUGCAUGUCUUGCUGAAGCAGAGAUCAUGUCCCCUUAUUACGGGAUUCUCAUCAAUACGGGUAUGGGUAGCCCAACUGCACCGCUAAUUGUGGCGAGUGGGGAACGAGCGGGUUCCACCAGGCAAGUGGGGAGGCGCAAAAGCUUUUACCGCCUCUAUAAAGAGAUAAGGUCUCUUCCUUUUUACCCACGCCUUUUCCUUCCGCUAGUCCAUUCCCCUCUGCUCGAGCCCUAGCGCCCAAGCACUCUUCUUCUCCACCGAAGAGAGGUCCUCCGAAGAUGUCCGGAUCUGGAGCAGGAGGCAAAUGGAUGGCCUCUACCGUCUGGGAGAGGGAUAUCAAAAAGCUUCGAGAGGCCGGGUACUUGGCCAAGAAAAUCGGCCACCGUCUUCCACCAACGGGACAGAUCGUCCCCUCUCCGGAGCCCCACGAGAGGGUCGUGUUUCUUCCUCAUUUCGUCCACGGGCUCGGGUUUACCCUUCACCCAUUUGUUCGCGGCAUCAUGUACUAUUACGGGAUUGAUAUUCAUGAUCUGUCCACCAAUUCUUUCCUUAACAUCUCGACGUUCAUCGUCGUAUGCGAGGAUUUUCUCUGUAUUUCACCCACUUCAGCUUAUGGCUGAAAAUCUUCAACGUAAAGCCCAAGGUGGUGAGCGGCGAGCACGCCGAAUGCGCCGGCGCCAUGGUGAGCAAGAUGCCCAAGGUCGUAUGGCCGACGGGCAGCUUCAAUGAUUCCAUCAAGGAGUGGCAGCAGCAGUGGUUCUAUAUCACCGAACCGCAUGGUAAAAAGUGGGCUGCUGCUCCCGAAUUCAGAUCCGGAGCCCCACUGCGGCUCACGUCCUGGCCCGAGAAGGGCCUGAAUUGGUCCUCAUCCGAUGACCUGUCAGUGCUCCAAACGCGCGUCCAGAGCAUGGGCGACAAGGACGUCAAACUCGUCAACGUAUUCCAGGUGAUGUUAGUUCGCCUGGUUCUCCCUUGCCAGCGUUGAGCCUGUAAUUUGUGGGAAUACGACCCAGUCGAGCACCAGACCCUUCGGGAGCUCUAUGGAUCCUCCCACAAGGACAUCUGGAAGGUGCUUUUCAAGUCCGGCAAACCGUGGCUGGGCUCCGCCGAGGACCGCGGGUAUCAACUAUCCCGCUCUGCAAGUCCGGUAAGUCAUUGCUGUUCUCUGUCCAUCCGUUUUUUAGCCGGCCUAUCCCGAGGGAGGCGCACUUAUCAUGCUUUCUACAAUAAUCCCAGGAAUGGACGAAAAAGGUGGAGCGGAUACACUGCCCGACCCCACUAUCGGAGGAACCGGCCGGACCUCUUCUGACGAAGAUGCUGGUCCCAGCGCCUUACGAGGCGCCGAAGAAAGAGGCCUCCAAGAAGGUCAAGAAGACCCGGAGUGGCCUUCGUCGUCGUGAUGUUUCGGAUGCAAAAUCCGAGGACUCUAGCGACCAUCCUUCCUCCGAAGAUGAAGAGGAGGAGGAAGAAGACGAGUCCCCCGCAGGGGGAGGGAAGAAAAGGACGGCCUCCUCAUCCCUAGAGGCCGAAUCGCCAAAGAGGGGGAAAAGUUCCCUCCCCGAGGCAUCCACCACGGCUGCCGAUAGCAGCCCGGAGUGGGAUCCCAGGGCCUAGCCCCUGGUAAAGUUGUGAGUAUACAAAACCCGCACACACCUACAUGCCCGGGGUCAUUAGGAUGUAGUAGUUUAACUGUCGCCAUACUUUGUGCAGCCCGGCGAGGUCCCACGUUGGACAGUCCUCAUCGGAGGAUUUGCUGAGCUCAGAUGCCCUGGAGAGCGAGACGCCUCCAGAGGCCCCUUCCCCGAAGCCUCGGCGCGACACCGAGGUGUCGUCUCAGCAGGAUACGGACCAGGGAGGGCAUAUCUCUGGGGCCGGAUACAUGGGAGUAGAGGCUCCCAUGCGUGUCGAUAGCAGGGGCGAUCUUAGGUUCGGACCGCAGCCGGACACGGUCCUGGAGACUUUUAAAGCUCCAGGAUCGGGCGAGCAGCCACCUUUGACGGAGGGAGGCUUGCCCACUCCGCCAGCAACCUCUGUUCCAGCAGAGUUGCCGGGCGGCCUAUCGACAGCGCUAAGGAGCGCGUCCAUCGUUGAUGAACAUCAUGCCCUAAUGGGUGCGAUAAUUGAAAAGAUUAAGUCCGCUGAGAGCAGACUGGAUGAAUCCUGCCUUAGCCUUAUGAAAGGCUUUGAGGUAUGUUUUUUAGAAACCUUUGGGAGAUUGUCAUAGUAUGAGUAGUAGCCCCUGAUGCACUGUCCGGCGAAAAAGAGAAAAAGCCGGACAGGGGAUCAAUUUUUCCGCUUUGCAGGAGACUCAAUUACUGACGUGUAUCCCUUUGUUUGAAAACAUGCGUCUGCAGAGAUGACCGCCGCUCAUAAUGCGGAGGUGUCCGGACUAAAGCAUCGUCUGGAACGGGCCAAAGAGGAACUUGGCCGCGUGAAGAAGCAGUUGGAGGACAAGCAAGGUAUGUCGAAACCUUGUGCUAAGUUGGGCAAGAAUUAAAAGGUGUGCCUGAUGAAAAUAUUCGUAUUGUAUGCUCUAGGAGCGAGUGCCGAAAUUGAGGCACCGAAGAAGGCUGUGGCCGAAACCGACAGUAAGGCCGCCGCCGAACAGGCUCUUCGUGAGAAGCAUGAGGCCAGGGUCAUUGAAGCUGAGCGAGAGCUCCAGGAGGCCGUGAAGAAAAGCGAGGCCUUGGAGAAAAGUCUAGCAGGGAGAGAAUCCAAACUCGCCCAAGCUGUCCAAGCCGCAGAGGAUGCUCGGGAAGAAGCCCGAGGUGCUCUAAAGGACAUUCAGGAGGCCCGGAAGGUUGCGGCUGGUAAGGCCUUUUGUACUCAAGGCCAUUAUUGCAUAGUAAUGGGAGGAACUCUAAGAGACAAGCUGAAUUCUUGUUUCUCCAGGGGCGUUUGUGGAUCUGCCACGCAGCAUAUCAGAUGCUGCCCAAUUCUACCGAACUGAGGAGAGGAAGUCUGCGGAGAAGCAUUUUUGGUCGCAGUAUUUGGCGUCGAAUUAUCUGGUGCCCUUUAUCGAUCAGCUGAAGCAGCUGGUCGAACUGCACCAGGCAGUCGAACUAGCCAUGAAGGACUUGGUUGUCCGGCUGUGGCCCGUGGAGCCAAUUCCAAGCAGUUACUUCGGACUCGUGAAGCGGAUUGUUGGUGCUUGCCCUCAACUCGAUGUCAUUAAGCAAUCUGUUUGCAUACAGGGUGCGCGCAUGGCGUUUGCCCGUGCGAAGGUGCAUUGGGGGAAGCUUGAUGCUGAGAAGCUGAUGUCUGAGGGACCACCGGAGGGUAAGGAGCAUCACAAGCCCGAGUUAUACUAUGAAGGUGUCCUGAAAGGAGCCCGCCUUGUGGCGGAUCAGUGUACCAAAGACACUAUAUUUCCCAGAAGGCAGUUAUGUCGUCCUUUGUAAUGCGGGAUAAUGGCACUAUUUAUUAUUUAUUGCCUGUUUAUGUGAACAUUUGUUCUUCCUGUGCGGCUGUUUAGUGUAUAUAAAUCCUGAGAGUUGGCCAGUCGUCGGCUUCUGCCCCCUCGAAAAAAGUACGGGGGUGUUCGGGACAUAUCUAAACACUCUUUAUCCCAUUGUUGGGUCCUUUUAAGGAGGUGUUCCUCACCACGAACCAGGCAAUCAGACUAUAGGUCUUUAUGCCUUUAUCACUCUCACUUAGCCAUAGGAAUUCGAGUAUGGUGGGCGCAGCCCCUGGUGUUCGGAAGACCGUACUAGGGGCUCUAUCGGUGCCUGAUCGGAAGACCAAUCCGUCGCACUUUGCAUUUAUAAUGGCAUUAUGCGGAAUACAUCUUUAAAGAUUUUACAACCUCUCGAACAGCUGACCAGCUCUCGCUGUAUCAUGACAGUCAGUUUUCGGCUUUCUCUACUGAGGUGCUCGUCCGGAAGAACCGGGACACAAUCGCAGUAGUUCUCCCAGCGCUACCUUAGACGAUAAAGCGGAACAUAAGGUACCAAAACAUGGGAGCCGGGAAAACCCAACCAAUGACCCAAGACAUGAUUCGGAGCUAAUGCAUAUAGUGCUAUAAGUUCGGGGUGCCGAGCGACCGAGAAGGUGGCUGGACUUUGUUGCCAUAUUAUUAGUACUAUGAAGCCCCUGGCAUAGUGGGGCAUAAUACAAUGCAUGGGUGUCGUUUAAGACAAAAAAGGCAUCAAUGAGGAACGACGGCCGGUAAGUGUUAUUUAAGUCUACGCAUUGUAGUAGGGUGACAUGUCUAUGCAUAUGAGUACGGUUUAUGCUUAUGAAAAGAGUUGUUUUGGCGGAACCUGUCGUGGCCGGACUGGAGGAGGCUGUGUGUGGAUCCGAAGUGUAUCCGGACUGUCUCCUUGGGGGGGGGGGUUUACUUAUGUGUUCCCGCCUUGUGCGUCCGAGCUGAUUCCACGUUGCCAGUCCUGUUUUGUGCCAAAGUCAGUCUGUAAAGACAAAUGCUUAAAGGCAGUUGUAUGCCAUGCUGUGGUUGAACCGCGGGUGCCUGAUCGGAGCGUGGCUGAACCAGGCUAUCAUGCCAUAAAGUAACUCGGACUCCUAAGUUGGUGUCCAGGUAGUUGGCUGCCGAAUCAAAAUUUGAUAAACGGGCAUGACUCUCUAUUCCAGCAGCUAUAUGAUCUCCACUCUGAGGGUGGGGUUCGGCCUUGCCCAUAAUUGUGACUAUGUCACGUGGGACUGGCCUAGAGUUGUACCCCGUUGAAUCUAGCCAACGUGGUUCAUCCCGAUAGUAUGUGGUAGUUACUGUAUAAGUGGACAAUGCCGAAGAUCUAGUCUUCGGCGUGGUAUUUGUUUGGUGGUCCGAAGACAAUCACUAGUGUGGUGGGCCUCUAGAACUUGGCCUUUGCACCUGGCAUCUUUUAGAAGAUGUUAUUGGUAGUUUUAUGCCCGUGGGGGCUCGUGUGAGAUGGAGCCCACAAACUAUCGGGUCAAUAGUGAGUGCAAUUAAAUUGCUAUGGUUGAUGCUGUCCGGACGGUCGAUGUGAUCGAAGAAGAUAAGUCGUAUUUUCGUACUGUGGAGGAUCUUCUUUUGACUUUGCCAUGUUUGAUUGGUCUUUCGUUGUUUGAAACCUCCUUUCAUUGUUUCCGGUACGUGACCUGCCAUUUUGUUUUGAGGAUCCGGCAUUCUCUCUUGGUAUGCUUGGCCGCCCUUCUAGGGGUACCAUGAAUUUCACAUGGUUGAUCGAGUAUGCUGCUCGGGCCGGAUGGGCUUGAGCUGCUCUUUUUCCGCUGAGCGGACUAGGGGCCGCUGAAUUCGGUAUCAAUUUCCUUGACCUAACGCUUAUGAUGAUUGCGUCGAGGUUUGUGGAUGCUGCCUUGCGUUUCCUGCGUAUUGUUCCGGACCGUGGUAUAUUGAUGUCGGGGUGUGGGCUUUAGGUUCUCCUUCUUAGGCUGAAGUAGCGACUUGUGCCGUGUGUGCCCUUUGGCGGGGCGGUCGAAUUCGUAUUCCUCGGUUGCCAGGACCUUAGUCCAUCUGUCUGUGAGCAAGUCUUGAUCGGCUUUGAGCUGAUGUUGCUUCUUUUGUAGGCUUUUCGCUGCGGCCAUAAGCCAUCGCUUAAAGAGAAUCUGUCCCACGAGAUCCCCAGGCACGCUGAAUUCAUCGUCGACGAGGCUCACCUCGUCUUCGGAGGGGGCAUGUAGUUGUCCCUCUCAAAGUAUCCAUCUUUCGCCUGUCCGGCCUGCUCGAAGGCAGGCUGAUCGGGAUUGUAUUCAUCUUCGGCGCCAUCCAGAUUGUUUUCGUCUCCUCUGCCGGUAUUGCUGUGGCAGGGCUUGGAGCGGCGCCGAUGACACCCAUGCUUUGCUUUCUUCCUUGAGGUGUUAUCCUCUAUUGCCUCAUCGCCAUUGGUUUCUUUCGAAGUGUCCACCAUAUAUAUAUAUCAUAUGAGGAGGUGGCUAUCCACCGCCCCAUGGCGGUGGUUCUAGUUCUUCUCCUACAUCGUCGUCCAUUCCGUCGAUGUCUUCAGAGUCGAAGUCAAGCACCUCGGUUAAAUCAUCGACCAUGGCCAUGAAGUGGGUGGUGGGUGGGCAACGAAUUUCUUCGUCGCCUGCUUCCCACUCGAGCCGGACAUAGUUCGGCCAAGAGUCUCCUGACAAAGAGAGAGACUUUAACGAGUUCAGCAUGUCGCCAAAGGGCGAGUGCUGGAAGAUAUCUGCCGUGGUGAACUCCAUUAUCGGAGCCCAACCAGAUUCGGCGGGCUCGGGAGUGCGCGGACUGGAACCUACACCCAGAUACGAGUCCAGGGGUCCAGUGUCACAGGCUUCCUUGAGGGUGAAACCUGUGUUCGGCUCUACCGCCGAUGAGUGUGCGGCCUCCGGGGUGGGAUCCAUCCACCCGUCCUCAGGCGACGCAAUCUACUCCAGAUUUAGGUCUGGGGCUGCUGCAGGGGCGAUAUCCUGAGCACUGUCCAACAGCAGGUCUAAGCCGUGCUCAUCGUGACUGUCCGGCGCACCUGGCGCAGGCCCGAAUCCGCUGAAGAUCAAGUCUUCGCGGAUAUCGGUCGUGUAGUUCAAGUUUCCGAACCUGACCUAAUGGCCAGGGGCGUAGCUGUCGAUCUGCUCCAGAUGGCCAAGCGAAUUGGCCCGUAGUGCGAAGUCGCCGAACACGAAGAUCUGUCCGGGGAGAAAAGUCUCACCCUGGACCAUGUUGUUGUUGACGAUUGAAGGAGCCAUCAAGCCCUGUAGUGACGACAUAGAGGAACUCUCAGUGAAAGCACCAAUGUCGGUGUCAAAACUAGCGGAUCUCGGGUAGGGGGUCCCGAUCUGUGCGUCUAAGGCUGAUGGUAACAGGAGGCAAGGGACACAAUGUUUUACCCAGGUUUGGGCCCUCUUUAUGGAGGUAAAACCCUACUUCCUGCUUGAUUGAUAUUGAUGAUAUGAGUAUUACAAGAGUUGAUCUACCACGAGAUUGUAGAGGCUAAACCCUAGAAGCUAGCCUAUGAUGAUUAUGAUUCUGUCUCUAAGGACUAAACCCUCCGGUUUAUAUAGAUACCGGAGGGGGCUAGGGUUUACAUGGAGUCGGUUACAAAGAAGGAAAUAUAAUAUCUGGAUCGCCAAGCUUGUCUUCCACGCAAAGGAGAGUCCCAUCCGGACACGGGACGAAGUCUUGAGUCUUGUAUCUUCACGGUCCAACAGUCCGGCCAAAGUAUAUAGUCCGACUGUCCGGAUACCCCCUAAUCCAGGACUCCCUCACUCGUCGCGUCCAGCGCGCGCGCACACACACUAGCGUCGUGGCCACCGUGUCUUAUUUCCCAUCAAUCACCCCCUAAGCCACGACCUAGAGGAGUGUUGGUCCCAUGACGUCAACGUCAGCGAGAAGAGCCUGCUGUGCCACCUCUGCCUUCCGCGGUUUCGUGCACUCGCGCCGGAAGUACAUGUGCUGGCCGCAAUUGUAGCAGCGACCGCGCCGCUUCCCUCUGUCGCCUGACGUCGUGCUACCACCACCAUCGUCCUCGUGGUCGAAGCAGCCACCUCCCUGACACCGUCGCGCCGCCCACUGUGCUGCAGUGAACAUGAGUUGGUCGUCGCCACCUCCGUCACAGUCCUAGCUAUGAUGUCCAUCCGCUCCUCGAACAUCUUCAGUAGUUCAAGUGCCUCCUUGAACGACAUGGUCUCCACAUCCGAAAACUACUCUAUGCCCGCCACCGCAGCGUACAAGCAGUUCGACACCGUGUCCAGCAGCUUCUUGAGCAUUGUCAGAUCAUCCCCAGCCCCGCGUAGUGCGCUGCCAUGCCUCUGCUGUUGGGAAACAUAGCAUGCAAUUUCAAAAAAAAUCCUAAGCUCACGCAAGAUCUAUUUAGGAGAUGCAUAUCAACAAGAGGGGAGAGUGUGUCCACGUACCCUCUUAGACCGAAAGUGGAAGCGUUUGACAAUGAUGUUGAUGUAGUCAAACUUCUUCUCGUUUCGACAACCAAUCAAGCACCAAACGUACGGCACCUCCAAGUUUUGCACAUGUUUAGCUCGAUGACAUCCCUCGAACUCUUGAUCCAGCAAAGUGUCAAGGGAGAGUUUUGUCAGCAUGACGGUGUGGUGACGGUGAUGGUGAAGUGAUCCGCGUAGGGCUUCACCUAAGCAGGACGAAGAUAUGACCGGAGGUGUAAUUGGUGGAGGGAUGCCCCGCACACGGCUAACAUAUGUUGUUGUGUAUUCUAGGCGCCUUCCCCCUCAUAUAUAUAGGUGGGAGGGAGAGGGAGCAGCCAAGGGGGUGACCAAGUAGGAGGAAUCCUACUUGGGGCCCUUGUCCUAUUCGCCCCCCCCCCUACCAUAAUUUCCGGAGGGGGAAGGUAGGAGGAAGGAGGAGGGAAGGAAGGGGGAGGCCGGAUCCCUCCCCUUCCUUUCUCUCUUCCCCUCUUUCCUUCCCCUCCAGAUUCGGGUAUAUGGGGGCGCAGCAGCCCAUGCUUGCUGCUGCAUUUCCCCUUUUGGCCCAUUAGGCCCAUAUCUUUGCCGGGGGUGUCUAGAACCCCUUUCGGUGACCCGAUACGUACCCGGUACCCCUGGAACACUUCUGGUGUCUGAAUACUAUUGUCCUAUAUAUCAAUCUUUACCUCUCGACCAUUUUGAGACUCCUCAUCAUGUCUAUGAUCUUAUCCGGUACUCCGAACAACAUUCGGUCACCAAAUCACAUAACUCAUAUAAUACAAAAUCGUCAUCGAACGUUAAGUGUGCGGACCCUACGGGUUCGAGAACUUGAAGACAUGACCGAGACACCUGUUCGGUCAAUAACCAACAACGGAACCUGGAUGCUCAUAUUGGUUCCCACAUAUUCUACGAAGAUCUUUAUCGGUCGUACCGUAAUGACAACAUACGUUAUUCCCCUUGUCAUCGGUAUGUUACUUGCCCAAGAUUCGAUCGUCGGUAUCUUCAUACCUAGUUCAAUCUCGUUACCGGCAAGUCACUUUACUCGUUCCAUAAUACAUCAUCCUACAACUAACUCAUUAGUCACAUUGCUUGCAAUGCUUCUUAUGAUGUGUAUUACCGAGAGGGCCCAGAGAUACCUCUCUGAUACUCGGAGUGACAAAUCCUAAUCUCGAUCUAUGCCAACCCAACAAACACCUUCGGAGAUAAGCAUCUUUAUAAUCACCCAGUUAUGUAGUGACGUUUGAUAGCACACAAGGCAUUCCUCCGGUAUCCGGGAGUUGCAUAAUCUCAUAGUCGAAGGAAUAUGUAUAUGACAUGAAGAAAGCAAUAGAAAUAAAACUGAAUGAUCAGUAUGCUAAACUAACGGAUGGGUCUUGUCCAUCACAUCAUUCUCCUAUUGGUGUGAUCCCGUUCAUCAAAUGACAACACAUGUCUAUGGUUAGGAAACUUAACCAUCUUUGAUUAACGAGCUAGUCUAGUAGAGGCUUACUAGGGACACGAUGUUUUGUCUAUGUAUCCACACAUGUAUGAAGUUUCCAGUUAAUACAAAUCUGGCAUGAAUAAUAAACAUUUAUAAUGAUAUAAGGAAAUAUUAAAUAACAACUUUAUUAUUGCCUCUAGGGCAUAUUUCCUUCAGUCUCCCUGUCGGUGUCAAAACCGGCGGAUCUUGGGUAGGGGGUCCCGGACUAUGCGUCUAGGCGGAUGGUAACAGGAGACAAGGGACACGAUGUUUUUACCCAGGUUCGGGCCCUCUCGAUGGAGGUAAAACCCUACUCCUGCUUGAUUAAUAUUGAUGAUAUCGGUAGUACAAGAGUAGAUCUACCACGAGAUCAAGGAGGCUAAACCCUAGAAGCUAGCCUAUGGUAUGAUUGUUGUGUGUCCUACGGACUAAAACCCUCCAGUUUAUAUAGACACCGGAGAGGGCUAGGGUUACACAGAGUCGGUUACAAUGUUAGGAGAUCUACAUAUCCGUAUCGCCAAGCUUGCCUUCCACGCCAAGGGAAGUCCCAUCCGGACACGGGACGAAGUCUUCAAUCUUGUAUCUUCAUAAUCUUGGAGUCCGGCCAAUGAUGAUAGUUCGGCUAUCCGGACACCCCCUAGUCCAGGACUCCCUCAGUAGCCCCUGAACCAGGCUUCAAUGCCGACGAGUCCGGCGCGCAUGUUGUCUUCGGCAUUGCAAGGCGGGUUCCUCCUCCGAAUAAUUCAUAGAAGAUUUUGAACACCAGGAUGGUGUCCGGCUCUGCAAAAUAAAUUCCACAUUCCACUGUAGAGAGAAUAAUAUUUACACAAGUUCAAUCUGCUGACGCAUCUCGUGGCAUGACGUCACACCACGGACAAGCCUUUAUUCGAAUUAUUUUAACUGUUCCACCUCAGCGCGUUUAGCAAAGCGGUUUCCUUGGCACGUCUUGUCAAAGCAGAGAUCGUGUCCCCUUAUUCCGGGAUUCUCAUCAAUACGGGCGUGGGUAACCCAACCGCGCCCGUUGGCAUGCCCCCUCCAUCGAAGGCGAGUCCCAAACGGUCACGGGGACGGCUCUUGGUAUUCAACCCCUUUAUAAUGAGACCAAGGUAUGUUCCUUUUCUUCAACCUUCAAUCGAAUCCGCCCCUCGCCUCGAGUUCCAACACCCAAGGUUCCAGAUUCGGGCGCUUCGGACCUUCGACAAUGUCCGGCUCCGACCUACAAGGCCGGUGGAUGCCUUCUUCCGUCACGGAAGAAGACGUGCUAAAGCUGAGAGACGCCAAGUAUCUAAUCAGCGAAAUUUCGCAUAGGCUACCUGCCCAAGGGCAAGUCAUUCCAACUCCCGAGCUUGGUGAGAGCAUGGUGUUCGUGUCUCACUUCCGUCAAGGUUUAGGCUUCCUGGACCCCUUUGUGAGGGGGCUCAUGUUUUACUAUGGGUUGGAAUUCCAUGACUUGGAUCCGGAGUCCAUCCUCCACAUCUCAUCGUUCAUUGUCGUAUGCGAAGCCUUCCUCCGCACUACCCCUCACUUCGGAUUGUGGCUCAAGACCUUCAACGUGGAGCCGAAGAUGAUCGAGGGGCGGCAGGCAGAGUGCGGAGGGGCAGUUAUAAGCAAGAGGGCUGACGCUCCAUGGCCCGAGGGCUCUUUCCAAAAGGAGCUUGGUUUGUGGCAACGGGAGUGGUUCUAUAUCACCGCUGCCAGGGGCACCAGAUGGGUGGCGCCGCCUGCCUUUUGCUCGGGCCCUCCACUACGGCUGGCGUCAUGGGUCAACAAAGGGCUUGACUGGGGGCUGUCUGAGGACGUACCACUGUUGCAGGGCCGUAUUUGAGACCUCCAAGAGAGGAGAUCAAUCUGGUUGUAGUGGCGCAGGUCAUGCUUAUUCGGCGCCUUCUGCCCUGCAAACGUCGCCCCCUCCACAUGUGGGAAUUCAAUCCGGAGGGACCACGAGCUCUCCAGCACUUCAUGGGUGCGACGCCCGUGGAGAUGUAUAAACUGUUCUUGGAUCACAAGAGAUGUGUCCGGACUUGACCGAGGACGCAAGUCUGAGCUGCAAUCGCCCGGAUACUCAAGUAAGCAGCCCUGUACCCGGACAUGCUAUCCGUACAUUUAUCGUAAACUUGCCCUUUAAAGAGCUGUCCAUUGAACAGGAAUGGAUAGCAAAAGCAAAACUGAUAAGGUGUCCGGCCCCCUCCCUGAGACCACGCCGGAUCCCGUGUUAACCAAGAUGCUGGAGGUUGCACCUUUGGAAGAGGGCAAAGGGGGGAACAGGAAAGCUACUGCCUCCGCUAAGGAGGCCUUUAAGGAAGGGGGAUCGAGAAUCCCUCCCUCCAAGGGGAGAAGAGGACCGCUUCUAAAGAUCCAGAGGCCAAGGCCUCGAAGCGGGGGAAGAAAUCUUCACCAGAGGGUCCUACGCCAGAAGAAGCCCUGGCCGCACUAUUUCCCCAAGGGAAUCAGCCCUCCAGCGAGUCAUAAGUAGAAAGGGGAGUUUUGUAAUAAGGGACAUCCCUGUUUUUGUUUCUGAAGAUAACCAAAGUUUUACCUUGUAGUUCGGAUCUCAGCCCUUCUCAGCAGAGCUCAUCUUCGGGGGAUCUUCGUCCGGAGAUGAUGGAGAGCGAAACGCCUCCAUCUGCCGCACCGUCAGGCGGGGCGGACGACCCUGAGGUGUCGUCGCGGAGGGUUUCCCCGAGUCCAGCGGGGCCGGGAGGUCCGGCACCAACUGGUGUACGGUCGGAGGAGCUGAAGGAUCUGCUCGGGUGAGCAUCUAUCUCAGAAGAUCACCAUGCAUUAAUGGGUGCGGUGAUUGAAAGGAUUUCAUCCGCUGAGAGCAGAUUGCAUGAAGCCGUCAGAAGUUUACUGACGGGGUUUGAGGUAGGCAAGAAUGAUGUACCUUCUGACAGUUUUGCAUAUAGAAUGCGCCCUGUAUAGAUAGUAGCCCCUGAGACUCGGUACAUUUUCAAAAGUGACGGCGUGCCAAGGAUCAUAAUCUCAGUUAUAAGAUGUCGCCUUUCCUAUUCAGGGGGCGGAGCGUUCAGUGGCCAGCCGGACUGAUAGAGUUGCUGAACUGAAGCGGCAACUGGACGUUGCGGAUGCGGACAUCGCGCUGGUCAAUAAGCGACUUGACGAGUCACAAGGUAUGUGGCUUCUCCGCGAACACCUGGUAAGGGAGCUUGACGCCCGUGCCUUACUACAUGUAUGCUUAAUGCAGAUGGUGCCGCUGCUAUGGAGGACCUUCGGGCGGAGCUUGCCCGAGCCAAGGAGCAAGCCAGAAAAAGCGAUGCGGCUGCCUUGAAGGCGGUCGAAGAGCUAAAAGCCGAACAGGCUGCUCACUGCCGAAGCAGGGAGGAAAUGGCCGGAAUGGCCGUGAAGCUGAAGGAUGCUACCGACCGCUGUGAGUUUCUUGAAAGAGAACGCCGAGCAGAGCAAGAGGGCCAGAAAAAGGCCACCGCCGAAGCCAAGGAUGCCCGCUCCGCCAUGAGAGCUAUAAAAGAGGAGCUCCGUCAGGCUGGGGAUAUUGCGGCUGGAAAGCCCUUUCAGUUGCGUAGGAAGUUCACGAAUCCGAAGUAUGCUUAGUUGGGCCAGUUGUGGGGUGCGGAGGAUGCUUAUGUAAAUUUGGUAGCGAGUGCCGCAGACGCGGUCGCACACUUCCGAGGCCAGAAGGAUCACGGAAUGGAAGAGCUUUUUUGGUCGCAAUUCCAUAGUCCAGAGCGUCCACUUCCAUUAACCGAUCGAUUAGCCGAGUGGGCUGAGCAGAAUAGGUUGUCCGGACUUGCCAUGAAGGAUCUCAUGGCUCAUCUGUGGCCGGAAAGGCCCGAGCCGAAGAGUUAUUUUGGCUUGGUGUAGCAGUUCCUUGAUGCGGUGCCGCAUAUCAAGGCGAUGAAGCGGUCGACAUGCAUAGAGGGUGCACGGAUGGCUCUCGCCCGUGUCAAAACAUACUGGGCAGAGAUGGAGGCCACUGACGUUGCUUCCUAGGAUUCGGACAUGAGCCGAUUGCCAGCCGUGCACUAUUUUGGGGAAGUCCUACAGGGCGCUCGUUUAAUAGAGACGCAGUGCUCGAAAAAUGUUAUGUUCAGAUGACAUGUUAUGAUUUGUAAAACCAUUCUUCAAAUAUAAUAUAAGGGCUUUUUAUACUUGCGCAUUCAAGUGUUGAAAUUCCUCCUGUGCGGCCGUUAACGUAUAUGUGUAUAUAACCUGAAAGAUGGCAGUCUUCGGCUUCAGCCCCCACGCACAUAGUGCGGGUGUGUUUGCAAAAAAUAGCGCAUUUUCACACUUAAUCCAACGUCUUGGUCCUGUGAAGGAGGUGAUAGCAUAGCAAACUAGGCAACCGGACUAUAAUGCUUUAUCACUUUCACUUAGCCAUAGGAGUUCAAUGGUGGGGCUACUAUAUAGCCCCUAGGGGCACUGCGCUCUCCGAGCUUCGGGGCGCGUAUGUGCCUGACCGGGAAACGGUCCUUCGUUAAAGCGGAGGAAUUCUAAACAUUCUGGUGGUCGAUCGAGUGGUUGACCAGUCUCUCGCUAUAUCAUGACAGUCAGUUUUCGGCUUUCUCUACUGAGGUGCUCACCUGGACGAAUCGGGGCACAAUCGCAGUAGUUCUCCUGGUGCUGCGUUAGCCGAUAGAGCGGAACGUAAGGCAGCAAAACACAGGAGCCGGGCAAACCCAACAUUUGACCAAAGACAUGAUUCAGAGCUGAUGCAUAUAAGGCCUAACUCGAGACGCCGAACACUCCCUAAGGUAUUCGGUCUUUACGAAAACGGGCAGAACAAUGCCCUAAGCCCUUGGUGUCCAGGUACGUGCAAAAUUUCUGACGCGGCAGAUGCCAAAACGCCAGCCUCCUCCUCGGUUAUAGUGAGGAACCGGGGGAUGUGUAUCAACAAGAGACAGUAAGAAAGGUUUAUGUAGGGUCUUAAUCUGAAAAGAAUCCUUGUAACGGGUCCCUACUGCACGUCUGCGCCUGUGUCUCCGUUGUGAUGUAUCCUGGACGGGCGUAGCACAAUGUUCAUCUGUAAAAGAGAAUAACUUAGUUUGAAAAAGGGAUCGUGCGAAAAAUGUAUAAACAGAGUAUAAUUCAAAAAAUGAAUAAAAUUGAGCUUUAUUGUCUCUUAUUGUACAUGCAUGCAGCCCCUUGUAAGGGGGUACGCGGCUAGUAAGCCCCUUGUUUAUUUGUGCCGAACUCGCCUAACCGUGUCCGGGGUCUGAAUGACCUGUUUGGGUGCUUUGAUCGGCAAAGCCGGAUUAAUUGUGUGGCUGUCAAGGCAGUCUCACUUUCUUCCAUAUUCGAGGAACACUCGGGGUUUCCCUUUAAUGAGAUUAUGCCGUGUGGACCGGGCAUUUUAAGUGUAAGUGAUGCGUAAUGCGGUAUUGCAUUAAAGCGGGCGAAAGCUUCGCGUCCCAAUAGUGCUUGAUAACUACUUUUAAAUGGGGCAAUGUGGAAGACUAACUUUUCGCGACGGGAGUUGUUGGAUGAGCCGAACACAACUUCCAGUGGUAGAAAGCCCGUACAAUGGGCAUAUGGGCCUGGCAUCACUCCUUUAAAGGAGGUGUUGCUAUGGCGUAUUUUGGUUAGGUCUAUCCCCAUUCUGCGGAUUGUAUCCUGAUAUAGUAGGUUUAGAUCACUGCCGCCGUCCAUUAGGACUUGUGUAAAUUGUAGUCCGUCGAUUAUAGGAUCUAAUAUCAGGGCAGUCCAUCCUGUGUUCCGGAUACUUCCGGAGUAAUCCUGAUGGUCGAAAGUGAUUGAUUUUGACAUCCAGUGUCGGGACUCCGCUGGGGUGGACCGUUGUCAGGACCCCAAUCCUAAGUCACAUCGAUCUAGCAUGUAACACCUCAUAUCACUUUGCAGCCUCACGCACGGUAUUCCCACAGGUGUCGCCUUACCAUGCCCGAGACCGUUUGCGCCUUUUGGCACACGUAUAUGAUAGUGUCGCUAGCAUCCAUAUGACAGAGAACCCGGGCUGACAUGGCUAGUCGUGAACCCAAAGUGGCACUAACUUACAGGGACAGGCAUCCAUGACCCAGCAUCGAACGUGUCGGUCAUCAGCGAGUGAAUUCAGGCUGUAGCACUGGGCUAACAGGACUCCGGUGAACCGGGCUGUAGCGGGCUAACAUGACUCCGGUGUUCAUCGCGUGACAUUUCCCCGAAGGGACAGACACAGGAACGAAGAAGGACACAUGCCGGCCAGCCUAAGUGUUCCGGAGCAGUAGCAAGCUACCAGGGCUCAGUGGAAGCACUAGGAGACAUUUCCCGGUAAGAGAGACUACUAAGGAUAAACAACUAGAUAGUCAGAUCCCACACAUAGCAAUACACAUUACACGUACGCAUAGCAUGCAAGUAUGUGCUGUAUAACAUGGCAUCACAGCAUAACUCAACAACUCAUAUAGAUAAAGGCUCAGAAGAGCCAUCAUAGCAUUUAUUACAAACAGGGGUCACAUGACCCAACAUUCAGAGCAAUCAAGCAACAAGCGGAAGCAUUACAUGUCUGGGUACAGACAUCUACAAAUGAAAAAGGCUGAAAAGCCUAACUAACUACAAUAUCCGGUCAAGAUCGUAGCUGAGGUACAAGCUACUUGUCGAAGUCCACGAUAACACUAGUAAGACCGAAGUCUCCGCUGCAAAAACAUAAAUAAAGCAACAUGAGUACAAAGGUACUCAGCAAGACUUACAUCAGAUCCUAUCAUACAUGCAUUUGUAUCAAGAGGGUAAUGUGGGGUUUAGUUGCAGCAAGCCAGCUUUGACUCUGUGGCUAACAUGUUCUACGACUACCAGUGAGGUGAUAUGGCGCACACGAGUCCACUAAUCACCACACAAUACCCUACUAUGGAUUCAUCCCCGUCUCCCUACGAGAAGGACAUCCAUAGCACUCACACUUGUCUUGAGCAUUUUAGAGUAUCCACUUCAAGUUGUCUAUGUACCAUGUAAGCAUCCAAGAAGUCCAUAACCGCGGACCCGGCUAUUCGAAUAGAUCAUGUUAACCCUGCAGGGGUGUACUUCUUCACACACGCUCUCGCCACUUACCGCCAUGUACAUGUCAUGUAUCUCGGCAACCUUCAAGCGGAAGCCUGGCGAGGGUGUCGGCCACGACCUGACUAACCACACAAGACUCUAAUCCAGGUUUAUCGCCUAUUCGGGUUCCAUCCGCAAGGAGAUCCGGCCGGGGUGUCGCUCACGGCCCCAAACGAUGUGAGCAGGGUUCCCUAGCCCACCAUCCGGGUGCCACUUGGUACACCGUGCCACUGUGCCUAGUCUGUCCCAAGCCCACCUGGCCGGGUGCCACUUGGUAGACUACUAACAGUACCUACAAACACUAGAAACUAGUUGCGACUCCUGGACAGAGACCAAGUUGGUUAAUAAGUCGAGAGGGGCCGAGUUACCGGAACCCAAUGUGUGGUAGUAUCGAGUCAUUGGACAACAUACAUAGAACUCAGUGCUUAAGGACGGUUCUAGUGAGACAACCCACCAUGUACUCCUACAUGGCCUCUCACCGCUACCUUUACCAAAUCGUGUUCACACACUUAACUCUCAGCAUCAGAACAUAUCGUAAAACUCCAAUUCAUUCCCAAUGAACCAGACCUGACACAACUCUAAGCAAUAGCAGGCAUAGCAUGGUAGGAACACAACAUGGCUCAAUCAACUCCUACACAUGCUAGUGGGUUUCAACUAUUUACUGUGGCAAUGACAGGUCAUGCAGAGGAAUGGGUUCAACUACCGCAGCACAAAGUAGCAGAUGAAUCGUUGUUGUCCUAAUGCAAGAACUGAGAGCACGAGCGAGAGAGUAGGAUUUUAUCGGAAUGAACAAGGGGGUUUGCUUGCCUGGUAGAUCAACAAGGGGGCACUGCUCCUCAGACAGGUACUCUGGAACAGUCUCCGGAGCAGGACCUAUCGAGAAGGAACGGUGCCAACAAUCAAUACACAAGCAUAUGCAACAAUAUGAUGCAUGAACAUGGCAUGAAGAUGUGAUGUUGUUUGAGCUAAUGCAACUAGUAUUCAUUUGGUUUGAAGUCCAUUUGAACCAAAGGUUCAAAUGCAUCUCCAAAUAAGCUCUUUAUAUAAGCCAUUUUAGUGUUUCACUUAUACAGCAGGUAUAACUUGGUUUUUCAUGCAUGAAACUGGUACAGAUGGAUAGGUUGCAUUUUUCUGAUAAUUUUUCAUAUAUAAUUUAUUUCAAUCUGAGCUACGGUUGAAUUGAUAUGAAUUUUUGAAGUUUUGGGCAUUUUCUGGAAAUUCCUGAAUAAGAAUAAAUCCAGAAAAUUGCAUUACUACGUCAGCAUUGAGUAAGCAUGACGUCAGCAAGUCAACUGCGGCUGACUGGGGUCAAACCUGACGUGUGGGGUCCACACGUCAGUGACAGGGGGUUAAACAGGGGUUAGUUUAAUCCUAAUUAAAAGAUUAGUGGCGCUGGGGCCCACUGUCAGUGUCAGGGAGUUAGAUUAGGAGGUGAUUAGCUUAAGCUAAUCACCUAACGAGCCGGACCCACCUGACAGGCCGGCGCGGUCAAGCGGUCAACCCCACCGGCGUUAAGCCGCCGGCGAGGCCGAACGCGGCGGAGGGGCUCGGGACUGCAUCUCCGGCGACCAAAAGGGCCGCGGAGACCAUCUCCGAGGAGCUGGUGCUCGCGCGCAUCUAGUGGGACACACGGGAGACCGUGGGGGUGCCGGAGCUCGCCGGAGCGGAGCUCGGGGCGGCGGCCGGAGCACGGGCUCCGAGCGGGAGCGGGCUGUGGGGCACGGGGAGGCCACUCGAGGGGCUCUGCGGCACCCUCGUGGCACCAGGAGCAUGGUGACGAGCUCGGUUGUGGGUUGCGGUGGCCAGGGCGACGGCGGCGACAUGAACGGUGGCGGGAGGCUUCGGCCGUGGGGGGGGGGGAGGGGCUACGGCGUGCGGGCGGCUAAACGGAGAGAGGGGAACGGGGCAGAAGCUCACUGCGGUUCCGGUGGCGCCUUCAGCAGGCUCGGGGGAGGCCAGACGGCGGCGUGGCGGCGAUGACAAUCUCCAGCGACCGGAGACGAAGACAGCGGCGGCGACGGCUCCACGGGGCGUCCGGCGUCUUGUGGCUUGACGGAGAGGACGAGGGAGUCGUGGCGGAGCUCGUGGACUCCACGGAGGGGCGAGGGGACGGCGGGGAGCGCGUCGGCGGUGAGCUGCGACAGCGGCAACGCUUCGGGCGCAGGGAGAGGGAGAGGUCCAGGGGAGGAGGGAGAGCGAGAGAGAGUGGGGGAGGACCGGGGCGGCGCGUGGCGAUGUCCGGGGCAUCCAGGGCGACGAGGAGGACGCCAGGCAGGGAGGGAGGGAGGAGGUGGCCGGGCGCGUGGCCGCGGCCGGCUGUGGCGCGGGCACGCAGCUGCUUGGGCGAGGGGGAGGAAGACGACAGAGGAGGGGGCGGGCUGGGCUGCUGCUGGGCUGCACAGUAACGGCUGCACAGGUAAGCGGCCCAGGUAAGGUUUUUCCCUUUUUGUUUCUUUUUCUAUUUUUCUGACAUUUGUUUGGUUUAACAAAAAUACUAAACCAUUUUAUUUUCUUAUGCCAAUUUUUAUAGAAGCUAGUUAUAUUAUUCCAGAGCUCCUUAAUAAAUGGCAUAGUUUUUGGACAAUAUUUAUAUAUAUAACAAAUAUAUAUCCAAUGCAAAUAAUUAUGCAUUAGUUCCAAAUGCCCAAAAUAAAUACUUAUGGGCUCCUAAAAUAUUGGUUUGAUUUUUAUCUCUGUCCAAUAUUUUCAGAGAGCAACAUGAGCAUUUUCUUGGACCUUUUUGGAGCAAUUUUUAUUUGGGUCAUUUUCAGGGAUGACUCUGAGGGUUUCACAAAUCCUCAUUUCAAAUUUAAAUGAAAUUUAAACAUGAUGCACACAUGACUAGCUAGUCUAGGCCAUACCAGACUAGGGAUGUGACAACUCGCCCCCACUUGAAAGAAUCUCGUCCCGAGAUUCAGGGGUCGACGGAAAGAAGGUGGGGUACUUCAAUCGAAGACGAUCUUCUCGCUCCCAAGUAGCUUCUCUCUCGGAAUGAUGAGACCACUGAACCUUGAGAAACUUGAUGUUCUGACGUCGGGUAACACGCUCUGCUUGACCAAGAAUGCGAACCGGGUACUCUCGGUAUGUGAGGUUAUCUUGGAGAUCAAGCGUUUCGUGGUCCACUCCGCGGAUAGGAUCCGAGAAGCAACGCCUGAGUUGAGAGACGUGGAAGACAUCGUGAACUCGAGAAAGAUGUGGGGGUAGUUCCAACUGGUAGGCAACCUCUCCUCGUUUAGCGAGAAUACGAAAAGGACCAAUGUAACGAGGAGCCAACUUGCCCUUGAUACCGAAACGAUGGGUACCCUUCAAAGGAGUAACCCGAAGGUAAGCUUUGUCGCCAAUUUCAUAAGUCAUAUCCUUAUGAUGACGAUCAUACUGACACUUUUGACGAGACUGGGCUGUUUUCAAAUUCUCACGAAUGAUGCGAACUUGCUCUUCUGCCUCCUGGAUCAUGUCCGGUCCAAAGAAUUGUCUUUCACCGGUUUCUGACCAGUUCAAAGGUGUUCGACAUCUUCGUCCAUAGAGAAUCUCAAAAGGAGCUUUCUUGAGACUGGAUUGAUAGCUAUUGUUAUAAGCAAACUCGGAGAAAGGAAGGCAUUUCUCCCAAUCCAUACCGAAUGAGAUAACGCAAGCUCUAAGCAUGUCUUCGAGAAUUUGAUUGACCCGUUCCACCUGACCACUCGACUGAGGGUGGAAAGCGGUACUGAAGGAAAGAUGGGUUCCCAUGGCAGUUUGGAAACUCUCCCAGAAGUGAGAAGUGAAAAGACUGCCACGGUCUAAAUUGAUCUGUAGUGGAACACCAUGAAGAGACACUAUUCGAGAAAUAUAUAAGUCAGCGAGCUGACUACCAGUGAUACUCUCUCGAACAGGAAGGAAGUGAGCCACUUUGGAGAGACGAUCAAUGACUACGAAGAUAGCAUUAUUCCCUUUCUUGGUCCUGGGAAAGCCGGUGAUGAAGUCCAUACCAACUUUAUCCCAUUUCCACUCAGGAAUGGCUAGAGGCUGAAGAGUGCCAGCAGGUCUUUGAUGCUCUGCCUUAACGCGAUGACAAACGUCACAUUUAGCAAUGAACUCAGCAAUUUCUCUCUUCAUCCUAGUCCACCAGAACCUCUGGCGUAGGUCCUGGUACAUCUUAGUACUAUCGGGAUGAAUCGUAAAAGGGGAUUCAUGCGCCUCCUUAAGAAUCAAUUGCUGCAUCUGCUGACUUUUGGGAACCACCAAGCGGUUCCCGAAGUAAACAACACCUCGUUCAUCCAUAGAGAAACAAUCAGCUACUCCCUUGGAGAUAUUUUUCUUGAUUCGGGAGAUUCCCGUAUCAUGCUUCUGGACUUCUAUGAUACGAUCCACAAUAGUAGGUUUCGCCACCAAGGUAGAAAGGAAUCCGUGAGGAGCAAUGUGAAGGUUAAGCUUGCAGAAUUCCUUAUGGAGAAGUGGUUGGCCCUGCUGCAACAUAAGAUUGUUGCAAUAGGAUUUACGACUUAGCGCAUCAACCAUGACAUUAGCUUUGCCUGGAGUGUAAGUAAUCCCUAGAUCAUAAUCUGAGAUCACUUCCAACCAACGUCUUUGCCUAAGGUUCAAAUCUGGUUGGGUGAAGAUAUACUUGAGACUCUGGUGAUUUGUGUAAAUCUCGCAACGUUUACCAAGGAGGUAAUGUCGCCAGGUCUUCAGUGCAUAGACUACGGCUGCAAGCUCUAGAUCAUGUGUAGGAUAAUUCUCCUCAUGUGGAUGCAACUGUCGAGAUGCAUAGGAAAUCACAUGACGAUCCUGCAUAAGAAUGCAACCUAGUCCUUGUCGUGAGGCAUCGCAGUAGAUAACAAAGUCUUUAGUGAAAUCCAGUGGCACAAGUAUGGGAGAAGAAGUCAGGCGUCUUUUCAGUUCCUGAAAACUGUACUCACACUAUGGGGACCACUCAAACUUUUUAUCUUUCUUGAGAAGUUCUGUGAGAGGUUUGGCCAAUUUAGAGAUGUUUUCAACAAAGCAGCGACAAUAACUGGCUAGACCAAGGAAACUCCUAACUUGUUUAACUGUUUCAGGUGGAGUCCAAUAGAGAAUGGCCUUAACUCUCUCGGGAUUGACAGCAAUGCCCUUACCAGAGAUUAUGUGGCCUAGAUAGGUCACUUCUGGCAACCAAAAUUCGCACUUGGAGAACUUGGCAUAAAGACGGUGCUCUCUGAGUUUUUCUAACACAAGUCUAAGAUGUUCGGCAUGCUCUUCCUCGUUCUUCGAGUAAAUAAGAAUAUCAUUGAGGUAAACCACGACAAAUUUAUCUAGGUACUCCAUGAAGAUCGAGUUCAUCAAGCGGGAGAAAGUAGCUGGAGCAUUGGUUAGACCGAAGGACAUGACUGUGUACUCGUACUGGCCAUAAUGAGUGACAAAGGCCGUCUUGGGGAUGUCCCCAUUUCUGAUCUUGAUUUGGUGGUAGCCUAACCUCAAAUCCAUCUUGGAAAAGACUGAGGAUCCAGCGAGCUGAUCAUACAGGUCGUUGAUCCUAGGGAGAGGAUAUUUGUUCUUUAUCGUGACCAAAUUAACGGGACGAUAAUCUACAACCAUCCGGUCCAUACCAUCCUUCUUCUUAACAAAGAGGACGGGGCAAGCCCAAGGAGAAGAACUAGGACGGAUGAAACCCUUUUGCAAGGACUCAUCAAGUUGUUUCUUAAGCUCGGCUAGUUCUAAGGGUGCCAUCUUGUAAGGUCUCCAAGAGAUUGGAGCAGUUCCUGGGAUAAGAUCUAUGACGAACUCUACAUCUCUGUCAGGUGGAACACCUGGCAGUUCUUCUGGAAAGACAUCCGGAAAGUCACGGACUACCGAGAUAUCUUCAAGGUCUGGAAGAGGGCUGGCAUUAAGAGAAUAGAGCUGACGCCUUGAAACUCUAGUGGAGACAGUGACUAUCUGUCCAGAUGGGUGUGUAAGCUGAAUGGACCUGGCGUAACAAUCAAUCUUGGCAUAAUGAGCUGUCAUCCAGUCCAUACCCAAGAUGAUGUUAAUAUCUGUAGACUUGAGGGCUAUAAGAGAUGCAAGGAAUACAAGUCUGUCUACAAGGAUUUCGUUACCAUGGCUUACACUAGAAGUUUGCCAUUUGGAUCCAGGAGUUUGAAUGACUAGUGGGGAGGGCAUAUCACAAAAAGACAUGUUGUGCAAGUUAGCAUAGCUUUCAGAAAUGAAGGAGUGAGACGCUCCAGUAUCGAACAAAACCGAUGCUGGAUGACAGUUGACAAGGAGUGUACCAAGAACGACAUCCGGAUCAUCAUGAGCGUCUUUAGCUGAGACGUGAUGCACACGUCCACGUUCAGUGGGAGCUGACUUGACAUUGAUCAUCUUGCGUGAUGGCUUAACACAGUCAACAGACUUCUCGGGCUGGGGUGGAGCAUAACUAGUCUGAGAGCAGUCACGUGCAUAGUGUCCUGGCUUCCCGCAUGUGAAGCAAGUCCCUGAAGUUGGACGUGGACCCGCACUGACAAGCGGUCUACCAAUAGGCCUGGGUGGAGCAUAUGACUGAGCUGGGGAAGGCACCACAUAAGAUGGUCUCGGUGCAUAUCUGGAAGGAAGAGCGGAGUUUGGAACCCAAAUCCGACGCUUCUGAGAACUAGAACCGGAGGAAGAUCCCAGAUCACGGGUGUGCUUACGAGACUCCUCGUAAGUGAGCUGAGCUGUCUCUGCAUUAAUGGCCUUGUUCACAAGAGCUUGCAAUGUAUCACAAUGAUGCAGGUGGAGAUCACGACGCAACUUGGGGUUGAGACCCUUCCGGAACCUAGCUUGCUUCUUGGCGUCCGUGGACACCUCUUCUGUGGCAUAACGGGCGAGGUUCUCAAACUCUCUACUGUAAGCAUCAACAGCCAUCUUACUCUGGGUGAAACUACAGAACUCUUCUCUCUUGCGAUCGAUGAGGGCCUGAGGAAUGUGAUGCUCGCGAAAAGCCUCAGUGAAAUCCCUCCAUGUAGGAAUCUGGCCAGCUGGAAGCAUAGCCUCAUAGUUCUGCCACCAAAGACUAGCAGGACCUUCCAGGUGGUACGUGGCAUAGGUGACCUUGUCAUCUUCAGAUACGUUUGCGGAACACAGCUUAUGAGUGAUGCUACGGAGCCAGUCAUCUGCAUCGAGUGGCUCAAUAGAAUGAUGAAAGGUGGGUGGGUGCAAGCGAAUGAAGUCAUGAAUGGUUGCAGACCCUUUGAUCCGAUGUGCGGUAUUCUCCUCGAUACGUGCCAACAAGCGGUUAGACUCACGCUUGUUCCUCUCCAUUUCUAACAUGAACUCUGCCAACGAAGGCUGGUCGGGAGGAUCCUCAUCCCUACCAUCUCCGUGGUUUUGGCUACGAGAAACAGAACUUCGCUUAGCUGAUGACAUCCUGAGAAACGAAACCAAGAACGGAAUCAGCAUCAACUAUAGGCUAUAGAAUGUAGGACAAGGAAAGUAGUAUCUCUCGAACUCCUAGGGCAAUUCCGACAGCAUAACGACAGUAAAAUGCUCAGAAUGAGACAUCUUGCUAAAAUGGGGUAGUAACAUACUCAACAUCACCAGUCAAGGUUCUGAGACCAUACUAAAUAGGCUACACCGGAAGUACUCGAAACUGGGAUAUGACUCUGAUCAACCAAUCCUAUGGGACUACGGAGUAGCAACACGUGAUCCUGAUAGAUAGGAGAGAAAGCCUAGUUCCUUAACCCCGUAGGAAAGAUAGGAUGACUCAGAUCAGAAGGCCAUGAGGUAUAAGGAGUAAAAAGAGCCUUACAUUCCUUCCCACAAUCAAUUUCGUUACAUAACUAAAGAAUUUCUAGACUCAACUUCGACCAUUUUGGCUUGGUAAUCCUACAGGCAGUCAGGCUCUGAUACCAAAGCUGUCAGGACCCCGAUCCUAAGUCACAUCGAUCUAGCAUGUAAGACCUCAUAUCACUUUGCGGCCUCACGCAUGGUAUUCCCACGGGUGUCGCCUUACCAUGCCCGGGACCAUUUGCGCCUUUUGGCACACGUAUAUGAUAGUGUCGCUAGCAUCCAUAUGACAGAGAACCCGGGCUGACAUGGCUAGUCGUGAACCCAAAGUGGCACUAACUUACAGGGACAGGCAUCCAUGACCCAGCAUCGAACGUGUCGGUCAGCAACGAGUGAAUCCAGGCUGUAGCACUGGGCUAACAGGAUUCCGGUGAACCGGGCUGUAGCGGGCUAACAGGACUCCGGUGUUCAUCGCGUGACAUUUCCCCGAAGGGACAGAUACAGGAACGAAGAAGGACACAUGCCGGCCAGCCUAAGUGUUCCGGAGGAGUAGCAAGCUACCAGGGCUCAGUGGAAGCACUAGGAGACAUUUCCCGGUAAGAGAGACUACUAAGGAUAAACAACUAGAUAGUCAGAUCCCACACAUAGCAAUACACAUUACACGUACGCAUAACAUGCAAGUAUGUGCUGUACAACAUGGCAUCACAACAUAACUCAACAACUCAUAUAGAUAAAGGCUCAGAAGAGCCAUCAUAGCAUUUAUUACAAACAGGGGUCACAUGACCCAACAUUCAGAGCAAUCAAGCAACAAGCGGAAGCAUUACAUGUCUGGGUAUAGACAUCUACAAAUGAAAAAGGCUGAAAAGCCUGACUAACUACAAUAUCCGGUCAAGAUCGUAGCUGAGGUACAAGCUACUUGUCGAAGUCCACGAGAACACUAGUAAGACCGAAGUCUCCGCUGCAAAAACAUAAAUAAAGCAACAUGAGUACAAAGGUACUCAGCAAGACUUACAUCAGAUCCUAUCAUACAUGCAUUUGUAUCAAGAGGGUAAUGUGGGGUUUAGUUGCAGCAAGCCAGCUUUGACUCUGUGGCUAACCUGUUCUACGACUACUAGAACUUCUUUGAGGUGAUAUGGCGCACACGAGUCCACUAAUCACCACACAACACCCUACUAUGGAUUCAUCCCCGUCUCCCUACGAGAAGGCCAUCCAUAGCACUCACACUUGUCUUGAGCAUUUUAGAGUAUCCACUUCAAGUUGUCUAUGUACCAUGUAAGCAUCCAAGAAGUCCAUAACCGCGGACCCAGCUAUUCAAAUAGAUCAUGUUAACCCUGCAGGGGUGUACUUCUUCACACACGCUCUCGCCACUUACCGCCAUGUACACGUCAUGUAUCUCGGCAACCUUCAAGCGGAAGCCUGGCGAGGGUGUCGGCCACGACCUGACUAACCACACAAGACUCUAAUCCAGGUUUAUCGCCUAUUCGGGUUCCAUCCGCAAGGAGAUCCGGCCGGGGUAUCGCUCACGGCCCCAAACGAUGUGAGCAGGGUUCCCAAGCCCACCAUCCGGGUGCCACUUGGUACACCGUGCCACUGUGCCUAGUCUGUCCCAAGCCCACCUGGCCGGGUGCCACUUGGUAGACUACUAACAGUACCUACAAACACUAGAAACUAGUUGCGACUCCUGGACAGAGACCAAGUUGGUUAAUAAGUCGAGAGGGGCCGAGUUACCGGAACCCAAUGUGUGGUAGUAUCGAGUCAUUGGACAACAUACAUAGAACUCAGUGCUUAAGGACGGUUCUAGUGAGACAACCCACCAUGUACUCCUACAUGGCCUCUCACCGCUACCUUUACCAAAUCGUGUUCACACACUUAACUCUCAGCAUCAGAACAUAUCGUAAAACUCCAAUUCAUUCCCAAUGAACCAGACCUGACACAACUCUAAGCAAUAGCAGGCAUAGCAUGGUAGGAACACAACAUGGCUCAAUCAACUCCUACACAUGCUAGUGGGUUUCAACUAUUUACUGUGGCAAUGACAGGUCAUGCAGAGGAAUGGGUUCAACUACCGCAGCACAAAGUAGCAGAUGAACCGUUGUUGUCCUAAUGUAAUAACUGAGAGCAGGAGUGAGAGAGUAGGAUUUUAUCGGAAUGAACAAGGGGGUUUGCUUGCCUGGUAGAUCAACAAGGGGGCACUGCUCCUCAGACAGGUACUCUGGAACGGUCUCCGGAGCAGGACCUAUCGAGAAGGAACGGUGCCAACAAUCAAUACACAAGCAUAUGCAACAAUAUGAUGCAUGAACAUGGCAUGAAGAUGUGAUGCUGUUUGAGCUAAUGCAACUAGUAUUCAUUUGGUUUGAAGUCCAUUCGAACCAAAGGUUCAAAUGCAUCUCCCAAUAAACUCUUUAUAUAAGCCAUUUUAGUGUUUCACUUAUACAGCAGGUAUAACUUGGUUUUUCAUGGAUGAAACAGGUACAGAUGGAUAGGUUGCAUUUUUCUGAUAAUUUUUCAUAUAUAAUUUAUUUCAAUCUGAGCUACGGUUGAAUUGAUAUGAAUUUUUGAAGUUUUGGGCAUUUUCUGGAAAUUCCUGAAUAAGAAUAAAUCCAGAAAAUUGCAUUACCACGUCAGCAUUGAGUAAGCAUGACGUCAGCAAGUCAACUGUGGCUGACUGGGGUCAAACCUGACGUGUGGGGUCCACACAUCAGUGACAGGGGGUUAAACAGGGGUUAGUUUAAUCCUAAUUAAAAGAUUAGUGGCGCUGGGGCCCACUGUCAGUGUCAGGGAGUUAGAUUAGGUGGUGAUUAGCUUAACCUAAUCACCUGACGAGCCGGACCCACCUGACAGGCCGGUGCGGUCAAGCGGUCAACCCCACCGGCGUUAAGCCGCCGGCGAGGCCGAACGCGGCGGAGGGGCUCGGGACCACGUCUCCGGCGACCAAAAGGGCCGCGGAGACCAUCUCCGAGGAGCUGGUGCUCGCGCGCAUCCAGUGGGACACGCGGGAGACCGUGGGGGUGCCGGAGCUCGCCGGAGUGGAGCUCGGGGCGGCGGCCGGAGCACGGGCUCCGAGCGGGAGCGGGCUGUGGGGCAUGGGGAGGCCACUCGAGGGGCUCUGCGGCACCCUCGUGGCACCAGGAGCACGAUGACGAGCUCGGUUGCGGGUUGCGGUGGCCAGGGCGACGGCGGCGACAUGAACGGCGGCGGGAGGCUUCGGCCGUGGUGGGGGAAAGGGGCUACGGCGUGCGGGCGGCUAAACGGAGAGAGGGGAACAGGGCAGAAGCUCAGUGCGGUUCCGGUGGCGCCUUCAGCGGGCUCGGGGGAGGCCAGACGGCGGCGUGGCGGCGAGGACAAUCUCCGGCGACCGAAGACGAAGACGGCGACAGCGAUGGCUCCACGGGGCGUCCGGCGUCUUGUGGCUUGACGGAGAGGACGAGGGAGUCGUGGCGGAGCUCGUGGACUCCAUGGAGGGGCGAGGGGACAGCGGGGAGCGCGUCAGCGGUGAGCUGCGGCGGCGGCAGCGCUUCGGGCGCGGGGAGUGGGAGAGGUCCAGGGGAGGAGUGAGAGCGAGAGAGAGUGGGGGAGGACCGGGGCGGCGUGUGGCGAUGUCCGGGGCAUCUAGGGCUACGAGGAGGACGCCAGGCAGGCAGGGAGGGAGGAGGUGGCCGGGCGCGUGGCCACGGCCGGCUGUGGCGCGGGCACGCAGCUGCUUGGGCGAGGGGGAGGAAGACGACAGAGGAGGGGGCGGGCUGGGCUGCUGCUGGGCUGCACAGUAACGGCUGCACAGGUAAGCUGCCCAGGUAAGGCUUUUCCCUUUUUGUUUCUUUUUCUAUUUUUCUGACAUUUGUUUGGUUUAACAAAAAUACUAAACCGUUUUAUUUUCUUAUGCCAAUUUUUAUAGAAGCUAGUUAUAUUAUUCCAGAGCUCCUUAAUAAAGUAAGUUUACUGUUUUGACCUCUUGUGGGAAAUUCCUUUGUUUUCCGGUGCUCUGCUUGUGGAGUUCUUGGUCGUCUUCGGCAUCGUCGUCCAUACCGUCGAUGUCUUCGGAGUCGAAGUCUAGCAUAUCGGUUAAGUCAUCGACAGUGGCUAUAAAGUGGGUGGUGGGUGGGCUUUGAAUUUCUUCGUCGUCCGCAUCUCAACCGCCCUGACCAUAAUCCGGCCAGGGCUCUCUUGAUAAAGAGAGACACUUUAGCAAAUUCAAGAUGUCGCCGAAAGGAGAGUGCUGAAAGAUGUCCGCAGCGGUGAACUCCAUGAUCGGCGCCCAAUCGGAUUCGAUUGGCAGGGGCGCGGAAGGUUCGGGGUCCGGAGAGGAGUCCGACACCUUGGAGUCGCGAGCUUCAUGAGGGACAAGGUCGGUAUUCGGCUCUAUCACCGUAGAGGUGGCAACCCCCGAGGUGGUGUCCAACCACCCAUCCUCGAUUGGCGCUGUUGGCUCCGAACUAAGGGUCGGAGCGGACUCUUGUGCGGCCUCCAGGGCACUGUCCGGCAGCAGAGCUAAAUCAUGCCCAUCGUGACAGUGCGACACGCCUGGCUGUGGCUCAAAUCCGUCGAAGAUCAAGUCUCCGCGGAUGUCAGCCGUAUAGUUCGAACUUCCGAAUCUGACCUGAUGGCCAGGGGCGUAGCUUUCAAUCUGCUCCAGAUGGCCAAGUGAAUUGGCCCGCAGUGCGAAGCCGCCAAAUACGAAGAUUUGUCCGAGGAGACAAGUCUCACCCUGGACCGCGUUGUUGUUGAUGAUCGAAGGAGCCAUCGGGGCUAUAGGUGACGACACAGAGGGCAUCUCAAUGAAAGCACCAAUGUCGGUGUCAAAACCGGCGGAUCUCGGGUAGGGGGUCCCGGACUGUGCGUCUAGGCGGAUGGUAACAGGAGACAAGGGACACGAUGUUUUUACCCAGGUUCGGGCCCUCUUGAUGGAGGUAAAACCCUACUCCUGCUUGAUUAAUAUUGAUGAUAUGUGUAGUACAAGAGUAGAUCUACCACGAGAUCAAGGAGGCUAAACCCUAGAAGCUAGCCUAUGGUAUGAUUGUUGUGUGUCCUACGGACUAAAACCCUCCGGUUUAUAUAGACACCGGAGAGGACUAGGGUUACACAGAGUCGGUUACAAUGGUAGGAGAUCUUCAUAUCCGUAUCUCCAAGCUUGCCUUCCACACCAAGGGAAGUCCCAUCUGGACACGGGACGAAGUCUUCAAUCUUGUAUCUUCAUAGUCUUGGAGUCCGGCCAAUGAUGAUAGUUCGGCUAUCCAGACACCCCCUAGUCCAGGACUCCCUCACUCCCACUUGCACUAGAGUCAAUAAUAUGGUUCACAUCGCCAUGUGAUUUAACACCAAUAGUUCACAUCGCCAUGUGACCAACACCCAAAGGGUUUACUAGAGUCAAUAGUCUAGUUCACAUCGUUAUGUGAUUAACACCCAAUGAGUACUUAAGGUAUGAUCAUGUUUUUCUUGUGAGAGAAGUUUAGUCAACGAGUCUGUCAGAUUCGGAUUCGUAUGUAUUUUGCAAAUUUCUAUGUCUACAAUGCUAUGCAUGGUGCUACUCUAGCUAAUUGCUCCCACGUUCAAUAUGUAUCCAGAUUGAGAUUUAGAAUCAUCUAUAUCAGUGUCAAAGCUUGCAUCAGCGUAACUCUUUACGAUGAACUCUUUAUCACCUCCAUAACCGAGAAACAUUUCCUUAGUCCUCUUUAAGGCACCUAAGGAUAAUUUUGACCACUGUCUAGUGGUCCACUCCUGGAUCACUCUUGUAACCUCUUUGCCAGAUAAGUGGCAAGACACGCAUCAAGUGUGGUACACAGGAUAGCAUAUCGUAUAGAACCUAAGGCUGAGGCAUAGGGAAUGACUUUCAUUCUCCCUCUAUCUUCCGCCGUGGUCGGGCUUUGAGUCUUACUCAACUUCACACCUUGUAAUACAGGAAAGAACCCCUUCUUGGACUGAACCAUUCUGAACUUCUUCAAAUCUUAUCAAGGUAUGUGCUUUGUGAAAGUCCUAUUAAGCGUUUCGAUCUAUCCCUAUAGAUCUUGAUGCCCAAUAUAUAAGUAGCUUCACUGAGGUCUUCCAUUGAAAAAUUCUUAUUCAAGUAUCCUUUUAUGCUAUCCAGAAAUUCUAUAUCAUUUCCAAUCAAUAAUAUGUGAUCCGCAUAUAAUAUCAGAAAUGUUACAGAGCUCCCACUCACUUGUAAAUACAUGCUACACCAUAAGUCUGUAUAAAACCAUAUGCUUUGAUUACCAUAUCAAAGCGUAUAUUCCAACUCCGAGAUGCUUGCACCAGUCCAUAGAUGGAUCGUUGGAGCUCGCACACUUUGUUAGCACCUUUAGGACUGACAAAACCUUCUGGUUGCAUCAUAUACAAUUCUUCUUUAAUAUUCAUUAAGGAAUACAACUUUUGACAUCCAUUUGCCAGAUUUCAUAAUCAUAAAAUGUGGCAAUUUCUAACAUGAUUUGGACAGACUUAAGCAUCGCUACGGGUGAGAAAGUCUCAUGAUAGUCAACUCCUUGAACUUUGUCGAAAACCUUUUUGCGACAAGCCGAGCUUUGUAGAUAGUAACACUACCAUUAGUGUUUGUCUUCCUCUUGAAGAUCCAUUUAUUCUCAAUGGCUUGCCGAUCAUUGGGCAAGUCCACCAAAGUCCACACUUUGUUCUCAUACAUGGAUCCUAUCUCAGAUUUCAUGGCCUCAAGCCAUAUGUCGGAAUCUGGGCUCAUCAUUGCUUCUUCAUAGUUCGUAGGUUCGUCAUGGUCUAGUAACAUGACUUCUAGGACAGGAUUACCGUACCACUUUGGUGCGGAACGUGCUAUGUUCGAUCUACGAGGUUCUAUAGUAACUUGAUUCAAAGUUUCAUGAUCAUCAUUGUUAGCUUCCUCUCUUGUUGGUGUAGGCAUCACGGGAACGGAUUUCCCUGAUGUGCUACUUUCCAAAUUGAGAGAAGGUAUUACCUUAUCAAGUUCUACUUUCCUCCCACUCACUUCUUUCGAGAGAAACUCCUUCUCUAGAAAGGAUCCAUUCUUAGCAAUAAAGAUCUUGCCUUUUAGAUAUGUGGUAGAAGGUGUACCCAAUUGCAUCCUUAUGGUACCCUAUGAAGAUGCACUUCUCCGAUUUGGGAUCAAUCUUAUUAGGCUGAAGCCUUUUGACAUAAGUGUCGCAACCCCAAACUUUAAGAAAUGACAGCUUAGGUUUCUUGCCAAACCACAGUUCAUACAGUGUCAUCUCAACGGAUUUAGAUGGUGUCCUAUUUAAUGUGAAUGUGGUUGUGUCUAAUGCAUAACCCCAAAAUGAUAGUGGUAAACCGGUAAGAGACAUCAUAGAUGGCACCAUAUCUAAUAAAGUACGGUUACGAUGUUCGGGAACACCAUUACACUGUGGUGUUCCAGGUGGCGUGAGUUGUGAAACUAUUCCACAUUGUUUUAAAUGAAGGCCAAACUCGUAACUCAAAUAUUCGCCUCCUGCGAUCAUAUCGUAGAAACUUUAUUUUCUUAUUACGAUGGUUCUCCACUUCAGUCUGAAAUUCUUUGAACUUUUCAAAUGUUUCAGACUUGUGUUUCAUCAAGUAGAUAUACCCAUAUCUGCUCAAAUCAUCUCUGAAGGUUAGAAAAUAAUGAUACCCUCCGCGAGCCUCAACACUCAUUGGACCGCAUAUAUCAGUAUGUAUUAUUUCCGAUAAGUCAUUGGCUCGCUCCAUUGUUCCGGAGAAUGGAGUUUUAGUCAUCCUACCCAUGAGGCAUGGUUCAGAAGUAUCAAAUGAUUCCUAAUCAACUGAUUCCAAAAGUCCAUCCGCAUGGAGUUUCUUCAUGCGCUUUACACCAAUAUGACCUAAACGGUAGUCCACAAGUAUGUUGCACUAUCAUUAUCAACUUUGCAUCUUUUGGCAUCAAUAUUAUGAAUAUGUGUAUUGAUACGUCUCCAAUGUAUCUAUAAUUUUUUAUUGUUCCAUGCUAUUAUUUUACCCGUUUUGGAUGUUUAUGGGCUUUACUUUACACUUUUAUAUCGUUUUUAGCACUAACCUACUAACCGGAGGCCCAUCCCAAAUUGUUUUUUUGCCUACUUCAGUGUUUCGAAGAAAAGGAAUAUCAGAUGGAGUCCAAACGGAAUGAAACCUUCGGGAGCGAUCUUUUUGGAACAAACGCAAUCCAGAGGACUUGGAGUGGAAGUCAAGCAACAGAAGAGGCGGCCACGAGGGUGCCUGGCGCGCCCCUAGGGGUGGGCAUGCUCCCCACCCUCGUGGGCCCCUCGAGCAUCCACCGACCUACUUCUUCCUCCUAUAUAUACCCACGUACCCUGAAAACAUCCAGGAGCACCAUGAAAACCUAAUUCCACCACCGCAACCUUCUGUAUCCGCGAGAUCCCAUCUUGGAGACUUCGCCGGCGCUCCGCCGGAGGGGGAAUCGACCAUGGAGGGCCUCUACAUCAUCUCCAAGGCCCUUCCAAUGAGUUGUGAGUAGUUUACCAUAGACCUUCGGGUCCAUAGUUAUUAGCUAGAUGACUUCUUCUCUCUCUUUGAUUCUCAAUACAAAGUUCUCCUUGAUCUUCUUGGAGAUCUAUUCGAUGUAACUCUUUUUGCGGUGUGUUUGUCGAGAUCCGAUGAAUUGUGGGUUUAUGAUCAAGUUUAUCUAUGAGAAAUAUUUGAAUCUCCUCUGAAUUCUUUUAUGUGUGAUAUUUAUCUUUGCAAGUCUCUUUGAAUUAUCAGUUUGGUUUGGCCUACUAGAUUGAUCUUUCUUGCAAUGGGAGAAGUGCUUAGCUUUGGGUUCAAUCUUGCGGUGUCCUUUCCCAGUGACAGCAGGUGCAGCAAGGCACGUAUUGUAUUAUUGCCAUCGAGGAUAAAAGAUGGGGUUUAUAUCAUAUUGCAAGAGUUUAUCCCUCUACAUCAUGCCAUCUUUCUUAAUGCGUUACUCUGGUCUUUAUGAACUUAAUACUCUAGAUGCAGGAAGGAGUCGGUCGAUGUGUGGCCUAUAUACAUGAUCAUGCCUAGAUAAUCUCAUAACUAUGCGCUUUUCUAUCAAUUGCUCGACAGUAAUUUGUUCACCCACCAUAAUACGUAUGCUUUCUUGAGAGAAGCCACUAGUGAAACCUAUGGUCCCCGGGUCUAUCUUUUAUCAUAUAAGUUUACCAUCUACUUUUAUUUGCAUCUUUACUUUUCCAAUCUAUAUCAUCAAAAUACCAAAAAUAUUUAUCUUAUCAUAUUAUCUCUAUUAGAUCUCACUUUCGUAAGUGGCCGUGAAGGGAUUGACAACCCCUUUAUUGCAUUGGUUGCGAGGUUCUUGCUUGUUUGUGUAGGUGUGUGGGACUUCUGAGGAGCCUCCUACUGGAUUGAUACCUUGGUUCUCAAAAACUGAGGGAAAUACUUACAUUACUUUGCUGCAUCACCCUUUCCUCUUCAAGGAAAACCAACGCAAGCUCAAGACGUAGCAAGAAGGAUUUCUGGCGCCGUUGCUGGGGAGGUCUUCUCACAAGUCAAGACAUACCAAGUACCCAUCACAAACUAUUAUCCCUCACAUUACAUUAUUUGCCAUUUGUCUCUUGUUUUCCUCUCCCCCACUUCACCUUUGCCUUUUCUUCGCCCUCCUUCCGUUCGAUCUUGUGUUACCAUGUGCCUUCUUUUUGCUUGCAUCUUCGCUUGCUAAAAGUUUAUGGAUCCUCAUCCCCUUGCUAAUCUAUUUAAGAGAUCCAAUUAUGAUGAACCGGUUUCUAGUGAUUUGAGUGCACUAGAUUAUCUUUAUGAGGUUUUGCUUGAAAUUCGUGAUUCUGAAAAUUGUGAUGAGGAAAUUUAUGAAGAGAUUCACGAUAGCUCCUUGAAUAAAAAGCAUGAUUGCAAUAAUUUUAAUAUAAAUUCUCUUGAUGUCCAUUGUGAUAAUAAUAUGCAAAACCCUAAGCUUGGGGAUGCUAGUUUUGCUAUGACUACUAUUUGUUGCAAUGAUCAUGAUUGGGGUGAUUCUUUCUGAUCUUGAAAUUUUAUUUAAGCCCCAUGAUGAAUAUGAGAUCGAUAAUAGUGUUUGCAAUAAUAUUAAAAGUGGGUUUGUAAGAGUGUCAACUUUAUAUCCACAUAUUUGGAGAAUGUUCAAUCUUAUGGUAUUUUUGAUAAAAGUGGGUUUGGAGUGGUCAUGAAUUUAGUUAAUGAUAAUCCCACUAUUUUCGAAGAGUGUCAACUUCGCAUGCAUGUGGAUCGUGUUGAGAAUAUGUUAUCUGAUAGCUAUUUUGUUGAAUUUUCCUAUGAUACUACAUGUAAUUAUUAUGAGAGAGGAAAAUAUGCUUGUAUAAAUUUUUAUCUUACUAAAUUACCUCUCGUCAUGUUGAGAUUGCUAUUGUCUCUUUCUUCUUCCUUGCAUAUGCUAAUUUUUGCUUGCUAUGAUAAUUUGUUUGAUUAUAAAAUGCCUAUUCAUAGGAAGUAUGUUAGACUUAGAUGUGUUUAUCACAUGUUCUAUGAUGCUAUCUUUGUGCUUUAAUUCUUGUCUUUGAUGUGAGCAUCAUUAAAUUUAUCAAUGCCUAGCUAGGGGCGUUAAAUGAUAGCGCUUGUUGGGAGGCAACCUAAUUUUAUUUUUGUUCUUUGCUUUUUGUUCCUGUUUAGUAACAAAUAAAUCAUCUAGAUUCUGUUUAGAUGUGUUUUCAUGUUUUAAUUAAUGUUUGUGCCAAGUAGAACCUAUAGGAUAACCUACGGUGAUAGUUAAUUUGAUUCUGCUGAAAAACAGAAACUUUGCAUUCACGAAAAUAAUUUUAGUAAUUCACAGAAACGUGAUUUUGAGUUGAUUCUUUUUUCCGUAGAUCAAUAGAAAUUGUUUCCAGGAUUUCCUAUUUUUGUAGGAUUUUUAGAGUUCCAUAAGUAUUAGAGAGUUACAGAUUGCUACAGACUGUUCUGUUUUUGACAGAUUCUGUUUUUCGUGUGUUGUUUGCUUAUUUUGAUGCAUCUAUGGCUAGUAUCAGUGGGUAUGAACCAUAGAGAAGUUGGAAUACAGUAGGUUUAACACCAAUAUAGUAAAUAAUGAGUUAAUUACAGUAUCUUAUGUGGUGGUUUUUCUUUCUUGCACUAACGGAGCUUAUGAGAUUUCCUGUUGAGUUUUGUGUUGUGAAGUUUUCAAGUUUUGGGUAAAAGAUUUGAUGGACUAUGGAAUAAGGAGUGGAAAGAGCCUAAGAUUGGGGAUGCCCAUGGAACCCCAAUAUAUUGAAGGAUAACCAAAAUCGUAAGCUUGGGGAUGCCCCGGAAGGCAUCCCCUCUUUCAUCUUCGUCUAUCGGUAACUUUACUUGGAGCUAUGUUUUUAUUCGCCAUAUGAUAUGUGUUUUGCUUGGAGCGUCUUGUAUGAUAUUAGUCUUUGCUUAUUAGAUUACCACAAUAAUCCUUGCUGUACACACCUUUUGGGAGAAGCCCACUUAAUUUAUAAUUUAUUAGAAUACUCUAUGUGCUUCACUUAUAUCUUUUGAGCUAGAUAAUUUUUGCUCUAGUACUUCACUUAUAUCUUUUAGAGCACGGCGGUGGCUUAAUUUUGUAGAAAUUGUUGAUCUCUCAUGCUUCACUUAUAUUAUUUUGAGAGUCUUUUAGAACAGCAUGGUAUUUGCUAUGGUUAUAAAAUUGGUCCUAGAAUGAUGGGCAUCCAAGUUGGGUAUAAUAAAAACUAUCAUAGGAAGUGAAUUGGAUGCUAUGAUCAAUUUGAUACUUGAUAAUUGUUUUGAGAUAUAGAGGUUGUGAUAUUAGAGUCAUGCUAGUUGGGUAAUUGUGAAUUUAAAGAAUAUUUGUGUUCAAGUUUGUGAUUCCCGUAGCAUGCACGUAUGGUGAACCGCUUUGUGAUGAAGUUGGAGCACAAUUUUACUUAUUGAUUGUCUUCCUUAUGAGUGGCGGUCGGGGACGAGCGACGGUCUUCUCCUACCAAUCUAUCCCCCUAGGAGCAUGCGUGUAGUACUUCGUUUUCAAUGGCUUGUAGAUUUUUGCAAUAAGUUUAUGAGUUCUUUAUUACUAAUGUUGAGUCCAUGGAUUAUACGCACUCUCACCCUUCCACCAUUGCUAGCCUCUCUUGUGCCAUGCAACUUUUGCCGGUACCAUACACCCACCAUAUACCUUCCUGAAAACAGCCACCAUACCUACCUAUUAUGGCAUUUCCAUAGCCAUUCUGAGAUAUAUUGCCAUGCAACUUUCCACCGUUGCAUUUAUUAUGACAUGCUCCAUCAUUGUCAUAUUGCUCUUUGCGUGAUCAUGUAGUUGACAUCGUAUUUGUGGCAAAGUCACCUUCAUAAUUUUUCAUACAUGUCACUCUUGAUUCAUUGCAUAUCCCGGUACACCGCCGGAGGCAUUCAUAUAGAGUCAUAUUUUGUUCUAAGUAUCAAGUUGUAAUCUUGAGUUGUAAAUCAAUAAAAUUAUGAUGAUCUUCAUUAUUAGAGCAUUGUCCCAAUUGAGGAAAGGAUGAUGGAGACUAUGAUUCCCCCACAAGUCGGGAUGAGACUUCGGACUGUAUAAAAAAAGAGAAAGGCCAAAAAAAGGAAAGGCCAAAUAAAGAAAAUGAGAGAAAAAGAGAGAAGGGACAAUGCUACUAUGCUUUUUACCACACUUGUGCUUCAAAGUAGCACCAUGAUCUUCAUGAUAGAGAGUCUCCUAUGUUGUCACUUUCAUAUACUAGUGGGAGUUUUUCAUUAUAGAACUUGGUUUGUAUAUUCCAAUGAUGGGCUUCCUCAAAAUGCCCUAGGUCUUCGUGAGCAAGCAAGUUGGAUGCACACCCACUUAGUUUCUUUUCUUGAGCUUUCAUACAUUUAUAGCUCUAGUGCAUCCGUUGCAUGGCAAUCCCUACUCACUCACAUUGAUAUCUAUUAAUGGGCAUCUCCAUAGCCCGUUGAUACGCCUAGUUGAUGUGAGACUAUCUUCUCCUUUUUGUUUUCUCCACAACCACCAUUCUAUUCAACAUAUAGUGCUAUGUCCAUGGCUCACGCUCAUGUAUUGCGUGAAAGUUGAAAAAUUUGAGAUUACUAAAGUAUGAAACAAUUGCUUGGCUUGUCAUCGGGGUUGUGCAUGAUUAAAUACUUUGUGUGAUGAAGAUAAAGCAACAACCAGACUAUAUGAUUUUGUAGGGAUAACUUUCUUUAGCCAUGCUAUUUUGAGAAGACAUGAUUGCUUUAUUAGUAUGCUUGAAGUAUUAUUAUUUCUUAUGUCAAUAUGAACUUUUAUUUUGAAACAGUUGGAUCUGAACAUUCCUGCCACAAUAAAGAAAAUUACAUUGAGAAUUAUGCUAGGGCAUUCCACAUCAAAAAUUCUGUUUAUAUCAUUUACCUACUCGAGGACGAGCAGGAAUUAAGCUUGGGGAUGCUUGAUACGUCUCCAACGUAUCUAUAAUUUUUGAUUAUUCCAUGCUAUUAUAUUACCCGUUUUGGAUGUUUAUGGGCUUUACUUUACACUUUUAUAUCAUUUUUGGGACUAACCUACUAACCGGAGGCCCAGCCCGAAUUGCUGUUUUUUUUGCCUAUUUCAGUGUUUCAAAGAAAAGGAAUAUCAAACGGAGUCUAAACGGAAUGAAACCUUCGGGAGCGAUCUUUUUGGAACAAACGCAAUCCAGAGGACUUGGAGUGGAAGUCAAGCAAUAGACGAGGCGGCCACGAGGGUGCCCGACGCACCCCUAGGGGUGGGCGUGCCCCCCACCCUCGUGGGCCCCUCGAGCAUCCAGCGACCUACUUCUUCCUCCUAUAUAUACUCACGUACCCCGAAAACAUCCAGGAGCACCACGAAAACCUAAUUCCACCGCCGCAACCUUCUAUAUCCGCAAGAUCCCAUCUUGGAGCCUUCGCCGGCGCUCCGCCGGAGGGGGAAUCGACCACGGAGGGCCUCUACAUCAUCUCCAAGGCCCUUCCGAUGAGUCGUGAGUAGUUUACCACAGACCUUCGGGUCCAUAGUUAUUAGCUAGAUGGCUUCUUCUCUCUCUUUGAUUCUCAAUACAAAGUUCUCCUCGAUCUUCUUGGAGAUCAAUUAGAUGUAAUUCUUUUUGCGGUGUGUUUGUCGAGAUCCGAUGAAUUGUGGGUUUAUGAUCAAGUUUAUCUAUGAGAAAUAUUUGAAUCUCCUCUGAAUUCUUUUAUGUGUGAUUAAGUUAUCUUUGCAAGUCUCUUUGAAUUAUCAGUUUGGUUUGGCCUACUAGAUUGAUCUUUCUUGCAAUGGGAGAAGUGCUUAGCUUUGGGUUCAAUCGUGCGAUGUCCUUUCCUAGUGACAGCAGGGGCAGCAAGGCACAUAUUGUAUUGUUGCCAUCGAGGAUAAAAGAUGGGGUUUAUAUCAUAUUGCAUGAGUUUAUCCCUCU